UUGAUUUAAAUUAUAGAAAUUUUAAAAAUAGUUUUAUUUCUAAAUACGAUGAAUUUAAAUUUUAAAAAUUAAAUACUUAAAAUUUAAAAGUGAAAUUUAAAUUAGAGGAAUUUCAUAUUACUAUUUAAAAACUAAAUUUCUACCAAGAUUUAAAAUACAGUUUAUUCGCACCAGUUUAAAACGUAAUGCAUAAAAAACUUAGAGAGUAAGAUUUCUACAACUAGAUUUCUCUAGAGGAAUUUCAUAUUACUAUUUAAAUUUUAAAUUCAAUGAUUUAAAAACUAGAUUGAACCGAUUGAUUUGACUGAUCAGACUUUGACCUAUUCUAUCAAGAAUCUGACCUAUUGAACCGAAUAACAUUAAGAAUAAUUUGGAACUGGUAAAGAUAAUAAAUAUUUUAAACAGAAUGAUAAUUUAACUGUUAGAGCUAAUAAAUAUUUUAAAUAUAAUUUUAAACAUAUAAAUUAAAAAGAUUAGAAUUAUUGGUGAGAAAAAAAUAGUUAGGAAUUUGAAUUCGAAUUUGACUAACAAUCACAAAACUUAUUUCCGAACUCGACUAAUUUCAAAAAUCCAUAUCUAAAUUCAAAACUGAUCAAUUUUCCGAAACCCAAAACCAAACCUAAACCAGAAGAAUAGAAUUCAAACAAUUAUUUCUGUUUACCAUAUUUCAAAGUAUUUAUAUAAAACUUAAAAUUUUAAAAUAUAAAUUUAAAUAUAAUAUUAAAUUUUAAAAUUUAAAAGUGAAAUUUAAAUUAGAGAAAUUUUAUAUUACUAUUUAAAGUUUAAAUUCAAUGAUCAUAUUGUCAAAUCAUUUGAAAUUUUUUUUAUAUGAAAUGCCAAAUUAUGAAAAGAAAGAUAGAAAGAGAAAAAGGAAACAAAGAAAAAAUAAAAAUUUUGAAAAUAUAGUAGAUAUAAAAUGACUAAAUUGUCUAUAUAUUAAAAGACAAAAAUAUUCUUUUUUGAGGUACCUGGUAACCGGUACCUUUCCCAAAGUGACCUACUAUUGCAGGUCAUAAUUUUAAAAAAACUAAAUCUGAGCCGUUGAAUACGCGUGAAUGAACGGUAACAAAAAAAAAAAAAAGCAUAGAAGCAUUACUCUUAAAAUCUAACUGCGGAAACAACUCUCCUUUCCAGAUCUUGCCAUCAAGCUUGCUGGUUGUUAAAUAUUCUCGAAUUCCGCUCUUUCCAUAGUAGUUCCCAGCAAGCUGGGCCUACUUGUUAUUGAUCCAUUUCUAUCCUGUUUAGAAAGUGGCUUCAGGCCUUGUGUAAGGGUUGUGGAUUGUGAUGUGGGAUAUUUAAUCUUGUUUGUAUAUCAAUUCUCAAUAUAAAGAUAAGCAUAUGAAGCACAUUCAAAAUAAUAUCCUUUCUCUAGUUGGAUGUGUCCACAUUCAGUUGGAUUUUGGGGACCCCUUGGGUCCCAGGUGAGUAUACCAGUAUCAAUUUUGAGAUUGGUUAUAAGCCAUAUAAAAUUUCCCUCUCACACAUCCUUCUCAGCCUUUUUCUUCUUGGUUAUCUUUAAUGAUGAAGAGAAUAACAAACAGAGAAGGAAAACAAAAGGGACAAAAAAACAAGAACAAAACAAAGAAGAAUUGGAGAGGAGGUAGUAAAAGAUAAAGAGUUAUUUAUAUGUGUGGACUCUUUCUUUUGAACUUAGACGGCGAAAAUUUAUGGUUUGGAAGGAAUUUCACAUACAUGAUCCUCUUUCUGAUGAAACAUGAUCAUAAGAAAAUUAAAACUAUAUUUACUUUAGAACUAUGAGAUGAGAUUAUGCCUCAGUGACAUCCUGUGAAAGUAUAAAAAAUGGUGCCUUACCAAUUACCAUGCUGAUAUCAUAUAUCAAUUUGCUUAAAAUAAUUUUUCCUAGCUAGCUAAAUGAUCAUGCAUUCAUAAGUAAACACAAUGGCUAUCGCUUCGAUGUGUUUCGCUAAUCUUUAUACUUAAGCUGAAAAGUUCUGAUAUAUAUAUAUAUUUACUAACUCAUGUGUGACUGCAUUGGUUGAUCCUCACCUUCAUGGAAUUUCUACUACCUUAUAAAAAACAAAUGGUGGCAAAGGAUAGUGGGUGUCCAAGGCUCCUUAAGGAGUGGGGGCCUUUAGUGUUUAGACCUCCCAACAAGCUCUCAAAAAGCUUCUUCUCUGCUGUUUUGUGGAUUGCUUAAUUCCACAAGUCACUGUCCAGGCUCUAGUGCAACAAGAACAUUCCAUUUUGCAGUAGAAAAUUGGGUUGACAUGACCAAAAGGGGAGGGGGUUCUUUGUUUGAUGGAACCUGGCCUAAGUGACCACCAUUAGCAAAUAUUAAUUAGUGGACCCCCUUAGCAUCAUCACCAUGACACCAUAAAAAGAGUAUUCUUGUGCUCAAGUGUAAAUAUUUGUUAUAUAAAGCACAGGACUACAUGUGGUGCAGCCUUUUCUAAGGGCAUUUCUGCAAGUUGGUGCUACUUUUGUCAAAGCAUCUGAUUCAACGCAAUUCAGUGUUAAUUCAGAUAUGCUUUUCCCUUUUUUUUUUCUUUUUUUUUUUUUUCACUGGUAACUCUAUAGAGGAAUAUACAUAAAUCAAAUAUAUGUUUUUUUUUUUGAGAGAUAGGUAGCACACUACCCGCUUCGUUUAUUUCAUUUAGAAAUAAACUUAGUUGAAAAUGUACAUCAACUAGAAUUCGAACUUGAGUCUCAGGUACCAACCACCAAGUCCUUUGCCACUUGCUCUAGGGACAGUCGGUAUAAAUCAAAUAUAUGUUGAUAGUGUAGUACACAUGUUUUACACACAUAUUGAAAUUAUUGGGAGCUAAAAUCAAAAAGUAUGCCAUAUGAUGUAUAACGCCAAGCUUUUAUCUCUUUCACACAGUCGAGAACAAAUGAAAGUAGCAUCGAUGUGAAAUGAAAGCAAAUGCAAGGGGAGUCCUAAAUCAUCCCUUUCAUAUGCAACAACAUCUUUUACAUAACACUUUUCGCAAUGCGAUUCGUCGAUCGUUCCACAAAUCAUUUGUUAACACAAGGAGGGGAUAAAAGUCACAGAACUGAAAGCAUCGAAUGAGAAAAGGUAGGGAAAAAGUAUAAUUAUAUUUCAAAAGUAUCUCGAAAAAGCCUGCUGGGCGACUAGAUGUUUUCUAAGCAUAUCAAUGCUUAGAUUUCAUCCCUCUUCAACUGUUCUGGAUUAAGUUUGAAGGAAAGUCUAGUGUUAAUAGACCUAACAAUUUCAAGUCGUACUUGCAGAUACCGGCCCACAGAUUACCAGCAAAUUUAUAAGUGUGAGUACUAGCUAAUCUUUCAUACCGAAAAAAUUAUAAAUAAAAUAGGCGGAUACCCGUCAACUCAUGAGCAUUUUGGGCAUUCUGCGGGCCGGUAUUUAUGCCUGCAGACACUUGCAUAUAUAAUUUUUUUAAAAAAUAAAAAAAAUAAAAAAGUGAAUAUUCUUUCAAUUUUAUCUGUUUCUGUAACUUUUAACACUAAUUUCUCUUAGUAUCUUUUUUUCUUUAUUAUAUAUUAUCAUGUUAAACUGUAAGUUAUAUUUUGAAUCUUUUAAAAUAAAUAAAUAUAUAUAUAUAUAUAUAUAUAUAUAUAUAUAUAUAUAUAUAUAUAUAUAUAUAUAUUUUAUUUGUGUUUGGAAAGUAUAAAAACAGAAAGGAAAAAACACCUUAUAGGUAACCCGUAUACCCGUCAGUGCACCAGCGGGCGGAUAUGGAUAAGAAUGAUUGCUAUCUAAAAAAAUUUGCUGAUAAAUUUUAUCCACACUGGCAUAAUCUGUGAGCACAAUGACCCGUCCACAGAUUGCUCAACCCGCUAGUUUCGCCGGUCCAACUAUUAACAGGUCUAGAGAGAGAGAGAGAGAAGAUAUUGUGAAAGUGAUUAGUAUGAUGACUUACUUUAAUGCUACUGCUAAUCAAGUGGAGAGUAGAAAACACAAACUUUGUUCCCCCUACAUUCCCCACAGGCUAUUCUUGAUGUUGAUGUGGGAAUCCAGGGAGAAAAAGAAACAAGCCCAUGAGUCAAACCCCAUUAGAGUUUACCAAUAGAGGAAGGUUUUGAUGCAUGAGAAUCCAAUUCUCCACAGUAUGUGAUUCUCCCCCACCAAGCCCACGAAAGCGUUGACCUUCGAAUUAACUACCAUUAUAUCAAAGUGGAUCGAGGCNGUCCCCCCCCCCCCCCCCCCCCCCCCCCCAAUCCUUUCCAAAAGUCAUAAGGCAUUACAAUUGUUUUAUUGGUGCUCCAAAGAAACACUUUUUGAGAAUUCUAAUGAAUGUGCCAUGAGCUCUCUCUCUCUCUCUCUCUCUCUCUCUCUCUCCUCAUAGUCAAGCAAAGCAUCAAACUCUUUAAUGGAUGAGCAACGCCAAACUAUUCCUUUAAAAUCCUCUUUCCCCUAACACCACCUACUCCUCCUCUACACCUUAAAUGCCAUAUACCCUCCUUGUCUUUUAAAAGUGUAUGCAACUAUAGUGAUGAAGUGAUGAAGGUGACGAGCAAGCUCUUCGCGGCCCUAGAUGCGUUCAUGGACCAUGCAAUACGUAAAGCUUCGACGGCCGAGCACACCAUCAUCACCAACAUAGAAGCUACGAUCGUGCGAUGCACCAGCCACCACGACGCACCUAUAGACGAUAAGUACGUGCACGAGAUCCUCUUCCUAGUCUCGAACACUCCUGGCUCGAUCUCCUUCUUGGCUAAUCGGAUUUCGAGCAGGUUCGAGAGCACGCGGGACCCCGUGGUGGCGCUAAAAUCUCUUCUACUCCUCCACCGCCUUCUUCGCGGCGGCGAUCGGUACUUCGAGCAAGAUCUACGCAGUCAAGACCUUAGAAUCGAUCUCUCAUGGUGCUUGGGCCGUCCGAAUGGCUUGCACUCCUUCCUCCUCAGCUAUUCAUCCUUUCUCAGAGAGAGGAUGGUGUGGAUCAUCAACCAAGCUGGAAAUCUAGAGCCAAGCAGGCCACACAGAAAAGAGCCUCUAUCUUAUGAAGAGGAAGCGAUCGAGUCGGUUAUAUUUAGACUUUCGAAGUGCCAAAGCCUUCUGGAUCGGGUCAUGGAUUGUUUGCCCGUCGAUGUUUUGAGCAACGGGCGGGUGAUUCAGUCGGCGGUCAACAUUAUCUUAAGAGAGAGUUUUCGGGUUUACGAGAGCUUCCAAGAAAUGAUAGAGGAUUUGGCGAGAUCCACCUUCGAUCUUAAGAAGUCUUUGAGGGUUUCAGCUCAUGAAAUCCUCAAGAAAGCAUGCGCACAAACGAUUAGACUUCAUGAAUUCUAUCAAAAUUGCAAGAGAAGCAUUUUUGGCAAGGGCUUGGACUAUCCUUGUGUGAGAAUUAUUGCGCCCACCCAAAUCUCAUCAAUAGAGCAGUUUUUGCCCAGUUAUUGUUACGAACGUAUGGCAAUCCCUGAGGACGAGAAGAAGAAUGAAACGCAAACAACAAGCGAAGAGUCUCCGACCGAAUCCAACGAACCAAUCGGUGCUCUAUUUUCUCAAAAGUUGGAAACAACGAUAAGCACCGUGUGGGUCGAGUUCGAUGAAGAAGAUGUACAAACUUUGAGCUUCUCAUUGGCAUCGAGUUCGACAGAUAGUUCGUCAACAGGACACGCAAUGCAGACGCUAGCUAUGACCGAAUUUAUCGGUUUCUCUUCCGAGCUAUGAGGAUCGACUCUUCAGAGAGAGACCAAGCUAACUAUUUACCUACAUCAUUACUAUUAUUAUUAUUAUUAUUAUUUUUCCUUCUGGUUCUUAUUUGCUUGCUUUAGUAGCUUGAAUGGUGUCUUGUUGUGGGGGUGGAUUUUGCAUUAUUAUAACUGCUGCUGAUAUUCUUUGUUUUCACAAAGUUUGCUCGAGAAAUUAAUGAAUCCAUUUCUUCUGGGUGGAUUUCAGUAAUAAAAACCGCCAAAGUAUUGUGUAACGUCUAAUGUUUCUCUUGAUUAAAUCGACAAAAAAAAAAAACUAAGCAUAAUUUGCACGGAAAUCGAUGGGUUUCUGCUUCGAAACAGGUUGUUAAUACGAAGAGUUGACACAUUGAGGAACAUACUGAGGCAUUAAUAAGUGGUGGAGCUCCCACAAUUUUCUAGAAAAGGUGACAUAUGAUGCAUCUAAUCUAGCAAAAUCCUGAUUUAGAUUGAUUUUGAGAUCUUUUCUUUUCUUUUCUUUUCUUUCCUUUUUGUCACUAUUUCUUCUAAUCCAAAUUAUUGCUGGCCAUCUCCUCACGGUUCUAAUUUACACACCCACAAUCUACUCAAAGUUUCAAAUUUUGUCUCUGAUUGAUUCUCACACCUCAUAUAAUUAAACCAGUUUAGAAGAGCACCACCCCCUAUGGUGUUUGCUGUUAAAAGACACACCAGUAUCUUCACACAAUACUUCCAUUUUUUAUUUAAGAUUCGAUUAAUAAAACAAGAUACAGGGUUUCUAAUGAUUGCUCCAGCACCAUGAAAACAGAAACCUACAUGAUUGUUCUGCUGCAGUAGAGGGAUCUCAACCUUCCAAUUAGUUAGAAUUUUUUCUGUGUGGUCACCUGCAGAUGAGGACUAGAGCCAAAAAUACAUGUCAUGACCUUCAGCAGUGAAGAUGCCCUUUUCUCAGACCAUACAGCAUUGUCACUGUUUCAGUCCACGUGAAGUCAUGUUCCUUCCUGAGGUUUCAUACUAUUUGGUAUGGCUAGGGCUAGGUUAAGCCCACAUCUAUUUGUACUAUUAGCCAGUUCAAGAAUUUCUCAUGUUUUCAGUAUUAUCCCCAUCCCCUUUUUUUAUCAUCACUCUUAACUGUGUGAUCUCAAUCCCAGUUUUAUUGACAAUAUACAAACUAUAAAUGAUCUGAUAUUCAUUUUAGCCAAAGAUUGAGAUGCAUGCAUACAUUACUUUUUCUUCCAAAUUAUUCCCAAAUCCUCUUUCACUCUCUCUCGUAACCCCGUAUUAUGAAUAUCUAUCUCAUAAUCCCGUAAUGUUGCCCUCCAAAAAUAUUGAAUGGAAAUCACAUAAACCUCUAAUUUUAGCUAGAAUUCAUACAAAUAUUGUUACACUUCACUAUCAGUCAGUUAAUUAUAUAAAAACAUCGUAAGAACGGGUUUUCAAAUUGCUUGAUUACAAUACAGCUACCGACAUGUCCAACUAUCCAAGUCCUAGUUCUUACACAAGGAAAAAAAAACAAAACAGAUGGCAGAGUAACAUGUGACCACUGAAUCUAAAAUACCACAUACAAGGAUUGUGCACCAACUAAAUAAUACCACAUGAAGGAUUCUUUCAAUAUAUCUCAUCCUCUCUAUUAAUUAAGAGCACAUUUUAAGUUCAGGAAAACAGUCGAGUGUAUAGUAUAUACCAACACAUUACCAGACUAAUUGAUAUACACCACUCAAUUCCCAGCUGACAACACUACACACUGCUGCUAAAGCCAUUAGGGCCGAAGUAGAAGAAAAAGAUGCAGUGAAAUGCACUCCAUUAAGGGCUAAUUUGAGUAACUCCACAAAGUUAGAAAAGUACCUGGUAUUCUAAAUUGAAAACAUGAACCAUGCUUUUAUGACCUGAUGCGUUCAUAUCUGCCACCACAUCACAAAGCGCGGACUAAGAAAGCUGAAAAACUUCACUAUCUGCUACAAUAUGUUAAAACUGAGAAGUCACAAGCCAAAUAGACACCAAUAAUUAACAAAGAUUAGACAUCCAGUAAGACAUAAAACUAAACUUUAAACCGGUUAUCAGCUGCAUCGAAAAUAGUCUCCCUUUCUGACAUUUCCGACGACUUCAUCUUUAAGGCCGACCACGAGCUUUCAAAAACCUUCAUGUCCUAGCCCUCUUGUUACUGCAACCAGGACAUUUGUACUGUUUGAUGUGCUCAGCUCUGGCAGGAGUGAUCUUAACGCACUUGCCAUGGAACCAUUUCUCACACACAUCACAGCAAAUCCAGAACUCAUCAUUCGCGUAAUUGUCCCCACAGGCGCCACACAGAGUGUUCCCGUGCUCUUCCUCGCCUCCCUCGCCCUCACCUCCUUCACUCUCUUCGUCCUCUUUUGGAGGCAUCUUUGAGGCCUUAGUAUGGGAUUCGGAGUUCCGUGACGGCUGCAAUAAGAUUUCUUCCGUGAGUAAUGGAAGGAAAGAGGUUGCCAAAGAUGGCAUUUAGAAUUGGAUGAAGAUAUGAAUUAUGAUGCAAUUGUAGAGCAAUUGAACUGAGCAUUUGAACUAACUUUGGAGCCUGAUUUGGUGUUCUUGAUGCUGCUAUUAGGGGUUUUUUCUUUUGAUUGCUUCUUCGCAGUUCCUGUCACAACCUCAUAUAUAGUGGGAAGACCAUUAAUCAUGGUAAACAACCGCUUCCUGCAUUAUAGCGUGAUGAAAAACCCAGAUGAGCAUCCAAAGUUCUAAUCUAAAUAGUCUGCAUAAAUGAUGAAAAAAGAAUGUAUACGUCGGGCUUUAGCUGCAUGAGGGAGUUUCUAUGGGUUCAAUAUCUCGAAGUUGUGCAGUUAGCAAAACCGAUACAUCUCAUUGUGAACAACCUGACAUGAAACAUGGAAUGCCUAUGAAGGCAAAAGGAAUGGUGUAAUAGGGUGGCAUUAUGAGAGAACUGUUGAAAGGCACUGCUUUAUACAUUGAAUAGCUUUUAUCAUUCUUUAGCAGCCUAUAUAAUAUAUGCAAGAUGGGACCAUUAACAGCAAUAGGAGGUACAACAGUAAACAAUAUAUGCAAGAGGACUAACAGAAUUCACCAAGACAAGGCAAAGGGAUGAAGGAUCGCAUUCACAGACACCUUAUUGAAGUUGAGCACAACUAGUUUUGGGAUGUGUUCACCAACUCGUUAUCGAAGUUGGGCACCAGUUUUAGCGACCAAUAAUGGAAUUUAGAGCAGCAAAAAUAGAAGCCGUAUGGUGAUGACAAAGCAAAAUAACUGUUUCAGUUGAUUUUAGAUCUAUAAAAAAUGGAGCAUACGGCAUGUUCACCAUCUCCAACUGAGAGAAAUCAUAGGAUUUUCUCAUGCAGGAUCCAGUCGCAUUACAUUCAUCAACUUAACAAAUGCAACUUCCAUUUAUGAUUUUGUCCAAAUUGGAACAAGAUUUUUUGAGACAUGACACUAAUAAGCACAUGGGUGAAGUUACAGGCCCUUUUAAGAUAUUUAACACUAAUUUUUGGGACAUCUCCAGUAUGUGGUACAUUGCAUAUCAAUUGCUCAAAAGGGCUGGAAACAACAUCAACACCCAAAAGUGCAAUAUAAUCAAGGUUUCUAAGAACAUUUUACAUGACUAAGGGAAAGAAAGUAGUCCAUGAGAAAAGACUUGGACUCACAACUCGGAGGAUAAAAAUCAAUUAUGUACAAAUAAUUAUGGAUGGGAAACCAAAUUGAAAGAAUAUAAAUCUAAAGAAAUAGGAAACCCAAGGGACUAUUGUAUAAUGAAAACAGAUGGAAAAACAGAAAUUCAUCAUCCAGCAUCUAAGCGCAAGAGAAACUCCAAAAUUUAGACUUCAAUGCAAGCUUACAACACUAAUGUGCAGUGGAACUAACAAUAUGACCCAAGUCCCUACCGUCCGUAAUGAAAGCAGAUAUUUUGACCGAAGGCAAUCAAACAAUAAGAUUGUUAAGAAAAGGGAAUAAAAUAAAAAUUAGAAAACUUCAUGUGUUAAUGUCCAGUAAAUAGCUGGCAAUGAAAGAUAUAUCGCAAGUUCUUUGCAGCGAACACACUCAGCAAAGCGGCCAAGCAAUUUCAUAACAACACAUCUUACAGUAGAUAGAAAUUUACAGAUUGAUUUACCCAAUACAUAAAGUACAAUAAUAUGGAUGCCAAAACGUAGAUAACUCCAUCGACUGGUUUAUUCAACCACACAGAUUUGAGUAUAAAAACACAGAAAAAGAAACCCUAAGCAAAGGCCUUGAUAUGCCUAUUAAAAGCUUAGUGUCAUUGUUUGGCAACAUAAAGCCUAUAAAAGAGAGAACAUAAACUGAAUACUGGUACAUCAAUGAUAAAUGAAAAACAAAAUACAUCUGCUUGUUGAGCGAGGUAAUUAGGUUAUAACUUUGGUAAAAUCAAACAAUAAAAGAAGUACCUGGAUUCCUUAUCGAAUCCGAAGCGCGCUCCAAAGUAAAAGGCAACAGCCAAUAGCCACGCAUCGCUAUGAACUGCUACCAAUGAUAACCAAUCCUUCUCCUCCAUUCCAUCACGAGCAAAAUUUAUACCUAAUGCCGGCUCUGGGAGUUCAGGCGGCACUUCCUCCGCAGGCAAGUUCACUUCCCAAGUCUCAUUGGGAUGUCCAUACAGACAUAAAUUCUCCUUCUCUGCACGCAGAGUUUGAUUACCUCAGCAAGCCGAUCAAACCGUAAAGUUUAUACUACAAGCGGAUAUAAAGAAGCGCAAUUUAACACUUUGCUUAUAAUGGCAAUCUAUAUGAUCAGAAAUAGAAUUAAUUCAUUAACCGCUUAAAUGAGACCUUAGAAAUGAUCUGUUGUGAGAAAAGAAACUAGCUAACAAUCUCACUAGUUAGAAUCUUUAAAGACAAAUUAGCUAGAGAGCUGAGUAUUCUCUACGCAUCUCACUCCACAAAAAUAGGUAAAUAAUUACACUAACCUAAGGUAACUUUUCGAAAUACUAAGAGCAAUUGCCACAAAAUGCUAAGAUCUAAUUUUUCAAGUAUAUGUCCCUCAAACAGAACUCCAAUUCAUGGAACACAGGUUGUGUCUAAUUCGAAAAAAUUUCUCAAAGAGGGGCAAUUUUGCAAGCAUGAGGUUAAAUAUGUAAAUAACAAAACUUUUGAAGGGCAUUAUGAUAAUUCAGUUUUUUGCAGGAAUGUAAACGUACAUAGCAAAUUUUGCAGGGGUAUGAAUGUAAAUAUCUCUUAAAUGGAAAAGGUAACACUUCAGGAUUAACAAUAGACGAGCGAAAAAUUAAAAAAAAAAAUUCUUUUUUAUCAAGCAACAAGAGCAAAGAAAAACAAACCCUAAUAGGAGAGGACGACAUAAAAAGCCGGAAUUUUUUCUUAUAAAAUUGAAAAUAAAAGAAAAAAAAGGUAACAACUCACCUGGGUCGCACUGUUGGUGGAAUUUCUCGACAUCUGCACAAAGAGAGAGCAAAAAAGAAAAAAAAAAUCGCAAAAACGAAAACUUAUCACACUAUAAAAUGAGCUGUAUCUUUGAAAACUUCAAUUUUUUUUGAAAACAAAAAAAGGGUAGGAGAGUAGAGACCAGUGGUUAGGGCUUUGAUUAUUCCGGCCCUCCUAGCUCUAAAAUCCCUGAAUACCUCCUCAGGCGUACGCGGAUUAUAGCCCCCACCCCCAUCCAUAUCCCACAGCGUUCGGGACCGAUCACAACGCGCGCGCGCAAGAGAGAGAGAGGAGCUUCGCCGAGCUCUAAUGGCGCCUAAGAGAGCACGAAGAGAGAGGAAAUCGUGGAACUAGGGUUAGGGCAUGGGGCGGUGGGAGACGUUGAGGCCCCUCCGGCGAAGGGCGAGAGGAAGCAGGCGACGAGAGAUUUGGACGGGAGAGGGGUUCGAGAAGAAAAUAAAAAAUAAAAAAAGGAAAGAAGAGGGUUUUGAACGAAGGUUUUCUCCCUUACCUUUUCUUUUACCCCUCACCUAUGCGUUAUUUUCAAAUCGGUCCCUAACUUUACUUUUCGUCUAAACGCCUUAUUAAAUUGAAAAGUACCUUGAUGUACGUUUUAUUACUCAAUUAAAUUACGCAAUUAGAUACUUACUAAUUUUUAUUUUACAAAUAAUUUAAAGUGUUUGUAAAUUAAAAAAAAUAAUGGAGAGGCCGUCACUCGAAAAAUUAAUGUUUCGUUUCUUCUGCUCGUUCGCUUGAACGUGAGCCACGUCUACUAAAGGCAUCUUUGCAUUCUUAGAACAAAAAUUAUAUUGGUAUCGUCCUCAAACUAUUAAUUUGAAAACUUAUGUCGAUAUCGUCCUCAAACUAUUAAUUUGGAAACGAUGCAGAUAUCGUUCUCAAACUAUUAAUUUGGAAACAAUGCAGAUAGGUGCCGCGUGUCAUCCCAUGCCCAUUGCUGCCCUCCCUUCCCCUCCAUUCGCUCUCCCUCUCUAAAAAUUCAGGUGCAUAAAUUUUUUUCUUUUUUUCUCGUUUCCGCUCAUGCGAUGGGCGCACUAGGCCACGCGACGCCCAUCGGUAGUUUGGAAACGAUGCUCAUACAAUUUUUGUCUGCAUUCUUCAUGGUAAACUUUUCACUCAAAUUUGGUUUUUCCAAUUUAAAGAGCAAUUUCGUUUGCAUCGGCAUGUGGGUCCCGCGAGCGUCCAAAACCCCCUGAAAAAUUCGAUUUUUAUUUUCAAUUACUAUUAUUAUUAUUAUUUUAAGAGGAGAACGGUGAUCUUUAUACAUAGGGCUUAAAAGAGAAUAAACUGAUAGGUAAAUAAUUCACCACCGUUUCACAAGAGAAAUAAAGAGAAAUAAUAAUGGGUCAGGCCAGGUGUGGGCCCUACAAACCUAGGACCACCAGAUCCAUGAGAAUCGCGGAUUCAAAUGCGACCUCGUGUGGGGCCUCCUUCAACCAAUGAUUCUGUAGUUCAUCCCUACUUAAAGAUAAACCAGGAUAAGUAUGAUAAAAAACAAUAGGAAAGAUAUUUAAGUAUACAAGUUUGCUUAAGAUCUUUAUGCAGAUUCAUCAACUUGCAAAUUAAUCAAUCUUCAAACAGCUUGAAUAGAAACCACGACAGAAAACACAACCGCGACGAAAUUCACCUCAAAUCUUAGCUUGUCAUCCUCGAGACCGUGCACUCAGAAAGCUCCCUGAAAUGUGUCUUUAGACAAUUGCAGCAGCACAGUUUCAUUACAUACAAAUCACCCACACAUACAGUUCUGUUCGGCACACAAACGCCGAAAACCAGGAAAUGCACACAAAAAGCGCGAUCUUCUCCUCCGACGUUCUUAACUAAUUUGUUAUCACAAUAAACCGAGAGCAUCUGUAAUUCGCAAAAGUAAUUUGAUCAGUACAUUCUUUAGGAUUCUUGAUCUUGUAAUGAACUACAUGGGUAGCACAACGACACCUGCUGCGACGGUGAACUGGUGUCGCUAUCUUUCACUUGCAUAUGCCCUAUGAGGGCUCACUUUGGAAUGUUAGGCCUUUGUCGCGGAAGCUGAAAAAUUUUGAAGUAAUGAUAGCUGAGACUUCUGAUAUUCACAACCUGAUGCUUCAUCUGUAACCUCAAUCGAGGAUGAUGCCAAGGUCAAGUGAAAGGGAGGAUUGCAUACAUGUUGAGGAAAACCCACUGGAUACCACUACCAGAAUACGCCUUUUAAGAAGUCAAAAAUAGCUGAAACAGAAGGGGGGGAAGGGCACACUAAGACAUAAUUAUUGAUGCAUAUUGAUGGUCAGAUGUAAGCAAGCAAUAUGUGAAGAAAUAUGCAAGAAAUCACAAGUAACCAACAAGAGGGGGGAAAAAACAGAAAAGAUGCAAAUCCAUGAUUAAUUUAAGUAAAAAAAAAAAUCUCAGAAGAAAAAGAAGUUAACUUUAUAACAUGCAUUAAGCUAACUCUUACGCGAUGACUCCACAUUCAAGACUACUGGCACAAGUAGGUCGCCGUCAGAACAUGCAUCUUCAUCAGUGGGAGUUAUGAAACAAGCAUCUCAUCAACUACCUGAUAGACAGAUUUCCAAACAAAAAUUUAAGCUUGUCUGACAGGUCGCAAGUCAGGGGAAAAGUGCUAACUGUUGAACUAAAUAGUAAUUAGAAGCAAUUGAAGCCAAAUGUGGUUAUAUCCUAAGUCAAAAUAAUAGUUCAUAUUAGGCAACAAAAGAAGACAUUUGAGCCCAAGACAACAUUUGCUGGGCAUCUAAACUACAAAGGGCCAAACUCUAUGGAUUAAGAUUUGAGCAACAUACUGGGGCCAUAAUCAUACCUACUCCCAUUAAAUGAACAACCUUUCUUGGAAGCUAAGACUUCCGCAAAAGCCUUCUGCAACGCUCCCUUUGCGACUUUAUAAAUAGCUGCCGAUGUGGCACCCUCUUCUGCAAACUUAAUGGCAUCGCGAAAAAGAUCAUUGGACCGCCAAUUCAAGGGCUUUUUACAAUUACUCGGUAUUAGGGAGACGGCAUCGCUCUUGGCAUUCCUUGUCCACCUUUUUAAUAUAUAACUAUCAGGCAGCGAAAGAAUACUCAGUACCAUCAUCACUCUGAAAACAUGCCUGCAUAAAAUGCCCGAAAAUUCAAACUUGCAGCAGCUACAGAUAAUGCUCUUUUCCGAAUCAUUGUAUUUAACUACAUGUGUUUUACUGGAAUCCUCAACUUUAAUCACCCGAAAGAUGCUAGUCACGCCAUCGUCAACUUUCUCGGUAAGAAAACCUGAAGUCUCAACCAAUUCAUCCUGAAACAACUCAAAUAUCGUUUUUGUAUAAAUAUCAGAUGCCUGCUUCUCCAACGGCGACGGAGUCUUCAUAACGGGUCUAGUAUGAAUAGUAGCAAAAUCCGCCUGAAUCUCCUUCUCGUAUUGCCCCGCCAUGGCCUUAUCGAACUGAGUGACCAAAUCACGCAGCGUUGUCGUCGUAAUAGAGUGCCUCUGAAAGAAUUUUUGCAUGGUCUCUAAUUUUGUACCGCCGGAAAAUUCACCGAAGAACUUGUCUUUGAAAAACACGGGGACCCAUUUGUGGCGAAUACUAUAUAACUUUAGCAGCCAUAUAUUCUCAACCAAAUCAUAUCUCUCAAUCAGCGAAUUCCAACUUGAUUCAAACUCCUCGACGCUCUCUGACUCGCCCACGCAUUUCUUCAACUCGGCCUUGAAAGAAGGAUGCGCCGAAUAUACAUCGGCCAGCUUCUCCUUGCUCUUACUGAAGACGUCCCUCUUGCAGAACCGAUGCCUAACAUCAGGAAGGACUUUCCGAGCCGCCGCUUCCACAGCCUCACUGUAACCGGUGGUGAACGACGCCGGCUUCUGCCGGCUCAUCAGCAUGAGCCAGGUGUCGAAAAGCCAAGCGAACGAAUCCUCGCUCUCGUCGGUCAUAAAUGCGCAGCCGAAGACUAUCAUCUGCCUAUGAUGGUUCAUACCGGUAAACGCCGCGAACGGCACCAACCGCUUGUUCUUCCUGCAGGUCGUGUCAAAAACAACCGAAUCGCCGAAAUAGCUGUACGACAUUCUGGCCCGCCCAUCCGCCCAAAAGACGUUCUGAACGCAGUUAUUCCGGUCGAGCUGAAUCGAGUAGAAGAAGGCGGGGUUUUCGGCCUGCAUUUUCUUGAAGUAUUCUAGCAAGCUCUGCGCGACGCCACCGCCGGGCCCGAGGCCGUUCUGGUGGGAGUGAGAUUCGGCGGGGGUGCAGGCGAGGAGCUCCCACGGCUUCUUGGAGAGCUUCUUCUGCGAAGCGGCAGCAGCGGCGGCGGCGGCGGCGGCGGGCGGGGGCUUGUCGGUGAAGGAGGCGCCGAGUGGGUGGCAGUGGUCGAGCAGGCAGCGGGAGACGGCCCAGCGGCCGGUGUCGCGGCGGUUGACCUGGAGCAUGGCCUUGCAGCCCUCGCGGGAGGAGGCGCGGUUGCGGCGCUUCUUGGUGAGGUCGAACGGGUCCUUUUUCGUCGGGCGGCCCUGCUUGGAGCACACGAAGCGGCGCAUGAUCACCGAGUCGUCCACGCGGGAGGUGAACGACUUGCUGUUGCGGACGCGGAACCCCGCGCGCUCGGCGUACCCCGCGUAGAACGCGCGCGCCGCUUCCGGCGACUCGAACUCCAUGCCGAUCGCCGGCUCCCGCGGAUCCGGGGCCGGCGGAGGAGGCGGAGGAUCUCCACCGUCGACUCCGUCCCGGACGUCCGAUCGGACGGCUAGGAGCCCGUGAUCUGCGGCGGCGGCGGCGGCGGCGGCGGCGAUGGGUUGGUGGUCGAGGUGGGGUUCCUGGGACUGGAUCGGGAUUGGGGCUUCCACCUCGCCGGCGUCGAAGCCCAUGCUCGGAGCUAGGGCCGUGAUGUUGUCCAUGAAAAGCUUCUCACCCAAUGGGAUCGAAAAAUACGGAAACAAAUUACGGGAAAGAACGAAUUGCCACACUUAUAUUAUCGUCGGAAUUAUUCGAUCAAAUUUGGGGAUUCUUUUUCCUUUUUUUUUUUCUCCUUUCGAUCGCCCUCGAAUUUAGGAAUCGGAAACUCUCGACGACACGCAGAGACCGCGAGAUAGCACGCGUUCCCCCGUGCAGCGGAGGAACCAAUGGUGGUGCCACUGUUCGACAAUGGAUCAGGGCCGUCGAUUUACGGAAGCCGCGCCUUGGAUGGUUAGGAUUGACGGGCUUCAGUGGAAGAGGUCGACAACCAGCGCUUUUGAGAACUACAGCAGACCAAAAUCAGAAAUGUAGGCUCGGUCUUCGGAAUGAUUUUGAAGCUCAUUUGGAGGAACAUGUUGGUUUUAUCAUCCAUCGUUAAUUUUAGAUCGGAGCGUCAUAUUUGAUGAACACUGAACACGACGAUUUUAUCGUGCGCAAUACUGUCGGUACACCAGAAUCCUCGAUUAUCAUCUAUUUUUUAUUAAACUAUCUGACAUUUAAAAUUUUUUAUUUCAAUUUUUUUUUUAAUUUAAGCAAGUUCGUGACUUUUUAACAUCAAUAUUUAAAUCCAUCAGUUAUUUUAUAAUUUAUUUAGUAUAUUUUACAUAAUUCACGUAACUGUAAAAUCUUUUUGUGUAAAAUUUCUCUAGUUUUGUAAUUUUGUAAACGGAUCAUAUUUUUUAUUUUACAUAUAAGGCUGAAUUUUCAAAAUAUAGUCCAAAUUACUUCUCUCAUUUUUUUUCUCUUUCUUUUUCUAAAAAGACAAAUAUUAUUAUCAUACAUAACAUUUAAAAAAAAAAAAACGAAAAGAGUGCAAUCUCUUUUCAAAUAUUACAAAUCGAGUAUAAAUGUGCAAAUUUACAUAAAUAGUGUGAUACAAAUAGUGCAACAUAUUUCUUCAUUUUUUUCUUUUUUCAUUGUUCUUUAUCAACCUUUUCCUUUUCAUCUAUUUUUUCCCUUCGUUCUUCUCCUCCCCUCCGCCACUCGGUCCACCCCGACGACAUGAAUAUGGAAAAUAAAAUUAAACUGCAUUGGAAAGAAUAAUGAAAUGACAAAUCAUCCAAAAAAAAUAUUAAUUCAUUAUUAAAUAAAAGUCAAAAUAAACCUCUAAAAUUUUUGAAGGAGUAUUUUGGUUGAGAAAAAAAAAAGAGAAGUAGGGAGAGUAGAGAAAGGUGUUUGUUUGCGAAGGAGCUCAUUGAGUGGCUUAUUUUGAAAUGGGCAAAUCCAAAACUUUCAAGCCCAAUUGGGCUAUAAAUAAACUAUGUCAUUUUUAUUCUAAAGCAAAAUAGAAAUUAAAAUUAAAAUUUUAUGAAACAAAUAACAACUAUUAAAAUCAAUAAAUCUCAUUUCAUUCUAUAGAUUAAAACAGGUAAGCCAAAUGAGCCCUUAUUUCUCUUUAAGCUUAAAUUGAUUCUUGAAUGUGAGGAUAUUCAAUUUCAGUGCUCAAAUGGAAAUGGUCAGCGUUCUAUAUUAUUACUUUGCAAUUGAUCUGCAACAGAAAUAGGUGUUUUUUUUUUUCCUUUUUUUUUCUUUUUUUUUUUUGAGAAAACAGGGAUAUACCCUAUUUGUACAGUGCAGAAAAGUUACAAAAGCACCUAAUAGCGGGUGGCGGCCGCCUGUAACGACAAAAGUUAGCAAGGUAGCAAAACACACGAACGGAAGUCAAACUACACCCGAACACAAUGAUACAGAAAAGAGUCGAAUUUGAUCAGAAAAUUCAAUCUCGUCCUCCUGAGAGCACCGAUGUCCAUAGAUGAACCAAGCUAUGUACUCUAUUUGUCGUCUCGUCCGUCGGGUAGAUCAGUCUUCGAAUAUGCGCCUAUUUCGUUCUUUCCUUUUUUUUUCUUGAAUCUUGUUUGUUGCGCAAAAAAGAUGAUCUACAAAGUUGCUCGCCAAAGAACAAAGUCAACUCGGCCUACCAAGCAAUUUCUGCAUCCAACUGUAUACAUGGUGCCAUGUUUCCCUUUUUUUUAAAAAAAAUAAAACAUUUUUAAAAGUACGACCAUUGGCACGCAUAUUCUGGCCAACGAACUUUGCAAGGAGAGUUGUUUUUAUUAAAUCUUGGUGGAAAUUUGAAUUCAUAAUCUCUCGAUGCCAACACUACCAUUCAAUCUGAAUGAGUUGUUGGUCGAAAAAAUUAUUAUAUAUAUUUGGUGUAUUCCAAUAUCUGAACCAUUGCAUGUAAAACUUUUCGACACUAAAAAAAACUAAUAAAGGUUAAAUAGUUGGAUGAAAUAGUUGAUAUUUGAGGUAAGUCCCAUACAAAAUUUAUACAAUACACAGUACUUAUUUUAAAAAAUAUUGAUAGGGAGAGCGAAAGAGAUGUUGAUGUAUAUCCAAAGCGAAUAGUAAACAAGAGGAGAUAAAGUAAUUGCUUGUACAAACUUGCGGGUUUUACCCUGCAUUUUGUUUUCUUAAACCCCCACUUGGGUGGCCUGGAGUCCAACCUACAAUCUUUAUUUAAGAUGGGAAAAGACUCAGUUGUGCAAAUAGUUUUUUUUUUUUUUGAGAAAAAUGUAGCACGCUACCCGCUUCAUUCAUUGGAUAGAUGAACUAGGCUACAAGAGUGGGGCAACCUGGGCCCCUAAAAAAAAAUACAAAAAACCAAAAAAAAAAGGGUUCAGGUUAAAAAAAAAAAAAAACUAAGUAGAGAGCAGGGAAUCCCAAUCCUUCACCAGCUGUUUGAGGUUCGCAACCGCUGUUCCCGGGUUCGGUUGGAUACUCCUAAAGAUCCAGUCGUUUCUGGUCUUCCAAACGAUCCACUAGCAUCCUACUAAGUCCGUCAGACUAUUUCUCUUAUUAUACAGGGAUUUUCUAGUCGUCCACCUAUCCCAUACUAGGUUCACUUCCUCCCCCAGGUCUUGGGCCAGUACCCCGUGGAUGCCCCUGACACAAAUAAACUUGCUAAACACACACUGGGUAAACAGAUGGUCCACUGUUUUCUCUUCCACUCCACACAGUACACAAGCUGGGUUUUGUAUCCACCCUCUCUUAAAGAGCCUGUCCGCCGUAGGGGUUCUCUUCUUGAGGACCAGCCAGCAGAAUAUUUUUACCUUUAGAGGGAUACUAAUUCUCCAAAUACUGGCGGCUCGUUCAUCCCUUGUUCCCCCGUCCGUCAACGCCUCGUAGGUCGAUUUUACCGAGAAAAGUCCAUCCUCACUCCAUCGCCAUUGUAGUCUGUCCAGUGUGUGCAUGAUUUGAAAACGAGAAACCCUUUCCUCUAACUCCACUAGGCCUGUCCCCAUCCCUGUUCUCUGGUUUACAGAUACGCCCGUGAUCCGACGCCAAUUCCACCCACCCCUCAUGACGCAGUCACUCACUUUGAGGCUUUUCCCCUCGGACGUCCUGUAGGUCAUUGGGAACACGAGCUUCAGCGUAUUAUCCCCACACCAUCGAUCUAGCCAGAAAUCGAUGGUGCGUCCGUUACCAAGUUUGUAGGCCAUCCCCCAAGAGAAAAUAGCGCUAAGGCCGAGGACCCCUUUCCACCAGCUAGAAUAUGGUAUGAAGGAUUUGCCUUCUCUUAGUGGUUUACGUCGACGGUAAUAAAGCUCAUGGAUUAUCUUAUUCCACUGUAACUGGGGUGCUGUAUGAAAUUUCCACCACCAUUUAGUAAGGAGGGCUUGGUUCAUGCUCUCGACAUCUAGGAUGCCAAGCCCCCCUUCCCUCUUACUCUUACACACGUUCUUCCACGCCAUCAAGCAGCCCUUGCCUACAGAGUUGCGGCCUCCAUUCCAGAAAAAAUCUCUUCUAAGAGCUUCGAAAUUCUUAAUCGCCCAUUUGGGGGCAUUGAACACAGACAGGAAGUACAGGGGUAAGUUAGUGAGCACCGCGUUUACCAAAAUCAAUCUACCCCCUCUAGAGAGGAGUUUGGCGUGCCACCCUUCAAUUUAGUUGUGCAAAUAGUUGGUAAGCAGUUGAUUUGGCAUUCUUAGGAUGAUGCACCCCCAACUGUUUCUUUUCCUUAUUUAUAGACGAGUGCUGGGCUUCUCACAAUCUUUUAUACUCCACAUAUAGACCUGGUCUUAUCUGGCAUUUGGGAGAGUUGCAUUGCAAGAAGAUGGAGCAAUCACCUCAAUCUUUCUCUGGCUUUUACAGUUUUAGAUGGGGAUCAACUCGACCAGCUUGUUGGAUUCUCUUACUUGGUUUUCUCAUUCGAGUUUUGGUCACAUCUGCAGAUACAAAUCCUCAGGAUGGUAUGUUUUGGUUCCAAUUUGUAUGUUUCAUGACUAUCUAUUGUUAUUAUGUUCAAUGCAAAGACAUGAUGAAGUUCACUAGGGAGUUGAAUCUUUUGCCAUUGACAUGUUCUAGAAAGCCACAAAGAUAUAUUUUUUCCUACUAAGUAGAAAUUGCAAAAGAUGAAGUUAUAGAUGUCACAUAGCAUGCAUCUUUCCUGUGUAGCUGCUGCGCUCGAAUCCCUCACCAGUCAGUGGCAGAAUACGCCGUCCAACUGGAUCGGUUCGGACCCUUGCGGUAGCAAUUGGGUUGGAAUAAAAUGCGCCAAAUCCCGCAUAGUCUCCAUGUUAGCAGCUCAACAACUUUCUUUUAUUUUGGUUAGAGAUUUCACCACCAAUUGACAUAAAUCUUUCAUCAUAAUUCUCAUUUUGUUCCACUGUACUCCAAAAAUAGGGUAAAUCCCUGUUUAAUCAAAAAAAAAAAAAAAAAAAAAAAUCUCAUUUUGGCAGAACUCUGUCGAGCUUGGGACUGAAAGGAACUCUUUCCGGAGAUAUCCAAUAUCUAGAGGAAUUGCAGGCUCUGUAAGUUCUCUAACAUUUGGUGCUUCACAUUUUGUAUUUACAUGAUGAACAACGCAAACGCAAGUUAAACAAUCCUGGUGCCAAUGUAUUGAGGCUGUUGCAUCACUUCAUAUAUCUGUUAAUAAUCCUUCUUAUGCAACACUUUUUUUUAACUUAUUCCAAGCUUAUAUUUAUACAGGGACUUGUCUUACAACAAGGGCUUGACCGGACAACUUCCUGCAUCAAUUGGGCGCUUGAGCAGACUCAUCAAUUUGUAAGCAGCAAAAGAAAAAAAAAAGAAAAAAAAAGAAAAAAGGAAGUUUGCAUUCUUGCUUUAAUCCGUAAGUAAUAUUGUGUUUUUUGUGUUCUCUAUCCAGGAUUCUUGUUGGUUGCAGCUUCUAUGGUCAACUACCUGAUGAGAUUGGUUCAUUAUCAAGGCUAGUCUUUUUGUAAGUAACCAGAACCUUUUUCUUUUUUCUUCUUUUUCUACCUCCUUAUGUUUUCAUAAAUUUCCUUAAUAUGAUGGUGCUUAAAUGCUUGCGUUAUAUGUCUACAGACCUUUGAACUCUAAUGGCUUUACGGGAAACAUACCUCCAACCAUUGGCAAUCUCUCAAAACUAUACUGGCUGGAUUUGGGCGGCAACGAACUUACAGGAUCAAUUCCAGUCUCUGAUGGCACUACUCCUGGCCUCGAUUUGUUGACGCAUACGAAGCACUUGUAUGUUUUCUUUCUCCUCUAAACCAUUGGUUUAUUCAAGAAGUUCAUGCGUUUGGAACUAACCGGAUGAAAACUGCACGUGUAAUUGCGUUACAGCCAUUUCGGCAUUAAUCAGCUAUCUGGCGCCAUCGCAAGUAAACUCUUCAGCUCGAACAUGCAACUGAUUCAUGCGUAAGUACUGUAAUAAUCCUUCGUAUUUCCUACACCUAAGUUGAAGUUGUCUUUCUAAGUGGUAACUACUCUUUGUUGCUCAGGCUGUUCGAUAAUAAUAAUUUCUCGGGGAGCAUCCCUUGUACAUUAGGACUCGUGACGACUCUAGAGGUCCUGUAAGUAUAUAUUUUGCAUAUACGAUCUACGAUGAGUAGGGUUUUCAGUUCCAUGGACUUCUAAUUUCGGUUGUAAUUAUAUGCGGCAGACGCCUGGAUAUGAACUCGUUGACUGGCCCCGUUCCUACCAACCUGAACAACCUUACUCGAGUUGCAGAACUGUGAGUUACUUGGUCAUCAUUUUGGUGGAACUUUUGGAUUUUAUGGAUUUUUCAAUAAAUGAUGAGUUUAAAAGUUUCACUAAACAUAUCAUUACAUGGCUUCUUUUUUCUUUUAAAUUUCAUAUCCCAGGCAUCUAGCAAAUAACAAACUGACGGGUCUAUUGCCGGAUUUAACUGGAAUGAAUGCCUUAAAUUUUGUGUAAGUUGUUGUAGAAAUUUUUACGUACAUUUGUCUCUCGUUGACUUAUUGAAUUGCAAAUAAAAAUAUCAUUGGGUUUAGUGAUUCAUAGAUCUCUGGACUCUGCUAGUGCUAUUAAACAACAUGACAAUGUUGUCUCUAAACUAAUUAUACUAUUAGAUACACAGGGACAUGAGCAACAACUCUUUUGAUGCAUCAGAUAUUCCACGCUGGUUCGCAUCAUUGCCAUCUUUGACAACAUUGUAUCUCUCUCCUCUCUCUCUCUCUCUCUCUCUCUCUCUCUCUCUCUCUCUUGACAUUUCUCUGCCAAAAAUUCUAUCAUCUAAAUUAGAUAGCCUUAUCUAACCAUUGACUUUCAGACGUGAUAUUUUUCAACAUGACAUAGAGCAUAAACAAAUUGGAUAUUUUGCUUUUGUAUAAUCAUUCUCUAUAUAAGAACAUUUAUAUCAAUUGCAAAAACAGAAGGAUCCAGUGAGUUUAAUAGUUCGGACCUGUCAAUUAUGUUCACUACUGACCUUUACAUUUUUAUCCUGAUGACAUAAUCGACAUCCACAACGAAUUCUUCUACAGCGUAAACUCUUCCAACCUAUCUUUAAUGGAAACCUGCAGUCUCAUCUAUCACUCAAAAUUAGAAUUUCAGGCUUCAGUUGUUCUCACUUUGGACUGGUUGUUGGAGUAUAGGGUGAUUUGUUUGGAUUGUAAAGGUUCCCUUGUUAGCGAAAGCAACACUGUUUUCGUAAUGCCCAUUUUGAAACUAGUGAGAAAUAUGAUAGAAGGGCAAAUGCAUGUGAUUCAAAAUGAAAUUCAUUAAUAUCUUGUAAUUUCUUGUUACUGCAUAUAUCUGGAGUACCUAAAAAUUGGAGGGCAGCUACCCCAGGGUCUGUUAAGCGCUUCUCCGAUGCAGACACUGUGAGUACUUAUUAGUCUAAAUGAAUGGUAUAUUUCCCGUCCUCGCACAAAAAGAUGGUAACAUUUGGAGAAAUUGAUGCAUUAUCCCAAGAGAUUGAUCCUGACUAAUCUUUUUUUUCUUAGAAGCUACAUAUGGUUUUAGUGCUGAUUCUCUUUUCAAUUAAAAUGUAAUUUCAUUAAAUGUGAACUUGUCGAGGCAGGAGGCUUAGGAACAAUCGCUUUAAUGGCACUCUAAAUAUUAGCUCAGACUACAGCAAUCAGCUUGAACUUAUUGAUCUGCAGAACAAUCAGAUCAGUGCGAUAAUAGUUGGUGGAGGAUACAACAAACAAAUCAUGUAAGCAAUUAAUCUUUCUGCUACAUGGCAACAAAGCAUGUAUCAUGUUAAAUUUUCUUUUUCUUGUGGGAAUUUUGCAACUACAAAUCAUUUAUUUACAUAUCUACCUCUGUAAAAAUCUGAAUGUUCAUAGGUAGCCAUUGAGAGUGCAACCACCAGUAAUAUUUUUUUUUUUCUCUAUUAAGUAUGCUUUCGUGCUAUGCGGCAGACUUGUGGGCAACCCGGUUUGUAAGAAUGGUGGAAUCAAUCUCCCAUACUGCAAUACUUUGCAAAACUCUGCUCCGUCGUACUCAACUCCUAAGAACUGCGUGACGCUGCCGCCUACUUGUUCUUCAGAUCAGAGUCUAAGUUCCAACUGUAACUGCGCAUUUCCAUAUAUGGGCACUCUAUAUUUUAGAUCUCCAUCCUUUUCGGACCUUGGAAACACGACAUAUUAUCUUACCUUGGAACAAGCACUCCAAAAGUCGUUUACGAUUAAUCAGCUUCCUGUAGACUCCGUUUCGCUGUCACACCCUUUUGUAGAUUCUAGUAACAAUUUGGAGAUGAGUCUGCAAGUUUUUCCAAGCAGCAAAAUCCGUUUUAGUGAGUCAGAUGUUACUGGGGUUGGUUUUAUCCUCAGCAAUCAGACGUUUAAGCCUCCGACCAUUUUCGGGCCCUACUAUUUCGUCGGACAGGAGUACCCUCCUUUUACUGGUAAAGUCAUUUAAUCUUUAACAGCCGAUACUAAUCACAUAGCGAAGGAUUUGUGAGAUUUUCACAUCUCAUUAUGCUGUUCUGCAUGCAGUUCCUGCGCCAGCGCCAACACCAAAUCACUUGCCUAUCAUUGUCGGAGCAACAAUCGGCGGUGUGGCUCUGUUAGUAACACUGAUUAUUCUUGGCGUUUUUGUUAUUAAAAGACGGAAACAAACCAAAAGGUCUGAAGAUGCUAGAAGCCGGUCGUAUGGUAAGUUUCGCCGACAAUUUAAGUUGGACUUCCUUUGACCUACUAUUAUUGUUUAUGCAUUUUGCUCAAAUUUUAUUUGCCUACAGUUUCGUGGGAUCCCAGCAAAAGCAGUGGUAGCAUACCACAACUUAAAGGAGCAAGAUUAUUUUCCUUCGAAGAACUAAAGAAAUGCACCAAUAACUUUUCUGAAGCCAAUGAGAUUGGAAAUGGCGGUUACGGAAAGGUAAUCCCUUACUUUGCACUGGUUCAUAUUGGUAUAUGUUAUAACGAAGUAUAUAAUCUUCAUGAAUAAGCAUUUAUUUAUGUAUACGACGGCAAUAAUUGGUGAGGUUGUUUUUCCAGGUGUACAGGGGAACACUGAGUAAUGGUCAAUUGAUUGCUGUCAAAAGAGCUGAACAGGGCUCCAUGCAAGGUGAGUCGGAGUUCAAAACCGAGAUCGAGCUGCUCUCUAGGGUCCACCACAAGAAUCUUGUCAGUCUAGUUGGUUUCUGCUUUGAUCAAGGUGAACAAAUGCUCGUCUACGAGCACGUCCCAAACGGUACUCUAAAAGAAAGCCUAUCAGGUAAUGUCUGAUUCUUAUUCGCCUCUCGGCAUACUCUCUUUUGAAUUUUAUUCGCCUCUCUAUCGGGUAAUCUUUGAUUCUUUUUUACACCGACUGCUAUUUGUGCAGGAAAAUCUGGGGUGCGCUUAGAUUGGAAAAGGAGACUUCGCGUUGCACUUGGCGCCGCUAGAGGUCUUACCUACCUGCAUGAGCUCGCGAACCCUCCAAUAGUUCACAGGGACAUUAAAUCAAGCAACAUUCUCCUUCAUGAGCAUUUAAAUGCCAAAGUUUCUGAUUUUGGACUCUCUAAAUCGCUUGGAGACGAUGCAAGGGGUCAUAUUACCACUCAAGUGAAAGGAACAAUGGUUAGUGGCUGUCUUUUGAUGGUAGAACACACAUGUUUUUGUUUCUUUUUAGUCAAAAACUGACAAAUAUUUAUGGAUAUACACCUGCAAAGCUAAAAAUCUGAGUUUCGGUAUAUACGCUAAAAAAUUUCAAUUCUAGCGUAUAUACCCUUCUACUUACAAAACCAACUUCCUUGCAUGAAAUUGGAUUACUUCCCAAAUUACCAUAAGCUAUGUUUGAAGUAAAAAAAUUUGCAUUUUGAGGGGUAUACCCAAGACCUCAAAUUUUACAGGGGUUAAAGAUAGGUGAUUUUGCCGGAAUUUGCAUGUAGAAGUCCUUAUUAGCAUGCACUCUUGAUGCAGGGAUAUUUAGACCCCGAAUACUACAUGACACAACAGUUGACCGAGAAGAGCGAUGUGUACAGCUUUGGGGUCUUGUUGCUAGAGAUUAUCACUGCAAAGAAGCCCUUGGAGCCAGGCCGAUACGUCGUAAGGGAGGUUAAUGCGAUGAUGGACAAGUCGAAGGAUCUCUACAGCCUACAUGAGCUUCUGGAUCCAGCUUUAGGCUUAGGUGCCGCACUUGGCGGGUUCGAGAGAUACGUGGACUUGGCGAUGAUGUGCGUAGGAGAGUCGGGACUUGAUCGGCCCAAGAUGAGCGAGGUGGUGAACGAGGUUGAGAAAAUCAUGCAGAUGGCCGGCAUGAACCCGAAUGCUGGUUCUGCAUCUACGUCGAUGAGCUAUUAUGCCGAGACGAGUAAGAGCCCUAUUCGUCACCCUUAUAGUAACGAAGGCUCCUUCGACUACAGUGGCGGCGCGCCUUCACCAAAGCUAGAACCAAAGUAAUUAAGUUCCGGUAACAUUUCCUGUUGUUUGUUCUUCAUUUCGACAGAACAAAAGAAGCAGCAAAAUUUGAUGUAUAUGCGCCUUCGAUCAAUGCCUACGAUUGAUACAUGUAUUGCAAAACUUGACAAUGUUGUAAGUGUUGUUGUUCAAUUACAGACGAUCUCCCGAUACCACUGAAAAAAGUGUUUGUGUCGUGUGUGGAAGAAGAGCAAAUUGAAAAAAGUGAGCCAUUAAAAACAACAAUAAUAACACAACCUGUUUCCGGUGAUCUCAACUUAAUUAUUUUGGUCCGGAAAUUAACAAAAGAAUACCAAAAGUUCUGAAUCAUGUGUGCCGGAGCGUUAGUUAGUUUCGAUCGACUCUCCAGCUUAUUUGCUUGGAUCGAUCCUGUGAUCGAUUUGGUCUUUCUAAGUUUUUUUAAGUUACGGGCUUCUCCAGCAGAGCGGAGACAUACCACUCGUCCUUCCGGAUCCCCCGGUCGAGCUUCCGCCCCGCCGCCCAGCGCAGCUUCUUGAACCCGAUCCGGUCGAACAUGGGCACGUAGGUGGCGUUGAGCUGCGAGCCGAGGCAGAAGAAGUGGUCGAGCCAGAACAGGCCCCCGGGGCGCAGCACCCUGUAGAUGUCGUACAGCGCGAACUCCAGCAUGACGUCGGGUAUCCAGUUGCUGAGCACGUGCAUGGAGUGCACGACGUCGAGCGUGUGGUCGGCGAAGGGGAGCCGGUGGGCGACGCUGACGUGCAGGGGCACGAGCCCGCGCGACGCGAUGAAGCUGUUGAACGGCCCGUCGAAGUUCAUCGUGCUCGUCACGACCGUCACGUUGCGCUCCCGCAUCCGCGCCGCGAAGGUCCCCGUGCCGCCGCCGAUGUCGAGCCCGAUGCGCACCGCGCCGGGCCGGCGCGUCCGCAGCACGUCGUCGAUGCCGAAGUCGAGCCCGCCGUUGUCGGAGAGCCACCGGACCUUCUCCCUCCCGCGCAGCAGGUCGAAGCAGUCCUUGCAGUCGUAGGAGCCCUUCGCCCUCCCCCUGUUCACCAGGCAGCUGUAGUUCUUGCAGCUGUACGCGUCCCACGUGAUGCUCGUGUCCGGGGGGAUCGUCCACAUGCUCUCCGGGAACGGCGUCGGCUCGACGUAGUUCGUCGGGGACCUGGGCCUGCACCGGCGCCGCGGGAGCGGCUCGCAGCCCUUCAGCAUGAGCCGCUGCGCGGAGAUCUCGUCGGACGGGCACUCCCGCCCGACCUCGUACGACAUGUACGCGAGCAGGUCCGCCUGGUGGCGCCGGCACGCGGCGCCGAGCACGGGGUAGAGCUCGUCGCUGCCGAUGUUCGGGGUGAAGCCGAGGGGGAGCUUGUGCGGGGACGCGACGAGCUUCAGCUCGCCGGAGAGCUCGCCGUCGCCGAGCCCGUCGGGAUCGUCGCCGUGGAGGCGGCCGAGCUCGGAGAGGAGGGUGUCGAGGAGGGAGCUGGCGGCGGAGCAGCGGAGGCGCAGCUCCGCGAGCGCGACGUGCGCGUCGGCGAGCUUCGCGCGCGUGGAGUUGAGGUCGCGGCGGAGCGCGUCCGAGUCCCAGAGGUGGAUGCGCGGCGCGUGCUCCGGCCACUGCACGUCGAGCGUCGCGCCGGAGAACAGGUACACGGAUAGCAGGUUCGUCGAUAUCACCAGCAGCAGUAUCUUCAGCUUCGUUCGCUUACGACACCUUUGCUGAUUCGAUCUUCUCGAGUAGAGAUGAUGCUCGUGAUCCUCCGCGCCCCCCAUUUUCCUCUCUCUAUGAUCGAUGGAAGUGAUCUAGAGUUAAGCAUGGGAGGAGGAUUUUAAUAUUAAUGCAUGCAUCAGCAGUGCAAAAGAAUUAGUGGCUUCAUUAAAAGGCAUUAAUGGGUGUUCACAUAUGCCUAACGCGCUGAGUUAGCGGGGGAGGAAAAAUCUCGGUUGCUUGUGAAAAAGAAAGUGGGGGGAAUGGGAAGCCCAAUCUCUAAGAUUCCGAUAUAAUUCGCAGGAAAGUUUAUAUAUAUAUAUAUAUAUAUAUAUAUAUAUAUAUAUAUAUAUAUAUAUAUAUAUAUAUAUAUAUAUAUAUAUAGUAAGUUUUUACUAUUAGAUUUACUUCUCAGAUCAUUUUCAACCGUUAGAUUAUAUUAUUCAAUCAAUCACCCACUCAACUCUAGAGAGCUCACAUCAUCCUAAUCGUAUAUUUCUUAAUUCAAUGGCUAAAAAUUUACAAGCAUCAAUAACUUGAUACUUUUAAAAAUAUAAGAGCUCAAUUUUAUAUAUAUAUUAAUUAUACUCGUCCUCAACAAGUAUAUUGAAUUGUUAGUUUAUUAUGUCGGGGUCCUCGCUCACCGUAAUUCGGCGUUGGUUUCGUUCGAGAUGGGUCGACACACCCCUUUAGUUUAUGCAAGUGCUAAGCGCAGAUCCGAUCUACCUUGAGGAGAGUAGUUACCGAAACUUGGUCCACCGUGCCAUAAUUAGAAGCUGAGGGGUGUGAUUAUUUAUUGCAAUGCACGAAAAGUAACUUAGACUUGCAAUCACAAAAGAAAAUUAUAAAAGUACUUUUAUAUAUUUUAAUAAUAAAACUAUUUCCUCAAAAAUAGUUUGACGAAAGGCGUGGGGAACAACUUCUCCACCACUACUAUGUCCUGUACUAUUAGAAGAAAAGGUUAAAAGACCUUCCUUAUCUUUAUUUUUUAUUUUUAUUGGUCAAACGGUACAGAUACGCGUUGAUCUCGCUCUCGGAAUAGUGCAUGUUCGAGCCAAAUUGUUUUUAAAAUUGGAGUGCGAUGAAUGCGCCCUUUCUCUGCUGGAAUGUUUCCAAUAAGACCCUGGGUUCAAGUUAUCGCACAGAAACGGGCUGGGCCAGGCCAGAAUAUAUCACUUGCUUAUGUAAGUCAUUUUUUCACCCCAGCAUAGCCCAUUGAUAUAAAAAAUUAAGACGAGAUUUGGCCCAGCCAAGUGAACUGGGUUGGGCCUAUCCAAUUUUGCAGUAACACAAAAUCCAACUGGCCAUGGAAGGGCCAUUUUCAUUAUUAAUUUUUUUUGAGAAAUAGGUAGCCAGCUACCCGCUUCAUUUAUUAGAAAGAUAAACUAAGCUUAUAAAAUGGAAGCAGCCAGGGCUUCCGGAGGCUAUUUUCAUUAUUAUUAUUUAUCAUGAAACAUGUAUAAGAUAUUUAUUUACUCAUAUACAAUAUAUAUGAAAAUUUUCCUUUUCCCCCUCUAUGGUGCUUUCAUAUUAUUGCAUCAUUGGUUGGGCAAGUUUGUGCUAGCUUUUUUAAGUUGUCAAUGAUCAUAACCAGCUUCGUGUUGAGCCGAUUGACUAAGCACUUUGGCAACCAUCCAGCAGGGUCUAACUGCAAAAAUAGAAGUUCAAAAAUUUUAAAUAAAAAAAAGGAUAAAUUCACUUGUUUAUUUAUAAUAGAAAAGAAAAAAAAAAGCAAAAUUUCAAGAUUAUUAUUACUUAUAUUGUGAAAUAUGUUGGAGAAAUCUCCAGAAUGUUAGGAAUAUAGUUAAUUCUUUGUUUUUUUUUUUUUUAUCAUGAAAUUUUGUUGCAGUUUGGUUUUCAUGAACACAAAUGUCAAUAAGAUUCAAUACCAUAAUUUCAAAACUAGAUGAUCCAUACCAAAUGUGUAGAGUAAGAAUGCUAUUUACCUGAAUAACGUAAGUCACGAUGCACGAAUCGUCGUCGAGCUUCUCGACCACCCAUCCUGACUGCAGCAGCAGCCCACGGAUCGAAUUGCUCUUCUUCGGCAUCAGUCCCGCAGCGAUCUCCUUCGGUAGAGAAGCUACAGCAACUACCUAAAUAAAAAUCGAAAAUAUUUCCAGCAUUUGCUCUUCUCAUUUCCAUCAACAACGAAAUUUCUUAACUAAAAUAAUGUUCGAUAUUUGAAGUGCAUCUUAGUUACCAGUGUUCCAUCAUCCAUAGUCUCACGCCGUUCGUAGACGAUGAACUCUCUCUUCUUGAAGAGCGGUUUCGACGCGUCCCCGAACUUGAGGUGGAUGAUACUGAGGUUAUCACUUAGGCCCUUUAUGUACUUGGCUUCGACUAGGUCAUGGUCCCAUUGCUGUAAGAUGCAUACAGCUAGAAGUUUAAUUACUAGCCAUGUUUUAAAGGGCAAAGCAAAUAUAAAACAUUGUUACAAUAAUAUGUGGCUAUGAUCAACAUUCACGAUAUAUUGGCUAAACAGUGCAGUGAAUUGUUUUACAUGCAGAUAAUCAAAUGACACAUGAUAUUUUUCUUUACAAUUUAUCAAAUGGAUAAGAAAGAAAGAAAGAAAGAAAGAAAGAAAGAAAAAAACCGAUGUAAGAUCGUCUCCGAAGAUAAUGAUUAUUCAAAUAGUCGGCGGUCAUACCAAAUCAAUCUAGACUAAUAAUAAUAAAUAACUAUUCUCAACCAAAUUACAUUUAGUGAAAGCACUAAAGACUUUUUAGACCAUCAUUAAAAGACACCAGGAAAAAGGAAUAGAGAUUUUUCCUGUAAACCAUUAUAAGCUUUAACUUUUAAACCUUAAUGUGAUUCUUAAUCCACAUAUGACCCUCCAUGUAUAAUUAAUUCCCAUGUGAAGGGGCUGCACACACCCCUUCACUAGUUCACUCCCUCUUCAUCAAGGUGACGUGUUUGGUCACUUGCCAUCACUCAUGCAUCUUCCUCGUAUGCUCCUCGUUUUCCUAUUCCCCAGCUUCUCCCAGAAGUGCUUUUGUCCUUUUGGAGGGGGGGUUGCGUUGUUUGCUAACGAGUCCUGCAGUAGCUGUUUCUCUGUUGAUCCAUUCCUACUCUGACAAAGCGCGCUGACGAUACCAUCAAAUGGAUCCCAUAUGAACAGUAGUAACUACUUAACCAACUUGUCAACUUGCUCGCACGGUCAAAAUCCCAAGCACUGGCUAUAAAUUUAAAUCCGACUCUUCCUUCGGCCGUGGAUAUAGAAAAACUGUUGAUGUACUAACAUAUAUUUAUACCAAUACUUGUACUUCGGGUUUAGGACAUUAUACAGGCUAUCAACAUAAGCCUAGAUUCAUUUCACCUCGACUUUCAAUUAAAACCACUAGUUAAUUAAUAGUUACAAUUUCUUGAAAUUUACGAGUAGUUUUUGAAAGUGAUCAUAUGGAGGUCAAAAAAGUAAAUGAGUUUUUGACUAUUAAUAGUGAGAGCUAUAAUUUACAAUUUCUUCUUUUGCAUUAUAUACAAUGUGCUACUUUUGUAUGUAAUAUGGGAUUAUUAUUCUUUGCAUCUAGAAGGAUAAAAGGCUAGUGAAAUUUGUUUACCUUUGCAGCAUCGAUGGCAUUGGCGACAGUGAUGAACUGCUGGGGGGAGACGGACCGUAGCAGCCACCGGCUUCUGAAGACAUGGAGAGAUCCUGAGGACCGCUUCGAUAUCUCGACACCAUUCUCAAAUGCCAACACCUUCCACCCGUCCCCGCCAGCUCCCCCAGCCCUCGUCCGACGCCGUUAACAGCUCCUGUAUGCAGCUCUCGCUCGCAUAUGACACGUACCUUCUCAACGAAUCAUCGCUAACAGACCUAAGAAAGCAACAAAAAAAAAAAGAAAAAAGAAAGAGAGAGAGUUAAAGAGAGAACUAAAAUAGAUAGUGUAGAGUGUUCUAAAGAUGGCAAAUAAUUAUGUACCAAGAACGAGUGCAUGGAGUAAUGGGUGAAGUUGGGGUGCUCAUUGUGGGACUUUGGGUAGUGAUUGUUAUGGGAGUGAUAUUGUGUUAUGCAUAUAUAUAUAUAUAUAUAUAUAUAUAUAUAUGUGUGUGUGUGUGUGUGUGUGUGUGUGUGUGUGUGUGUGUGUGUGUUUAAAGGGGGGAGGUGAGGGGAAGCAAAAAAGGAAGUGGGUUUGUAGUGAUUGGGGCACAUGGAGGGGGCAGUGGAAGAAGCCCAUGAGAUUGAGCAAGCACGUGCUCUAUCCCACACAAGCAUUAAAGAAGAGAUUCUUUCCUUUAGAGAGGAGAAGGGGAAUGAGAGGGAGUAGGGGAGGUAAAGCACAUGGAGUGUUGGGUUCAACCACAAGGAAAGAAUACGGAUCAUAAUUCAUAAAAGCAAAUUAAUAAAAAACAAAAGAAAUGGUGUUUGAGUAAAUUUGUACGAAACUAAUAGUAUAACUUACCAAAAUCUCCUCGUCGAUGAUGUUGGCAGCAUAAUCCUCUCUCAUUACGAGCAUAUGCUUGUCAGACGGGCCAGGUCAUCGGGCCAGGUCAUCGGGCCCGCUGCGCUUUCGUGGCAUUUUCUUUAACACCUGCACGACUAAUUACAGCAACUCAUAUGCAAGUUGUGAGUUUAAAGGUUUAGCUGUUGAUGGGCAUUGGACCCACAUCUCCAUAUUUAAGCUUGAAGUUAACAGUGUUUCUCAUCUUUCUAAUAGUGCUGUUUCUCGAAAGGAGUGGUGUAAAAAGGAUGACAACAAAGUUGAUACCAACCACACCGAAAUUGCGUCAAAUCGAUUCCUAAAGGUUCUUUGAAAGGUGCAUGUUGUAGAAGAUGCUUAUAUGCCUGAACAAAGCUAAAUUGUAAGCAAUGAAGAAUUCAGGCCUUGAGGAGCAGAAUAAUAUCUUUCAUGCACAAAAAGAUUCCAACUCUUUUGUAAGAAACGAAAGAAGAAGAUCAUCUAUAUUUUGUAACACAAGAGCGUGAAAGUAUGCAGGCAUUUAGGAACUAGAACACUUAUUUUCGGAUAAUCAUGUUGAAAAAGUAUGCACAAAAUUUUGUGAAUCAUGAUAUGUAUCAUACAAAAGCCCUCGGAAUCUUCGAUUCUUUAAUUUCUUUGGCUUCUUUACUGUAACUGUGUGCUGAAGAGAGUCCAAGCUGAGUUUAUUCUGCAAAACUGUCAAUAUUGAUAGUUUACAAGUCGACAAGCUACUGUAUUAAGAAAUCUAUUAAGAAAAGCAAGCAAGUAGUGGACACACUUGUAAGUGAUUAAGUAUUUAAUUAGUUGAACUGAAUAAUUUAUUAGGAUUCAGAACACUUUAAAGACAAUGGAGAGUUUGCAUGAGCUGCAUCUUGUACACUGCCAAUGGGAUCUCGACAAUAAAAUAGCAAGCCAACUCAGAGAACAUUAGUUUUCAUGAUACUACUAAAAUAAGCAGAAAUGAAGCCUUCGGAUCACAUCACAUAGUUAUAAACAAGCAUCAGAUUCAAUUAAGGGACAUUGACCUUCAUUAAGAAUAAUUAAAGAUGCAUUAUUGACAUAAUAUCUUCAGGAUUUGAAAUGCGAGGAGGCAUUAAGUGCAAAUCAGGAUACAUAAAAUUAAAUAACAAAACAUUUGAUGUUACAAGAGGAGCACUUCAAUCAUUUUAUCUGAUGUUUGCAUGCUGUCACUCUUGGAUCUUACCCAAAUGUUAGCUGGAAUGUCUGUCACUCUUGGAUCUUGCCCAAAUUUUAGCUGGAAUGUCUCUUAUCACAAUAAAAUAUGAACUUCUUUCAAACAUCCCUGAGGAAGUUCGGGAGAAGAAAGAAAAAGGUAGAUGCUGAACAAUAACCUGUCAAAAAAUGAAGUUCGAACAUGAAAUUUUUCUAACUAUAACCAAAUUCCCUCACCAGAACUCCAGAACUGCAAUUUACAAACAAUUUAAUUUGCCUGAAAAUUUUAUUUUCUGGUUGGCAUUUCAUAUGAUCUGUUAUUUCUUUUGUUCGAAGAGAAAAGAGGAGAUUCAGAUAUAAGCUGAAUCAUAUGACAUGUUAACUAAGUGUAGUAAGAUUUUGCACAAAAACAAACCCCAGAUCAAGCUUUUUUUUUGCUGUAAAAGAAUUGACAGACUAAUUUCAUUGUCAGUUCUCAGAACCAAUGUUUCCCCUGUCAAGCAUUAUGUUCUCAUUUCAUCUGAUUCAAAAAAUUGGAAAUGUAAAGUAACUAGUGGAACUUUGGGCUUUUAUUGACAUAUACAAUAUUAAAGCUACAUAUAUAUAUAUAUACAUAUACUCAAAAUAUAUGGAUGGAUGGAAGGAAGUACACCAUGUGGAUCUACGCCCUUAGUACUCAUUAUAUCUUAGAGAUGGGACCAAAUGUAGACAAAAAAAUAGACAAGAAUAAUGCCUGUGGACCAUGUUAAGCAUAUAUGAAUAAUGUCAGUCUAUCGAAGGAUAAGAACAAACAACAGAACCACGACCACAUGUAGGAACAGCACCACCUUCAUAUGCUUCUGCUUUCCUUAAACUUCAAGAAGCAGACGACAUCGAGAAAAGAACAAUAACAUGUACAUAAUCAUGCGCUCUCCGAGAUCUAGCCAAUGGUCAACAGGUAGUAGGACCUAACAGUCAUUGCAGUCAAAGCUAACCUGAGGUCUACAGACGAAAUUGUCUGAAAAUUUCGCCAAAAGAUCCAAAUGCGCCAUGUUGCCUGUCCUAGGGUCCUGUUUGUUGUCACUCUAACUAACUAAGCUGGCCUCACAUGAAUCUUGUCUGAACAUCGUGGUCCUUAAAUGCGUUUGCAUUAUUUCUCGUUGAUGGAUGACUUGUAGUAUGACUCAUACUACAAGAAUGCCCGCGAAUUUUGUUUGACAUAAGCUAUGAACAUGUGAAUUGGAUAAAAAGCCACAUGGCUACAUACUCUGAUUUUUGAGAGAAAAUGAUUAACCAUAAGAGACAGGAACUGUCACAUGUUUCAAGUAAAAAUAGCAUAUAUUGUUCAAUCGCUGUCCUCAACUUAUCCAAUCUCUUUUUCCUUUUUUCCGCUUACAACUUGUUGUAAACAUCUGAACAUUUUUACCUGAGCACUUCAGUAAACAGAAACUGUAUUAUUUCCUGUUUCUCUCUAUCAAUUUGUUUUCUGAAAAUGUUCUAAUUCGUCCUCUGGUUUCUUUUUGCCACAAUCAGAAAUCUAUCAGUCCACAAGAGGAAGAUUUCCGAAGUGUUCAACUUAAACUACUCAAGCAGCUUCAUUCAAUCAAGACAAGCAUAAGCUAUAUUAAUUAACUGCUUAGUACUUUUUACAUGACUAUAAAAUCAUCUAAUUUUUAAGAUUAGGCCGGGAAACAAUGAAAAACUAGAGCCUUUUGACAUGAAGUUUUCCACCAAAUACUCCUGGCCGUUUCAAAUACAAAAUCUUUUUUUCACUUUGUGAAAUUUUAUUCUGUUCUUUAGUUUCCCCAUGAUUUUAAAGGUUUAAAUCUUCAAUUAUACAGUUAUGAGAUCGACAAAGAACAAGUAGAAAAAUGUAAUGUGACAUAUAAGCAACCAGUGCAUCAAAUCUGGCUAAAGGUUUUGAUCACAUAGUCCAACUUAUAACAGGGGAUACAUGAAUGUAUACGUACCAAGAUUCUUCUUCCAUACAAGCUAUUGCCGUUAUAAGCAUUUACCUCUUUCUGAAACCAUUUUCUUUAGUCUUUUCAGUUAAAUUGAAUAUUCACUUUAUAGGAAAAGAGUAUAGUUAGCUAGGCAUCAACAUCCAUUCCACGAGUUCAGAAAGAUUGGCCACAUACAUCUUUCACAUGAAUUUUAAUAUUAUUAUCAGGAUAAAGAACAGAAACAUCAACAGAGAAUUACACGUAUCAUCUAACAACGUUGCCAACAAACUUGAACUUACAUCUUCAAAGUUUCCAGUAGAUUUUCAGUUUAUGCAAGAUUCCUGCAACAACUCCCCAAAACAAAAUCUCCGCAAAUAUAACAUACAAAAGGGUCCCCAAUCUCUCUGAAUGCCACACUUUAACAAAAAUAUGCUUGAAGAUCCAGUGGACCUGCAUAUAGAAGCAUACGCAAGCUUUAUUGCAUACAUGAUUUCUCUAAAGACUCUAAUCUUCAGCUUAAAAAGUGGUAUAUAACUUACCAGAGAGUGAUCAGGAUUUUCGUAGUACCACCCAUUGACAAAUGCAGGAAAGAUACCUUGAGCAGCCAUUACAAAAACAAGCAUCGCAUUCAUUCCGAUCCACUCUAGAAAGAGGAAUGGCAUUCUAAGACCCCACACAUCAAUCUACACAUCACAACGACAAAAAAUAAUUUAGAUAAUACUUGAGGAAACUGUAAAAAUGUCACACCAAAUAAAAGUACGGACAUCGUAAUUACGUAAGUACCAAUAUAUAGAAUGCCGAGAGAACGAUUCCUGCUGCCCCAGCCGUGAAACAAACAUAACUAAAACUGUAGAGUUGCUUAUUUAGAGGAAUGGCUACAAGACAAAAACUAAGUCAACUAAUGAUGACAAUAUCAGAGUUUACAUCAGUCCACAAGAUACUAGGAUGCCAUGACAGAAAUAAAGAGGAUAGAGAAUACCAUUGGUAGAAUGAAGGAUGACGGCGCAAAUUAAGAGAGAAAGCGCCAUUAUCAUCCAAUGUUUAAGCCUCUCCGAAUGACUCUAUAAAAAUUCAACAAAAUCAAUGAAUAAUAAAUCGUCAACUGAAAUUUUAGUCGCUAGUUGUAAAAUUAAUCGAAUAUGAGGAUCUGAUACAGUCAUAUCAAUAGUCAUGUAACUUCUUUAGAUAAACUACUAGUCUAUUGUAAGUUUUUGUGCAAGAAUAAAGUGUAGCAGGAUAACCUUGAAGUGAAUCAGCACAUGUCCAUAGUGGAUUCCGAUGGUUCCUGAAAGAAUCGCUGACACUGAGCUGGAAAAAACAUGCAUAAUAAUUUCAUCUUGCUUAGAACUUGCGAAAGUUAAACAUACUGUUAGUGUGCACAGCACUUCCAACUAGAAUUCAUCGAUUAAAAAUGAGCAGUUAGUUGAACCUCAACAAGCCUUCAGGUUCAAACGGAGCGAGACACCAACUAGCAGCAUCCACCCGGAGCAGGCCCAUGUUUGGUGAACUAUCCGUACAAUCCUGGCCGAUAAUAAUUUAUUCAGAAUAAGUUUCGCUGGUUCAAUUCUCUAUUCGCUUUAAAUAUCAGCUCAAAAGAGUCCCCACCUUGGAUCUUAUCCAAACUGGUUGAGUAUAGAGAUGGUUUAUCCCCCAUACUUGCCUAUCCACAUAGCCAACUGCAUUGCAAGCAGGAUCGAAAUGCCCUCUAACACCACACUUGACCUGAAAAACGCGAUAAUGCAUCAAUCAGAAUAUCCGAGUAAACGAUUACUAGGCUAUAUAUUCAAUUUAAGGCAAUUAAAUCUCCUAAGAGAGGCAAAGUUCUACAAAUGUACCGUAAAUCUUUUCCCAUCAUUCACAUCCCCAUCACUAUGGAAAACGUAGCUCCAAUCUGGAACAUAGAGCGAGAAUGUGGUGACCAUGUAUACGACAAAUGCAACGAACCCACCAAUCCUGGUAAAUCAACAAACCGUAAGUCUACACUAAAAUCAGAUAGAAAGAACUUUUAAAUUCCGUUAAACACUGAAUGCGGAGUAGAGCGAACUGCGCAUCAAGUAGGCCUCAGCAGACAGUGUAUGCAAUUUCGGGAUUUCACAUGCGCUGACGCAGAAUUUGCGCGCCAUAACUUGACCGGAACAACGACACGAACUUGUUCUGUGAUCAAUCAUACAAAUUUGGCCGAUAAGCGAACUGAAAGUUUGUACCAUUGCCAGCGAUACGCAUCGAAUAUCGCAAUAGGGCCCGAGGCGACGACGGUCGGCCGGACUUUUCUUGUUAAAGCCUCUAUAAGAGCCACCACCAAGUAAACCAAUGCUAUUCUCUGCUUAUUCCACAUUAAAGGAAGAUGAUAGAAAUCAAACUAGAAACAGCUAGAAUUAAAUAUAAACCUGAACUUUCAAAAGUCAUGUGACUGCCAAACCAUUAAAGUUUGAUGUAGAAAAGACCAAAGAAAAAAAAAAAAUGAUGUGCAGAAUGUUGAGAGGCAAACCUGGAGGAUGCCACACCAUCUGAUUUUCUUCAUAUCAACUCCAUAGGAGAGGUCAUCAGGAGCAUGGGAGUACCCACCUUCAUUGCACAUUUGCACCAACACAAACACCAACAAUUUUUUAUAAAAAAAAAACAAAAAGAGACACAAACCCAGCAUCAAAUACUCCAACAUGUUAAGGAAUUCUAAUACACAGGUACCUUGGAGGAGUAAGCCCCAGAAGAGGAGCUUGAGUGUUCUGAGGAGGAUCUUUUUAACUGCAUCACUAAGUUUUGGGACCCUCUGCAGCGAACAAAUUGAUGGAAAGGGUUCAGACAAGGGCUGUUUUGAUUUCAAAAACUUAAACUGCAGGAAUUUAACAGUUCCUGUCAAAAAGUUAAUGGAAUGUUCAGUUAUAAGUUAUAAAUAUUUUAUUGAAAAAGGUUAAGAAUAUUGUUCAAGUUUUUUUUUGAAGUAAAGAAUAUUAUUAUUAUGGGUUUUUUUUGCAUUUAGGACCCUGGCAAUUUUUAUUUAAAAAAUAGCCCUGUCAAAAUUUAAUUUGCAAAAAUGAACCUAGGCUUGCCACGCAGGCGCCACGUCAGCACCACGCGGGCCGGGCUAGGGGCCGUAGUUAAGUUAAAUAAGGUGAAUCAUUCACCGUGUCUAAAUACGGUGAAUGAUUCACCGUGUGUUUAGUACGUAUUUUUUGUAUAUUGAAAAGAGAAACAGGAAAUUUGUAUUCCUUUUCUUCUCGUUUUCAAAAAUCCGAACCUGAACCCGAAAAUCAAAUUAAAAUCCAAACCCGGAUCCGAAUCUAACGAAUUUUAAAAAUCCAUACCCAUAUCCAUAUCCGACCAAAAACUCGAAAUCCGAAUCUGAACUCAGCGGGUUUUAAAAUUCUAUACCGAUGGAUGAAGAUCUAAAAAAUAAAAAUUAUUAAAUAUUUUAUAUAUUGUAUAAAUAAACAAAAAUAAAUUAUGUAUAUAUAUAUAUAUAUAAUUUAUUCGGGUUUGGAUUCGGAUAAUAUUUCGAAUAUCCAUACCUACUGACAUCCCUACUUCCUAUUUCUCUUUUCAAUAUACAAAAAAUAUGUACUAAACACGAUAAACCAUUCACUGUGUUUGAACACGGUGAAUGGUUCACCGUGUUCAAACUUAACAUACGGGCCCCGACCUUGCCCUCGUGGCGCUGACGUGGCGCCUACGUGGCAGACGCAGGUCCAUUUUUGCAAAUUAAAUUUUGAUAGGGCUAAUUUUAAAAUAAAAAUUUGCCGAUGGGCUAAAUGCAAAAAAAGCCCUAUUAUUAAAGUUGGCAUGAUGAUGAAAAAACUGCAAAGUUAAAUAGUAAAAUUUAAAUGUCUAAAUUUUGUAUUUUAUUUUCGAAUUGUACUGUAGUCAGUACACUUUCACCUAAGAAUUUUUUUUUUUUUUUUAAACUACUAUAGUCUGGCACAUAUUCCUUAGUUUCAUAAUUGCAUAGCAAACUAGGGGUGGCAAUCUCGCUGUUCGUGGCUCAUGUUCUAUUUAAAAUAAGCUCAAGAUCAAAUCGUUUGUUUAUUAGUAAACAACUUGAAUAUGAGUCGAAUUUUUCAGCUCGUUUAAUAAACGAGUCGAACAUGAGUUGAGAUCAGCCUACGCAUGUUCGGCUCGAUAAAAUUCAAUUACAUAUAUUUUAUAUUUUUAUAUAUAUAAAUAAAUAAUUAUAUAAAUAUCAAAUAAAAAUUUUUCUUUAUUUAAUUUUUAACCAAACCUAAAUAUAAAGUCCAAUGCAAUUAUACAAAUAUCUAUUUAUAUAUAAAGUUUCAAUUAUUAGAUCAAAAUCUAAUUAGAUAAAAUCUUAUAUAUUUCUUCUGUAUAUAUAUUCUUUUUAAUUCUUUAAUUUGUUGUUUGUGAGCAAGCUUGUGUUCGGCUCGAUACUUUAACGAGCGAAAUACAAGCCGGUUCCAACUCGCUCAUGUUCGGCUCGUUGACACUCCUAUAUCAGACACAUGUUUGGGUAUUUUCAAACUAAACGUGAGUUUUAUAAAUUAAUAGAUUUUUGAAUUAAUAACUAAAGCUAUGGUAGAAAUUUGAAGAUUAUGUUCUCUUAAAAAAAAAAAAUUUAAGCACUAGUAUAGUGCAAUUUAUUCUUUCUAAAAUUCAAACUUAAAACCGAUAGUUUCUAGUGCAAGUCAUAAAGGGCUUUAUAGUUGGUACCCGAAGUCUUAAGUUUGAAUUCUAGUUAAUUUACAUUUCCAACCAAAUUUAUUUCUAAAUAAAAUAAACGAAGUGGGUAGCAUACUUUCUAUCUCACAAAAGAAAAAAAUUUCAAACCUUAAAAGCGAGAGCAAUGGCGACUCCGACAAUGAAGAGGAAGAAAGGCAUGACGAAAUCUGCAAGUGUGCAUCCGUUCCACGGCGAAUGAUCAAUUCGCUCGUACGCCCCACCCGCAUCAUCAACCAAUAUCAUCAACUACACCAUAUGAUCGACAAACCGUCACAAACAAAUUGUCCAAUAACAUUAAGGAGAAAACAAGAGAGCGAAUUAAAGAGAGAUCGAUAUAUCUCAUCUUACAACAAUAGUGAGCCCUCUAAACGCAUCCAAAGCUGCUACUCUUCGACUCCUUUUAACUUCAACUGCUUCUGGACCAACUUUUUUCUCCUCCUCGACUCCGUUCGCGCUCUCUUUACUGUCACCAACUUCGUCCCGGCGCAUGUCGAUGGCAUGCUCUCUCUCCUUUGCGACGAUGAUCUCCUUCUCUUCCUCCAUUCGAUCUCCUUCUUCCUUUCUAACUGCUAUGGUACUAAACCUUAUAAAUAGACAAAUGAAGAUGAUUGAGGGGUAGUAUAUAUUAAAUGUGAGAAAAAAAUAUAACAAAAGACAAAAUGUUCUCUCCAAAUGGCCUCUUUGCCGUAUGUUCUCCGAAAAGUUUUAUAUUGUAUUUUAGAUUCUAAUCAUAUCCGUGAGAGUGGAGUAGACGAGGACGUAAGCAGGAUAGUGCAGGAACAAAGUUUGAGACACAUAAAGCCGGCGUUUUUUUUUUUUUAUUUUUCAUAUAUUAUAAACUUCAAGCGUGAGAUUAAUCUAAUUUAAUUUUGAAUAAUAUGUUAGGAUUUGGGUUCGAGUUCAAUGUCAGGGUACGUUCCGUGCCACGUGAAGUGAUCGAACCAAUUUACCUGCUUAGUUUCGUGGAACCCAGGUUGGGGUUUAGAUAAUAUUGAUAUAUAGGUCACUAUAUAUGAUAACAACAUGGAAAUUUUAUUAGCCUUUAAUUAAUCAUAAAUGAUCAAGUUUAUUAAUUAACCUCGUCUCGUCGCCUUGUGUUGUGGAGCGUAGUUUUACCCAAUCGAAUGACCCACUUGAAACGUACCACUUUGUUUUUUUAUUUGACUAUUGGAGAGCUAAUUUGACUCGUGACCGGAACACUAACGUAAUUGUUGAGUAAAUUAGUUUUUUGUUUUUUCAUUUCUUUUAAUCAAACUUUAGUCAACCCUAUCGUUUUAUUGGCCCCGUGGGGAGUGUUGCAGCGGCAAUUGCACAUCACGACGCCCAAAUAAAACUUUGCGAUGCUAGAGACAGAGGUGCAAUGUGGGCCGUGCCCCACAUUAUUCGGGCCGAAACAGGCUAGAGAUCGGCACGGCACGGCCCGAAUUCAAACCCGGGCCGGGUCGGUGCUACCAACCCUUCGGUCUAGCACAGCCCUCCGGCCCGGAAGGCACGGGCAGACCGUGCUUCCGGCUGGCUCUUAAAAUUUUUAUUUUAAAAUUUUUCUCAGAAAAUAUAUAAAAUUUAAAACUAUGAUUAAUAAUUUGUUUCUAUUUAAAUCUAUAUUAUGAUUAAAAAUUUUAAAAUUUAUAAAAAUAAUUACAAAAUAAUAAACAUUUUCAACUUUUCAAAAUAAUUUAUAAAUUUUUCUUUUUUUUAGGAAAAAAAAGAAUUGAGAAUUUGAUCUAUUGGACCAAAAUCCCUCCUUCCAAAGUUUGCCACUGCAAACCUUGGGAGUAGAGCUCCUGAGAAGGAGGGCCUUCUCCCCAGGAACUCUAACCCUAAUGCCUUUGGGCCUUGAAAUCCGGACUUGGCCCGAUUAGCACGGCCCACUUUUCUGUUAAGCACGGGCCAAGCCCAUUUUAGGAUGGACGGUGCCGGGCCAGCAAGCCCAAAGAAAGAGAACCAGCACGGCUCGAAAUAAGGCCGAACCGGGCCGGCUACAGUAUACGUGAUGUGUUGCAGCCCAGCCCAUGGCGAUGCCGGGCCGUUUGACAUCCGUAGCUACGAAGGAGUCAUAGAGAGUACGGGGCUCCGCUUAGUUUUUGAAUUUCCAGAGCCCACAAAGAUCAAAAUUGAAAUAUUAAAAGAAAAAUGAUAGUGAAUUGAGCAUUUACCCAUCCGUUCUUUGGAGUAGCCAACACAUUUAUGCUACGGUUUCACAGCUAUCCACAUGUUUAUAGGAUCGUUGGUGCGAACUAUUUAUUUUAAAAAUGCAAGUUGCUAAAUAGAUACAACCAAUUCAUUUAAAACAUCCGUCUAACCGGCCUUCCACCACUUCGAAUAUUAAUUGGCCUAACUCAGCCUCCCGUCAUUUCAAAAGUGACUAGGUCUAGUCUCGACAGUGACUCAGCACAAUCGACCUCCCGCCAUUUCGAACAAGGCUCUGUAGUUUAGUCUCGACUGCGACUCAACGUAACAUGUCUCUUGCCGUUUCGAACAUGAUUCAACCCACACCCAACCUCCCACAAUUUCAAAUAUGACUAUGUCCAACUUGACCUCUUGUCAUUUUAAACAUGACACCAAACCUUUUGCCACUUACUUUAGGGACGGUUGGUUUCAUUAAUCAGAAUUUUACUUACAAUUUUUGUGAAUAUAUGCAUUUUGGUUAUUAUUUUGCUCAGCAUGCGGAUCUUUUGCAAAACAUUGUGCGUGAAAGAAAACAGCAUUGCACCUACAGUUAUCAACUGGUAUGCAGGACAGAUUUUUUUUUUUUUAAUAGAUUUAUAAGAAGUAAAACUAAGGGUAAAAUGUAUGGAUAGUCUUUAUACUAUCUCAUAUUGUGAAAGGGCUGCAUUUUUUUUUUUCCACGACAUCUAAGUUUGUGAAUAUUUUCCAUCUCUGAUCAAUUUAGAGAAAGUGCCGGGAACGAAAUUAUGACAACGUGAGAAAGUUAUAUGGGAUUAAGAUGUUUACACGAAGAAUUUAUGGACAAUUUUGCAAUAUAAGACAGUGCGGGACUUUUAAAAAAGAGAUAGAGAUAUGCAUGUACAAUCCAGUUUAACUAGUGCUAUUAUUGGCAGUUGAAGAAAGGAGUACCAGUUGAUUCACAUUUACAUCUCACUCUCAUCUUUCUGGUGCAUGCUCGAUCUUUCUUUGACUUCCGCAGAAUAUAUCCACAGCUGUUGGCAGGGUACAAAGAUCCAAACCCACCGUCCUUUUACGUUUCGACUCUAAACAUCAUCGCACUAAUAAUAAUAAUAAUAAUAAUAAUAAGGGAAAACUUCAAAAACCCCCCAGUAGUUUCAUGCAUUCUCACUUUACUACCCUGUGGUUUAAAACGUAUCAAUUUGCCCCCCUGUGGUUUCAUUUUUAUCUUUUCGGAAGCUUUUUCGUUAACAUUUCGUUAAAUUAUAUACAAAAAACUUCAGAUAACCAUCUAUAUUUAUUGAAUAUUCACUUUAGUAUCCUUUAAUUUUAACUUUGUCACUGAUUUAAGAAAAAAAUAAUAAUAAAAUUGAUAACAAAAAGAGAAAAACGAAACCACAGGGGGGCAAAUUGAUACGUUUUAAACCACAAGGUACUAAAGUGAGAAAGCACGAAACCACAGGGGGGGUUUUUGAAGUUUUCCCUAAUAAUAAUAAAGAGUAUACAGCUUGUGUUCGAGAAGCUUUAAGAACAGUCUGUGCGUACGGGUGGUGAGUAACUGGAACCGAACACGACCAGCUGGAACUCGCAUUCCUGGGGCGCUGAAUACUGCAGGAGGCUUUGAUUGGUAACAAUAUAUCUAUACUGUCGAAUUUAUGGUCUACUGUUAGACAGAGAAUGGCAUUCUGUUCACGCACAUUGGAUUGCAGAGAAAUUUCAUAAGUUGGCUUCUAACUACAAUAUCAGCUAAUAGCGAAGAAGAAUAAACACUCAGGAAAACAUUUUUCUUUUUCUUUUUCUUUUUUGCUCACAAAUUCCCACCCACCGCAAACCCAGAGCAGAAAACAGGGGGGAAGAGAAGAAAGACGCUUAAGCCGACACCGACAAGCGUGACCCCGUCUCAUAAUUGAUAAUUUAUUUACAAGAUCUACUCGGACUAUACUGUAAAAAUACCAGUAAGCAGACAAACAGACGGAGGAGAGUCUACCGCAUACAGCGUAUGUAAUAUACUGCGGCCGCUCCGGUGGGGAAUUUUUUACAGCCGGAGCGCGGCGGCGGAGUACGCGAACCCGAGAACCCGGGGGGGGUCUCCACCCCGUCACUUGGCGGUCGCUACGUGGAGCACCCACGCCCUAUGGCCCCCGCCCUCCUCCGCGGCCCCAAUCACGAACACCUCCCCCUCCUCCGUCCGUCGCCGCCAAGCGCCGCAGCCCUGGGGCUCGACCUCAUCCCUCCGGCGCCGGCGCCACCGCCCUCCACCCCUUCCCCCUCCCCUCGUACUCCCUCACCCCUCUCCUCCCGCACUCCACGCUCCACACCUCCCCGCGACCCCCACGCAGCACGCCCGCUGCGGCGCCGCCGCUGCCGUCCUCGGCAUCGGCCGCGGCGGAGGCGGCGGCGGGUCCCACAUCCCCUCUUCCUUGGUCCACUCCCGGCGCCCUCGUCGUACCACUCCGCCCCGGCAUCGAACCGCCCCUGCCGCUCCGUGCCGUACCCGCUCACCGCCCAGAACCGGCCCCCGCCGCCGACCGCCCCCUGGCACUCGUCCGCUCUCCCCAUCGCCGCCACCGCGCGCGCCCACUCGUCCGCCGCGACGUCGUACGCCUCCGCCGCCGCAGCGCGUUCUUCUGCCGGUCGUGGCCCCCCGCCGCGUACACCCGCGCCCCCGCCCCGGCGCACGCGAAGAACGACCGCGCCGCGCCCAUCGGGGCCCCGCGCCCCACGUCCCGCCGCGGGGUCCAGCACCCGCACCUCCGCCACCGGCUCCAGCGUCGCCGGUCCCACCCCCACCACCACCACCUUCCCCCCGCCGCCGCGCACUGCGCGAACAUCGGCACCGCCCAGCCGCGCGCCGCCACUCCCCGUCGUCGCGUUGUACUCGCUGAGCCCGUACGCCGGUGCCCCGCCCCCGCCGCCCCCUCUCCUCCCCUCCCCCUCCCCCUCCCCCUCCUCCUCCGUCGCCUUACCCUUGCCCUCGCGGGCGUCGGGGGCCACUAGGGUUUGGACGAGGAAGACGAGGUCCUCGGCGGCGCCGAUCCUGUCCCUGCGGCGGUAGAACGCGGGGGACUCGGCCAGCUCCCGCCACCUCCGGCACACGCGCCGGAGCCCCCCGUGGUACCGCAGCGGCACACGUGCGAGGCAGUCCAGCGCCACGUCAUCAGGUAACCCCGGGAUCAGGACCCUCUCCUCUUCCUCCCCAGUUCCCACCAUCUCCUCUCCUCUCUCCCUCUUUCCCCUCCCUCUCACUCUCAUUUUCUCACUUGUAUGUUUCUAUUGGUACUUCUCUCUAAUCUCUCUCUCUCUCUCUCUUUUAGAAUAGCAAUAGCAGUAGUAGUAGUAAUGGUGGAGAAUUGAGGGCGAGUUUAAGGAAGGAUGGACAAGGACUGGGGGGGGAGUGGGAGUGAGUAAGCCUAUAAAUAGGGAGGGCUAUAAAUCAAUUAGGGGAAUAAAAAUUAUAAAAUUAUUUUAAUGAACAAAUUGAAACAAAUAUAUAUAAGAGGGAAUUGGGAUUCAUGGGAAUUGUAUGUGGUGUGGGGGAAGAAGGAAAUGGACAUGGAUGAGGUGACAACUGGGGCAAAUGGAUUAGCACUGUACUGUUCAUGAAAAAUCAAAUUGAUCCUAAUCUUUAAAGAAGGCUCCAAAGGAUGAGAACCCUAUCUUUUCUAGUCUAGUCUAGUCUAGUUUAAUUCUAGGGCUCUAGGGCUUUCGAGGGUGGAGACCACAUGGAGGUAAUUGGGAGGAGGGCGUUACAACUUACAGGGCAUGUGUAGCUUUUAGAAGGGUGGGGGGUGGAGAACAUCAUAAUAAAGGCUUCUAGAAGAACUUGGUUAAGAUGUGAAACUGUAGCUAGAUCAUCACCUGGACCUGGUGGGCCAUAAACCAUUGAUCUGAUCCUCCCGAUCCAGCUCAUCAUGAGCUUCUAGAAGUUAUAACUUACAGCCUAGUAGAAGAACUUUAUAUAUAUAUAUAUAUAUAUAUAUAUAUAUAUAUAUAGAGGCCAAUUUGCAUAAAAAAUUCACUUAUUUUGAUUUUUUGCAAAACCGGAUCACAUUUUUCGUUUUUACAAAUUCGGUCCGCUUUUUCAGCAAACUGACCAAAAUGCCCUUUUUACUUUUUCUCUUUCCUCUUUCUCUCUCCUCUUCGUUUCUCUCGUUCUUUUUUUUUUUUCUCGCCGGCAGAGCGGAGGCGGAAACUGUCCAUCUCACCUCUCAUCCUCACUCUCUCGCCCUCGCCCUCGCCCUCGCCCUCGCCCUUGCCCUCGUCCACGCACCCCCCACCUUCCUCGCCUCCAAUCCCGCCAAGGCAGCGCCGUGACUUUUUUUUUGUUUUUUUCUUUUCUUUUCUUCUCCGACUCUUCUCUACCGUCUCCGACGACGACGCCACUCGCCCUUCCCCGCCCUUCUCAUCUCUCCCUCUCCCUCAUUUUCUGCCGCCUCCGACGACGAUUUAUCUUCGCUGGCGCCGACGUCGACACCGUAGAUGUCACUGCGGCGCUACAGCCUCGGAGCGGGGGUUCUUAGCGGCGUCGUCACUGGCGCCGUAGCUGUUGGCAGAGAAGGUGACAAAAAAAAUUAUAGAAAAAACAGAAAAAAAAAUAAAGAUAAAAAAUUAUAUAAAAAGAAGGAUGAAGAUGAAAUUGUAUCGUUAAUUAUAAAAAAAAUUAUAAGUUGCACUAUUUAAGAUGUAAAUUGCUGCUUUAAGAUAAAAAUUAUACCAUUUGAACAAAAAUUAUACUAUUUUUUUAUCUUAAACUGCAUCCUUUUAAGUGAUAUUUAUACUGUUUCUCCUCUUGUUGUACUGUUUCUCCUCUUGUUGCACCAUUUCUGUGUAAACAAGAGGAGAAAUAGUGCAACAAGAGGAGAAACUGCACUGUUUUAAAAGAUAUAUCUACUGUUUUUUCUCUUGUUGCACUGUUUCUUCUCUUGUUGCACCAUUUCUGUGUAAACAAGAGGAGAAAUAGUAUAAAUAUCUCUUAAAAGGAUGCAGUUUCUCCUCUUAUUGCAUUGUUUCUCCUCUUGUUGCACUAUUUCUCCUAUUGUUUACACAGAAAUGGUGCAACAGGAGGAGAAACAGUGCAACAAGAGAAAAAACAGUAGAUAUAUCUUUUAAAACAGUGUAGUUUUUUCUCUUGUUUACACAGAAAUGGUGCAACAAGAGGAGAAACAGUAUAUAUAUCUCUUAAAACAGUGCAGUUGUUUCUCUUGUUGCACUGUUUCUCCUCUUGUUGCACUAUUUCUCCUCUUGUUUAUAUAGAAAUGGUGCAACAAGAGGAGAAACAGUGCAACAAGAGGAGAAACAGUAUAAAUAUCUUUUAAAAGGGUGCAGUUUAAGAUAAAAAAUAGUGUAACAAGAGGAGAAAUGGUGCAACAAGAGGAGAAACAGUGCAACUUUUGUUUAAAGAGUGUAACUUUCAUCUUAAUGGAUGCAGUUUACAUCUAAAAGAGUGUAAUAAGAAGAGAAACAGUGUAAAUGUCUCUCAAAGAGUGUAAUUUUCGUUUAAAGAGUGUAUUUUUAUUUUAAAGUUGCAGUUUACAUCUUAAGUAGUGCAACUUAUAAUUUUUUUUGCAGUUAACGAUACAAUUUCAUGUUCAUCCUUCUUUUUAUAUAAUUUUUUAUCUUUAUUUUUUUUUAAUUUUUUUAUAUUUUUUUUUUGUCACCUUCUUUGCCAACAGCCAUGGUGCCGGCGACGACGCCGCUAAGGACCCCCGCUCCGAGCCUGUAGCGCCGCAAUGACCUCCACGGUGUCGACGUCGACGUCGGCACCGGCGAAGAUGCAUCGUCGUAGGAGACGGCAAAGGAUGAGGGAGAGGGAGAGAUAAGAAAGGCGGGGAAGGGCGAGUGGCGUCGUCGUCGGAGACGGUGGAAAAGAGUCAGAGAAGAAAAGAAAAGAAAAAAGCAAAAAAAAAAAAGUAGCGGCGCGACCUUGGCGGGAUUGGAGGCGAGGAAGGUGGGGGGUGCGUGGACGAGGGCAAGGGCGAGGGUGAGGGCAAGAGAGUGAGGGUGAGAGGUGAGACGGACCGUUUCCGCCUCCGCUCUGCUGGCGAGAAAAAAAAAAGAACGAGAGAAACGAAGAGGAGAGAGAAAGAGGAAAGAGAAAAAAUAAAAAGGGUAUUUUGGUCAGUUUGCUGAAAAAGCGGACCGANGCUUUAAUUCAUGGUCUCUAGUUGGAUAUAUAUCUAAUCCUGUAUCACAUAAAAUUUAUUGUUUUUGAGGCCCUACUUACGGAUUUAUAUGAAUAUUCUUAUCACGAUUUAAAAGCUAUUAAUAAUUUCCUUGCACAUGAAUUAGUCGAGAGGAGUAUUCCUCUCAAAACAAGUAAUGAAAAGAAUAAUUCUUGAAAAAUUAAUGGUUCUUGUUGCGAAAGCAAAGAUAAUAUAAGAUUGACCUUUCUUAGCCCCAAUUUUUUUUUUUUCUGCAUGAAGUAAGGGGGGGGGGACCAAAUCAUGCAGUUUUAUACAUGAAUAAGUUAAUAAUAAUAAUUUUAUAUAGCACAGGAAACGUCAUCGAGAAUUGAAUUAGUCUAUUUGCUUUAGAACUUGUAUGAUCAAGUUGCCUAGCUCGUCUUAUUUACCACUAAUUAUUGAAUAAUUUAACAACCCUUGUUACGGGCUGUGAAUGCGUAAUGUAAUAAUACAUCGAGGUCAACGAAUGUCGCAUUCAUUGUAAAUUUGCACAACGCAAUAUUUAAUCUUGCGAUCAAGGUUUAGCUUAUUACUAAAUGUUUAAUAUCUUUGUGCAUUUAAUUUGGCCGGUUAGAGCGCGCCAAGAUACCAUGCUUAGGAAUGCACGCACUCUAUCUUUAGUCCAAUUAACUCAAUAUUUAAUUUGGCACAAGAGAACUAAGAAAACUGAUUAACGGCUUAUUAGGUUCCGCACUACAUUGUGUUUUGAGUAGGAGUCAAUAUUUAAUCCGUCAUAAAAUAACCAAGGAAACUGAAUUGGGUCUGUUUGAUCCUGUACUACGGUUUAAUGUUUUCCCUUCUUUUGUUGCAGAAUUAAAAGUAUCAAUUUGAGACUCCUCUCGAGUCUUAUAAUCUUAUUUCUGCUUCCGAGAGCAACUUAGAACUUUUUUUUUUUUUUUUUUUUUUCUCUUUGCUUAAUGUUUUGUCAAGAUUAUUAUAAUUACAAUUAUAAAUGUUGGAAGCGUGAUUUUCUCUGAUAUCACUUGUUGAAACUGGUAUUUAUGCUGAUACCGAUUAUAUAACCCAAUAUUUAAAAUAGAACAAAAUAAUAUGAAAAAAAAAUAUUAAAGGAUCGAGGAAGAAGAUAACUAAAAUAAUAAGCAAUUAAUUACAUUCUGGACAACACCUAUGCAGCCAUAUCUACUGUGAUUUUUUCAUCAAAUUAAUCCAUGUCUAACUAUAUAUAGCCAUCAAAUCAUAACAGAUGAUAAAUUUAAUUUUAUUUUGGAUAAUUACAUGCAUAUUCUAAUCAUAAUCAAAUAAAAAAUUUAAACUUAUUUGUAACUAUAUUUUAAUUAAGUUUAGAUUAUUAUUUUCAACAAUAAAUAGAAGCAUAGCCAAACAAGACUUCAGAAAAGCAUAACAGUGAUACGUACAUUACUGUUGCGCAGUUGAAAUUUGGAUACCAAGUAUCAAUUCUUUUGUUUUUAUAAAUUAUUAUUUGAUUAAAAAAUAGUAAUUAAUCGUUUGGCAAGAAAGAAUUUUAAAGCAUUUAUUAGGACGAAGAACUUGUAAAAAAAAAUAUCAGUAUUUUCUCCGCUAGAUUAAAAAGGGCGAACCUAAAAAGAGACUUGAAAGUUACAACUGUUGAAAUUUUAGUUAAGCUUUACGUUAACUAGUCGAGAUCUUCUUAAUAGGGGACUACGUACAUUAAAGUGAACAACCUAAUGUGGCCUCUAUCCUCUGUGACCGCAUUUAGUUUGACAAGGUUGUGUUGCUUAAUUAUGCACAUGAUUUUGAAUAUAUAUUUUUUAGCUAUUUUUGUUGAUUUUCUAGUAAUUAAUGGAACUAAACCCGAUCAUUUUCUCCGAAGCACACUCUCAGAAUCUCUUGCUCCUAUUCCAUUUGUCGUAUAAAGAAUUUAAGUCAAUAAGUUGGUAUCAAGGACCUUUCUUGAAGAAAACAGUCAUGAAUAAUAACUCAAUUUACCACCGCAACGCAAUUUUAGAUGGAUCAUGUCAGAUUAAAGCAUUUUUGUUAUCUCAAGUAGAGAAAGAAAUUAACCUGAUCUCUCUGUACACCAUCAAAUUCAAAAAGAUUUACUAUUUGGACCCGUUAAUUAGGUCCUGCAUUAUUUGUAAUAUUUCGAUAAUUAAUACUUUAUAUUUUUUAAAAAUAUAUAUAUAAAUUAUCGUCAUUCAACGUAAGUUGGAUAGUUGAAAAUAUGAAGCAACUAGGCUUCAAACCUGAUAUCUCGAGUAUUAACCACCAACCCUCUUGCCACAUGCGCCAGAAACGGUCGAUGUUAUAUGAGAAUUAUUACUAGCCUAUUAGCAUGAAUUAAUACAUUUGAUCGUAGCUAGCUACUUCUUAAUUAAGCCAAAUGAUUUGGUAGGUUAGUAACAAAUUUAUCAUUUCAAAUAUAAAAUAUAUAAUAUUUUUCAAGUAUUAUGAAUCUUGAACAAGAUGUUCCUUGAAGUAAUAUACUUAUUCUGUUAAUGAUAAAGAUUUAUCUAUUACCAUGAUAGAGAAAUGCACUGAGAGUGGCGAGAACGGCCAUGAUGAAAGUACAUGUGUAAGGUGAAGGGUGACGAAGUGGUCCACUAGCAGUUGUGUGGUGGCUAUAGUCCCUAUCUUUCGCUUCAAAUAUCUUCACACCUUCUAGAAGAUUAAAAUUUUACUCCCUGAACCCGGUGCACCUCCCCUAUUAGGGUUCGUGCGCACGAUAAAGAUCAGACGAAUCACAUCGCACCCAUAAAAUGGUACGGAAGGGAUGCUUGCACCACAACAUUAAUAAUAAAUCAAUUAUAUCAUAUUUUUUUCAUUAAAUUAAUCAUGAUGGAACAGAUGAAUCCAAGAAGGAACCAUGUCGCAGACAUUUUUAGAAAAUUUAUUGUACAUGAACCAAGCUUAAUUGGGUUAAACGAUUCCAUUGUUAUCAUCUCUUUCUUUUUCGGUGGUGUCAAAUACAUUUGGACGCUAGUAAAUUACGCCACGGAACCAGGGAAAUAUCACUCACAUGCAUGGGCCCUACACUCCUUGAGAGUUUGUGGAAAAAAUGGCUCACUUGGGGGAAAGGUGACAAGGAGAGUUUUAUCAAUACCAUACGAGUCGCUUUCCUGCAGUUCUACUCUUCUAGAAGCCUUUUUUUACCACAUUAAUUGUCAUGUGGUUUAGGAGUCGUGCAUGGCUUGAUAUGUUGCUAAUAUACAUUUUUUUAGCUUCUUGGAUUAGUGAAAAACUUCUCUUCUAUGAUCUUUGUUGAGAAUCCAUUUUAAAUUUCCCAGUAGUUUGACAGAAUUAACAUGUGUACAUCUUCGCGGUCUCAUUCGAAUCCUGAAACAAUAGCCAUGUCGAUAGAAGGAGAGAGAGACGUAGCACUCAUGGGUUUCACCCAUAGUUAGUUAAUUCGGAUUCGGCAAAAAUUCGGUACGGAUAUAAUUCGGAUAAAAUUCGUUUUCUAAUUUUUAAAUUCGUUAAAAAAUACGGCUAAAAAACGGAUUCAGUAAUUAUUCGGAUACAUGAUUUAUACGGAUAUUAUACGUUCUUCAAUUAAAAAUUCGGGAUAAAAAAUUCGGCUAUUAAAUUAAAAUUAUUUUUUCUCAAGAUUUAUUCUAUUAGUAUAAAUACUCAUAUUUCUUAAGAAUAUAAGAAUAAAAAACUACAAAAUUAAGCUAAUUAAGUAAAAAAUUUGAAAAGAGUUUUUUUUUCUGUUUUUGGAGGAGGUUUUUUUUUUUUCUGUUUUGGGCUAGCCGGCCCGCGAGGCCCGCGAGCCGCGAGCCGCUACUGCGAGCUGCAAGCCGUGAGCGCAUGCAAGCGCUCGAUGCGGGCGGGCCUCGCGGGAGCGCUCGCAGCGCGGGGGCGCACGCGGGCCGCAUUUUUUUGGCUCUGAAUAUUUCGGCCCGCGUAUAAUGCGCGAAUAAGUAUUUUUUAUCAAAAAAUCGCGUUUUUGUUCUGAAUUUUUGGGAAAAAUACAAAUUCGGUCGUUUAAUUCGUUUCUUCAAAAAUUUGCGAAUAAUUCGCGAAUAAUUCGCGAAUUUACUAACAUAUUGGGCGCAAAUUGUUGAAAUCUAAAGGAUAAAAUAAAAAAUACACAAUUAAUUAAUAUAACUAAUACGUUAACCGAUGUCCUUAGCGCAAGUGUCAAAAGGCUUAGUAAUUGAUAUUAGGGAUGCAACAGGACAGAUCCAGGGGUGGAAGGGUUCCCCACCUCUCGCUUCAUUUCUUGUCGGGAUAGGUGGUGUAGUGUCCCUGGUGUUUAGUGGCCUAUGUGAUGUCAGCAUCUAAGGCUUGUCGACACGUCUGGAGAGUGUCGGGACAAGUCGGAGUUAUUUUGACGCGAAAUAGACGCAAAACGGACUCAACACGAGACGAGAGCGGAGUUCUGACACUAAAAUCUGCAAAGUGCAGGAUUUUAGUGUUGAGUAUUGGUAACUGAGAGGAGUGCUGGUAUCCUAGUGGGUUACAGAACUGGAGGCUCUCGGGUUUGCGCGUGCUUGAUGCUGAGUAUUGGUACCUGCUUGUCUCUUACCGGUACCGAAUCCGAGUACCGGUACUGCAUCGGGCGAGUACGGGUACCCACCGUGCGAGGUUGCCGGUUGAGUGUCCGAGUAGCGAUAUUCAAGUUGGGUACCGGUACUCUAGCUGUAUUUUUUAGUUGGUGAGGGGCAGUAUGAUCUUUUAAAGUGUCGUUCAUUCCUAUAACCCAGCCUUUAUACAUAUAUUCAGAGAGAGCUCUAGAGAAGGGAAAUCUUCUCCUUUCUCUCUCUCUCUCUUGCUAGUGGGCGCCAGGUGUUGGAGAGGUCACAAGUCGAGCUCAUGCGGACUCGACGUUGCUCCGGAGGACCUUUCAUGCGCGUGGGUGUCGCGGUUACGCCAUUGGAGAUUGGGCGAGCGCGAGGGUCCCCUCCUACCGACUUCUAGCCGACGUUGGACGAGCGCUCGAGGUGGGUUGAUGUUUACCGAAAUCGUCGGAUUUCCUCCUAAGUUGGCAUUUUUGUCAGCAUGUAUGUUUUAUGUAUAAUAUCAUGUCUAGUAACUCGAAUUUAUCAAUUUGCAUGUUUUUUUAUGAAAUCUGAAUUUGGAGUAUAGUUUAGUGAUUUUAGAUGGAAUUAUACAUGUUGAACUGGAAAUUGAGUUAGGAGAAAACACCUUAAACCCUACACUGUCAUUUCUGAAAAGUUACCAGAUUUAGCUUUAGGAGCUGUUAUUAAUUUGUAUCACCGCUGUUUGUGCGAGGUGUAUAUCCAAAUUAGUGUAGGAUGAGUUUACGCUCGAGUUAGGAAGCCGAGCUCGUUUUAUAGUAGUGUGUAGACUUUCGUAUUGUUGUGUGCCGUCGCGGUUGAUAGUGGACCCAGAUAUUUGUAUCUUGCAUCAGAUUGUGCCAAGGGCACGUGAGCUUUGGUUGUUAGACCAGUUAGACCCAUUUGUAUUGACUACAGUUUAUGAGAGCCUGAUUGAGCUCGGCAGAGACACGCUUACAUAUUCGGUUGGGUAGCGCCUGCGAGUGCCGCUCCGGAGUGAGACUUUACGUGCGUUGUCGUCGCAUCAGUCCUGUUUGGACAGUGUUCUUGGACUGGCCACCCCUGUGGGUGGUGUGCGGUGUAGCUUAGGGGCNUCUCUUUUUCUUUUUUUUCUUCUUCUUCCUCUUCUCUUUUUCUUUUUCUUCUUCUUCUUCCUCCUGCUGAAGCACCUUUUUUUUUUCCCUCUUCUUUUUCUUCUUCUUCUUCUUCUUCUUCCUGUAAGAGCACGGGGCGCGCCACGGCGAUUUCCGGCCUCGCCAAGUGGCGUCCACCCGGCGGCGUUCUGCAGGGAGGGGUCGGCACCGGCGAAAGCGAGCGCCACUGCGAGGGUAGGGGCACGCGGGAGGCGGGCUGCGAGGGUGGGGUCGCGAUCUCCGACGGCUGCUUCUUGUUCUUCGUAAUGGUGUAAUGGUGCACGCGGGCCGGUGCACGCAGCGGCGGCGGGCGGGCAAGCGGGCGCGCUGCGGCUGCUUCUUCGUCGUCGUAAUGGUGUAAUGGUGGUGUAAUGGUGCACCAUUACACCAUUAAUAGUGCAAUGGUGUAAUUACACCAUUAAUGGUGCAAUGGUUACACUAUUAAUGGUGUAAUGGUGCGGUGUAAUGGUGCACCAUUACACCAUUAAUGGUGAAAUUACACCAUUACACCAUUAAUGGUGUAAUGGCGUAAUUACACCAUUAACGGUGCACACGGCCCGCGGAGCGGAGCGGCGGGUGGAGCUCCGCCGGGCGCGCGGGAGGCGAGCGCCGCGGCGAGGGUGGGGGCGUGCGGGAGUCCCCACCUCGACGAGCUCGCACCCCUCCGCAAGAUGACUCUCCUCGCCCCCGACGACCGAGCCAUCGCUGACGCCCUCUACUACGAGUCCCCGCCCCGAUUCCACCUCCACGUCGUCCCCGAUCCGUGAUAAAGGAGAAGCUGAAGCUGAAGCAGAAGCAGAAGAACAAGCAGAAGCCGUUUUUUUUCCUCCAUUUUUUUUCCCUGCGAUUUAGAGAAAUUAAGGAAAUAAAAACUAGUUGUAUGUAUGUUACAUGGUAAAUGCUCAAGUGGGAUUUUGUUUAAUUCUUGGUCAUUUCUUUAGGAAGCAUUAAUGGUUGGUAAUAUAUUUUCAUUUCUUUUUUUUUUCUCAUUUUUUUUUCAACUUUUUUUUUUCUCAUUUUUUUUCUAUUGAAAAUAUACAUAAGCAUUUGUACAGUGUAGUAUUGUGUAUGCAAUAAAUAAACAAGUUAACAAGCAUUAAGGAGAAGAUGCGGCGUCCCCCAGCAUCUUCUCCAUCUCGGCGGCGGCUCGGUCGUCUGAUGCGGCGGCCGCGGAGGGAGCCGGGCCGGAGAUGGAGAAGGAGAUAGAGACUCGGAGGCAGGGGAUCGCGGCGUGGGCGGCGGCGGCGGUGGGGGAGAACGACGAGGUGUCCUCCAUGGAGUGCUUGCCGGUGAUCUCGAAGUUGAAGGACGUAGUGGAGGAGGCGGUGUCGGUGGCGACAGAGGAGGAGGAGGAGGAGGAGGAUGAAGAAGAAGAACAAGAAGAAGAAGAAGGGAAAGAGAAAAAGAAAAGAAAGAAAAAUAGUGCAAAAUUUUCUUAAAGAGUGUAAUUUUGAUCUAAAUAGUGUAAAAUUGAUUUUCAAAGAGUGUAAUUUAUAUAUCAAAUAGUAUAAUUUUUAUUAAAACAAUGUAAUUUUUUUUAAAAUUAGUAUAAUCUUAUUUUAACAGUGUAAUUUUAUCAUCUUUUUUUUUCAUCUAUAUUUUUUGAUCUUUUCUGUAGAAAAAAAUGUUGCGCCAUGGAGGAGAAAAGCCUGUGCCUCGACGUCGCCGUGCCCUAAUGGAGAAGGAGGGUCGCGACGCGGCUCAGCAAUGUAGGAGGCGAGGAAGGCGGAGAUGCACGGGUGAAGAAGGAGGGUGGCCAUGGCCGUGGGCUCGGCGACGGCGACGGCGACGGAGACGACGGUGGGGGUGGGCUCAGCGGCGGCGGCGGGGGAGAGGAGGAGGGGUUCGGCUUGCGGAGGCGGAGGAGGGGCUCGGCGGCGGGCUCGAAAAAAGAACGAAAAAAAAAAAAUAACGACAGAAACGAAGAGGAGAGAGAAAGAGGAAAGAGAAAAAGUAAUAAGGGUAUUUUGGUCAGUUCGCUGAAAAAGCGGACCGAAUCUGCAAAAACGAAAAAGAUGACCCGAUUUUGCAAAAGCCCAAAAUAAAUGGAUUUUUUAUGCAAAAAGGCCUAUAUAUAUAUAUAUAUAUAUAAAGUUAAUGACUUAUGAGAGGGAGGUCCACGGUGGACCUCCCUCUCAUGCGGUCCACGAGGCCAAAGUGGCCUCGUGGACCGCGCCCUAUCCUGUUCUCGAAAGCCCCGAUUUUCCUUCUUCUUCUUCUUCCCAAACCCAGCGCCAUUUCUACCUCUUGCUCUCAAGUCUCAACUCUCAAGUCACAAAUUCGAUUUUUUUUCCAAAAUUUAUAAAAUAAUUUUUUCAAAAAAAAUUUGAGGGACAACUAUUGUUUGGAAAAAAAAAUUUUAGCGGAAAUUUUUUUUUUCGAGAAAUUUUACAGUGAUCCAAAGUUCCGCGACGAAAGCGAUGGAGGAGGAGGACGCCGACGAUGGCGGCGACGACGCGGCAGCGAGUCCGCGACCGCCGUUUCUUUGGGCGAAUCAUUCGCGAAUCGCGAAUGAUUCGCGGAUGAUUAUUUUUGCUGAAAAAAAUGCGUUUGUUUACGCAUGUUUUGGAAAAAUUCGGAUGCCGGCGUUUAAUUCGGGUUUCGAAAAAGUCGCGAAUAAUUCGCGAAUUAAACGCGAAUUAACUAACUAAGGUUUCACCACAAAAACUAGGAGAUAGAAAAUAUUAUAAAUGCGGAGAUAAGAACUGAAAACUAUGCGGAACAGCAUUUGUUUCUAAAAUUUUCUUUCGUGUGGGGCACGCUUACCCUGCUUUAGCAUGUUAAUAUGUUGAUACAUAUAAUAAUUCUUUUAAUAAUACGAGGCUUUACUAUAUUGAGAUAUACAAGUAUAUAAUUUAACGAUUUAUUAAAUUUAUCAAUUUAUCAACAGUCGCUGAAAAUACUAAAAUAUUUCUCUCAAGCUUAGGAUUUGAGACGACUUUAGAAAUCAAUCUAAUUAAUCUAUAGAAUUAUAUUUUCGCUGAUUUGAAAUUUUUGAUCUGAAUUAAUUAACAGUAUUUUAAUUAACAAAUAAGCGCUAUAUGAUUUUUUAAAGUUUUUUUUAUCUUUUAUAUUUCUCUCUCUCUCAUUAAUCCCGAUGGAACCCUUGGAUUCAAGGAUAAAAAGAGAACACACACAAAAUAACAAAUAAAUAUUAAAUAAAUAAAUAAAUAAACAGUUGCAAUAGUUUUGAACCCUUCUUAAAAUGGAUAAUAGAAGGGAUUGGAAUACUCUUGUAAACCAUUUUAAGCACAUCUAACUUUAAUUCACACAUCUAACUUUAAAGUAGCAAAUUAUUAUUUAAUGUCUUUUCCGCUAUAUAAAUAUUCUUUUUUGCUAAUAUGAAAUUAAUAUUAUAUUCCUAUGAUCAUCUAUAAAAAAAUAAAAGAUACGACAAGAUAUAAAGCAACAAAAAGCAGAGUCAUAAAGGAAAGAAGCCGAAAAAACAGGGAAUAAAGGGGCUAUCUGGAAAAAACCAGCAAAGAAAUCGACAAAAGUGUGCUAAAAGAACAGGGAAUCUGUGGGUGAAAAACAAAGAAAAAAAAUGCUGAACUUAGAUUCACGUUGUGUUCUUUCUUCAAAUCCGCAAAAGAAAAGUUAUGAACUAAAGUUACGAGUACAGAUUCCGUGCUUUCGAAAAUACGGAGGUAUCCGUGCUUAUAAAUUAUUUUCGAUUAUAGGACAUCCAAUUCGACGAUCGGCUUCGUUAGGCAUAAUUUACGCUAUUGGAACUAUCUAGAAAUCAAAUUUUACAAUUUUUCGACAUCAUUUACCAAGCGAUUACGGGGUCUCAAAAAUGACUAUUUUAACGGCUGAUAUGGCACGUUUUUAAAUUCAACGGUGUAGAAGUUUCCAAAUUAUAUAAAACUUUAAUAGAAAAUUCUACUUAACAUUAAGAAUAAGAACAAUACUUCCGAUUUGAAAAUUGAGUUUUUUAUCACUAUUUUUUAUGAGAUUUUUAUUUUUAGCCGUUCAUUUUGAGGCUACUCGUUCGUUCACUAGGCAAACAAAGUCAAAAAAUUAUGAAAUUUGGUUUCUAGAUAGUUUCAAUAGCGUAGAUCAUAUUUAACGGAACCGAUCGCCGAAUUAGAAGGCCCAUCAUCGAAAACAACUUACAAACACAGAAACCUCAAUACUUUCGAAAGUAUAGGAGUCUAGCUCCUAAAGUUACUAUCUACAUAUUUUAAUAGGUGAAAGAGUAGUAUUAAGUUAAUAAGAAUUUUCUUAUUUGUUUGUGACCGAUGUUUUGAGAAUGUCAAUUCGUAUAUAUUAUACUUUAGUGUGAUUUGUUUACAGUAGAUCGAAUAACCCUUUUAGUCCUAUUUGUAGUAAACUGCAAUAACUCGGUGGAUUGACGAAAAAAGUAUAGUAUAUAUAUAAAAUUAUAGAUUGAAGUGAUUAAAGAAAAAGAAGAUCAGAAAAGAAAAGGGAGGGACUACCAAUUGGCUGAACUUAAUAAGAAAAAGAGAAAAAAGAGUUAAAGGCAACUUAGAAUAGUCUAAUAUUGAUAUUUUUAGCUCUCUUUUUUCCAAGUCAUUAACAAAACAAGAGGAAAAGAUAAUCUCAAAAAUGCAUGACUCAAUAAAUUCCAUUUUUACAUAUAUUCAAUUACCAAACAUUUCUUUCUAAUAAACAAGUCUAUUUAGUUGCCUUAAUCCAUAUCCGCCAAUUAUUUUUCCUUAUCAAUCUCUAUCUAUUGAUAAGUAUUACCCUAAUAAUAUAUACCAGAAACUCACAAUGGAGGAGACAAGAGACACUGUGGGAAAGAGAAAGUUAAGAAAUUGAAUUAGACCAUGUAAUGUACAAUAUAAAAUAACAUGAAUAGGCACAUGAGAUGACAUGAAGAUGAUAGGAACAGAGUAAAUGAACCAAAAGGUCACACCUGGAAAUAAAUAAAAAUGAGAUCGGGACAAGCAAGGGGGGCCAAACAUAGCUAAAGGUGAUUGUGGCCUUAGAUGUAUGCAUGCAUGUGCCAUUAAUAAUAGGGGGCCAUUAGGUCAUGGGGGGAGGGAAAAGGGAAAGGGUGGUUAAUUAAUUAAUUAUCAAUGAGGAGGAUAAAGUUCUACUGUGAAUAGAUUGGAAUGUAGAGUAAGAUGAUUUGGAUGCUUGGACUAAGUAUAAUAUGCAGUGGGGCAUGUAAACAUUCAAAUCAAUGUAUGCCCAUGGCUAUAUAGAGGGGCCUUCAUGUCAUUCUUACUUCAAAACUUAAAAAAGAAAAAAAAAAAACCGGGGGGGGGGGGGUUGCUUUUGAUAUGUGAAAUAUAUUGCCGGAUAACGUGUUAUCUGAGCCCGUCGUAAUUCCACUCAUGCUAAGUUCGUGUUGGAAGCGUGAUUUGCUCUAAUACCACUUGUUAGAAGGAGAGUAGUAUAAAACUAAAAUUUUAUUAAAUAUUUUUUGACUAAAUUUUGAUAGUGGAUGAUUUUUUACAUAUUUACUGCAGUCUAUAUAUAGACAUAAAUCAAAAUCCUAAUAGCAAUAAUUGAACAAUUGUUGAAACGAGAUGAGCAUAAAACUAAAUCUUUAUUAAAUAUUUUUCACAUAUUUACAGCAGUCUGUCUAUGUAUAGGCAUAAAUCAAAAUCCUAAUAACAAUAAUUGAACUAGAUUUAAACUUAUCUCUUCUGUCUAACCACAAAAUAUUAAAAUAUAAACUUGACAGAAAUAAAUCUAAACUAAUCAAAAAUAUUGGGUUACUUAUCAACAACAAUAUUUAAACUUAUCUCUUAUGUCUAACCAACAAAUAUUAAGAGAUAAACUUGACGGAAAUAAAUCUAAACUUAUAAAAUAUAUUGGGUUACUUAUCAACAGUUCGGAAUAGCAAUGCUAAUUAGAAAAUUAGUUUCAUUGUGAGUACACAAAAUUACUUUUAAUUCAUCUUUAUUUUUCGAUUGCUACAACUUGUCUAUUUAAUCCACAAUAACAGCUAAUAUUAUAUUACUUGUUAGUCUUAAAAAAAACAAAAAAAAAAAAGUUAUGUGUCAGGUCAUAAAAGGGGGAAAGUUUUUUUAGCUUAUUAUCUACUCAAAAUGUCAUUUCCAUACAUAUAAAGAAGCAACCCCUAAACGAACGAAUAAAAAUAUGUAUCAAUCCAUAUCAAUACAUAUAAAUUAAUAAAUAGAUACUUUGAUAGGUACUCUAAUAAAAUAUUAAUUUGUUAGCAGUUGAGUCUCUACACGGCAUCGUGCUUUUUGGAUAAGUCGACGCGAUGCUGCAGCUUUUGUCCUUGAAGUUCUCGGCACGCACAUUAGUACAUUAGCCGUAUACUCCACCGACCUCUUAUCUUAAGCCACUCAUUUGGAUCCAAUUGGGUGCAGCACAAUUUAUAAAAUGCUUUUUUUAUAAUCCCAAUUUAAUUAGUUAAUUAACAAACAUAGUUUUGUACUCUCCAUUUCUUAAUUCAUGUUUAAUUGUUUUUAGUUUUUUUUUUUUUUUCUUUCGCACCUAAGGAGUAUAUAUAGGUAAGGUCGCUGUUUCGCUUAUCAGAUUAUAAAUUAAGAAUCAUUUUGUUUGGUGAUUUAAGAACAUCAAAACGAGGCAUGCCUUUCGAAAUUCGUAAGCUAAAACAAGGCGCCGACGCUUCGCAGGCCAUGGUUAACUCGAAGAAAGAAUAGGGCAAGAGAGUCAUCAAUGGACUGCAAUUGAUAUUUUCAACUCAAGUUCAAGAUAUACUUGACAAAGAUUUGUAUUCACAGCAUAAUAGGUUAAAUUUAUUCCAAGACCAUCAUCUCUGUCAUUUGCUUUGAGUCGCAUUAAUGAUCAUUCCAACACUGCAUAAAUUUCUUGUGUUCACAAUGUUCAUGCAUCACCAGAACUUCCUUUUCCCUUCACUGCCUCAAACACAGCUGAAAAAUCAUGGUCCCCCAGUCCAAGGCCCCUCGCUUUCUUGAACGCCUAUAAGAAAAUAUGAAUGCACGGUACUAACAAUAUAUCUUCGCUCGUACGUAGAGAGAGAGAGAGAAAGAGAGAGAGAGAGACCUCAUUUGCUGUAGCAGCAACAGGCAUUGAGACAGCAUGUUCAUCGCCAAGAGCAAGGGCCAAUCUCAUAUCCUUCUGCUGAUGUUUGAGAGGAAAUGCCGGCGCGUAACUGCCCUUGAUCAUCGCAGGCCCUUUCAGCUUAAACAUAGGAUUUGCCACCCCACCCAGAUCCUUGACGCCCACAAUGAAACCAAAAUUAGUAACUUAACAUCGGAAAUAUGAACUGAAUCACUCGCGAAUCACCGUAUAACGUACCAACACGUCUAGCAGUGUCUGUGGAUUCAAUCCGCUUUUAUCAGCGAGACAAAGCCCUUCAGAUAAUGCAUUCAUCAUACUGUAGAACAAGAACAACCAGGUGAGAGUUAACAAGAAAGGACUGGCAGAAAAUUUCAGCAACUAGAAUUUAGCAUUAGAAGGGAAGUUGUAAAUUAGGCAUGAAAAUAUCAGCAAUCGAUCAUAUCAAAUCAAACAGGAUAGAGACUCGCAACCGUCAGCAACCAAUUCAAUUCCACGAAAAUAUAAGGUCAGCUAUAUAUAUCACAGGCUAUAGUUGAGAAGGAUCCACAGGAGAAUUGGAAUAACUUCACUACUAUUAUAGAUUCUCUACAGGAUAAGUUCCCGUCACUCCGUUCCUUCUUCAGUCGGUUGCAUUCCAAACACUUGCUGUCUUUGGCCACCUUUAGCAAACUAAAAGAAAAAUUAAAUGGAACUGUCUAGUACUUCACUUUUGGUAUCUCUGCGGCUUUAUUACACUGCUGCUUUAAUCUAUGUUUUAUCAGCUGUGCACCAGCCUACCCGUUUCUUUUCAUCUUCUUUCAGUGAGUUUAAACUCAACAUAACAAUAAAUUUCUUAUUUUAUAAUUCAAUAAUUAGAGAGGGGUCAACAUAACAAUAAAUUUCUUAUUUUAUAAUUCAAUAAUUAGAGAGGGGACAUUUUAAGAAGCCUGAUAAUAUAUACAAGAGAAUGCUAGUCACCUGCCCAUGAUCAUGUUGACCACAAGCUUCAUUUUCGCUCCGUUGCCAACUUCUCCCAGAAAGAACGACUUUUUCCCCAAUACGUUAAAUGCAGGAGUUAUUUCUUCAUAAAGUUCCUACAGUCACGACACAAAUGGAAGCUGUAGUAAUUGUGGCAGCAAAUAGCAACCAAAAAUACAUAGAAAAAGGGUAAAAUUAGUUUACCUCUAACCAUUGCAACAAUCAUAACAGUAGAGAAAGGAAGUUAUCUUCAAACUAGUAUAGAGAUCACUUUAACUUGUUUUGAAUAGAAAAGAAAGAUACAGAAGGAAAGGCUACAGUUUUUGAGAGGUAAUAUUAAGUAAAGAAGAGUGACAGCAAAUUUCACUAUCUAAACUAUAGAAGUUAGUCCUUUCAGUGUCCCAAAGAAGAUAUAAGGAUACAUCUAGAUAUGUCGAACUUCCCUAAGUGGAUCAAAUUAAUACGAUAUGCGACAUGUGAUAUACGGCACAAUCUAAAAAGCCUCUGAAUAACCAGCAUAUGAUACAUUACCUUCCCCCCGGCAGCAAGUAUAACCAACUGGCCAUCUUCAGCAGGCUUCUUGCUGCCCGAGACUGGAGCCUCAAGGAAGUAUCCACCUUUUUUAGUAAUUGCCUGCGAAAAUUAUUUCGAAAAUUAUUUAGAUAAAAGGGGGAUGUCCAUCAUAAACACAUAGGUUUAUAAGUCUUUUAAAUUGGAGCAAUUAAAUCUACAGUAUCCUUUUUUUUUAUCACAAUUUAAACAAAAUCAUGAGCAAGAGAUGCACAAUUUUUGAACCCAUUGAUUGAAAGGUAAUAUGUAAUCAUAUCCAGUUAGGAAAGCUUUAAAUUCUGAAACAAAAUGUGCACAAAUCAUUAAGUCAUACCUCACUGAUCUUAGAUGAGGUAUCGGCAUCGACGGUUGACAUGUCAAUAUAGCCUUUUCCACUAGAAAUCUCCUCAAGCACCCCGUCUUUGUCAAAAACUACCUGAAUAAGUCAAAAAAUGUUUUUUAAAGAAGCGAAGGACAAAAAUUCAUAUGACUAGCAUAUGGAGGCUUCCUAACCGACAGAGCUGCACUGGGAUCAGAGAGCAUGGCUAUGGUGUACUUGCACUUCUUAACCACUGAUGCUGGAGUUUCUCCGACAGAAGCACCUUCGCUCACUAGUUCUUGACACUGUUAAUAUAAAUUCAAUUUAACCCAAUAGUUCUUUCAAACUAAUAGGUUUACAGUGCACUCUUGAAAAUCAAAAUGAUAUACCAAAGUCACUAUACUAGCUAUAAAAUUUAUUGCUAAAUGAACGGUGGCACAGCAGAAGGAUGGUAUGACAGCAAAACUUGAUUUUUCACAUUAUCAUAUAUAAACAUCGCCGUUACAUACUUGUGUUGUUCAAAGAAUCAAAAAUAUAGGAACAAAGUUCCGUGAGUACCAAGUGUUUGCAUUUCAAGCAUAAUAUGCUACGCUAGAGCUGUUGACAAAUGACUGCGCAUCAAGAAAGCGAUUAGAAGUUAUCAAGAACUCAUAUAGCUUAAAUGUAUAAACUCGGUUUACUUGCUUGAAGAUUGAAACUUUUCCAGUUUGUGAUAUUAUGCAAACAGAAAAAACCUUUAGCUGAAAAGUUUUUGAUCCAAUGUAGGAAAAGAAAGAUCCUAAGCACUCAGUAAACUUUUGCGACUUUCGUGUAACAGAGCAAAGGAGAGAAAAUCGACGAAUUUCUUUUGUUUAUUCAAGGGGCGUGCAGUAGUUGGUCAAUGCGGAGUGUGAAAAGAGAGUCCAGCUACUAUUCUUUUAGGAGGACGGAGGCAUUCAUCCUCCUAAGUCGUUUUAGAUGAUAAGGAUCCCGAAUCGAUCGGAACCGUUAAAGUUGAUCUAGAGUAUUUAUAACGUCUAGAAACUAAAUUUCAUAAAUUUUAAAAUUCGUUAUCAAGUUCAUUGAAGAGUUGAAAAAUGAACGGUAAAAAAUGAAUAACUUUAUGAAAAUAGAUAUUAGACUUUUUCAAUUCAUGAUCGGAGUUAUCAAACGCUAUCUAAAUAGCAUAAAGAAUUUUCUAUCAAAAAUUCAAGCUGUUUGGAUUGUUCUACUUUAAAAUUUAUGAAAUUUAGUUUCCAGACACUUUAAAUACUCAAGACGAUUCCGAUCACCGAUUCGAAAUUUCUAUCAUUUAAAAUGACUUAACGAGGACGAAGGCCUCCGUCCUCCUAAAAGGAUAGUAAAUAUUCUGAGAGAAUGUAAAAGUCAUAUAUAGGAUGCGGUUAUAGUCAUCGUUUCACGGCCAUUUGGAUGUCGGAACAACUUAACCGGUGAUAAUAUUUGCAUUAUCUUUUGUCAUUGCAGUAUAAGAGUUUGAUCUAGGUCCACCAUUAGUUCACCGCAUACUGGAUACAAAACUUUUUAGGAUAAUGUAAUUUGACCAACUACAUACCCAUACAUAUUUUUGGUAUAGCCCUAAUUCUAUUAUUAAUGAACCCCAUACCCAUGCACAACAACCAACUAAUUCCGACUAAUUUUCAGCAAUGUUCAUCCAUCGACAAGGAGCAAAAGCAACUCUAACUAAUAAAGUUACUAAUUAUGCAACAAUUUAACAAAAAGGGGUAACAGGGGAUAGAGAUUGAUAGAGAGAGAGACCUUGGAGAGGGUGCGGUUCCACACGGUGACCCGGAACCCGUUACGGAGGAGGUUUCGGGCCAUGGCCUUGCCCAUGAUUCCCAGGCCCAAAAAGCCCACCUCCAUCUCUAUCUCUCUAUCUCCCGCUUCUUCUUCUUCUUCUUCCUCCGCUCCUAUUUCUCACUACCAAAAAUCGCUUCAACGCUGAUGAAGUGGGUGGGGCGUAUAUAUAUAUAAAUAUUUUAUUUUAUUUUAUUUUAUUCGUUAUUUAGCAAGUGGACGUCUCCACGUGGCUCUCUGCUAUUGGCUCUUCCGACAAUCGAUCUCUGCCCCAAUGGCGUCUUUCGCGCGUCGUACGCGCUCCUGCUGCAGGCCGAUAUCGGGUGUUUUUGGUACAAACAGGGAACAGCAUCAUGAACGAAUAGGAAACUGACGCGUCACCAACUUGUCUGGGCCGGGGCAGCCCAAUUGAUCACAAUGACCACGGCCCACUUCCUUUCUCUCUACCCGCCCCGCCAAAAACCCAAAAAAAUAAAACAUAAAAAAUAAAAUAGGGAGCAAUCUAGGAUCAUCGUUUCCCCAUUUCUCUUUCUUUUUCGCGAAAACGCUUGAACAAUAAGCACGGGCCACCGCCGAAGCUGCGAAUCUUCGAGUUCCCAACAACUCCUCCCAUGCUCCGCUUCCUCCUCAACAAACCCUACCGCUCCGCCGCCGCCGCCGCCGCCGGAUUCUUCGCCGUCGCCGCCGUCGCCUCCUCCCAUUCCGCCGGUGAUCACCUCCGAUAUCCCCUCUUCUUCUCUUUCAAAUUCUCACUUUAUUCGCUUUAAAGGUCGUAAUUUGAUCUCCUUUUUGUGCGUGCGUGCGUGUGUGUGUUUGUUCGCAAUACAGAGGCGACUGUUUCCGUCUCCCUUCCUCCCCCGCGUCAUUUCUUAUCCACGCCAGCUGAGCUGAUCUUGGGAGAUUAUCGUUUUCCGUCACUCUUCUCGAUUCCUCUAGCAGGUUCGUAUUUUCAGUAAAAGGAUCGCAUUUCGUUAGCUUUCGGAAUUGGAUUAGAUUGGAUAGAGUAGGAUAGAAAAGCGACAAACGAUGGGAAUUGUUAAACCCUAAACCCUAAACCCUCUCCCCCGUAGUUACACUCUCCCCCGCUCCUAUCCAAUCCAAUCUAGGAUCAAAUUAAUGUUUUGAUUAAGGAGUGAUGAUUUUACAAAUGAUUAUCCAAAGAGUUUUUAAUUUGGAUUUCAGAUGUAGGUUUUCCGCUGCGGCAUUCCUUUGUAGAUAGCUCCGUUCCAUCCGCAACCUUAAACAAGGAAGCUUCGGGCAAGAGCGAGGAUGAUUCGAGGUGCUGCCCGGGAUGCUUGGGCAGGAAGUCGAUCGUCAAGGCAGCGGCCACUGCUGGUCCCGCAGUUGUAAAUAUUUCCGUCGCGCAUGGUUAGCAAUCUCUCAAUUUUGACCAGAUCAAUUUGAGGUCUCCGUGCGUAGAAAGCACUUUUGCAUAUCUACAUGGUGAAUUUUGGUUAUUUUGUAGGUAUUCAUGGAUUAAUGCUUGGGAAAAGCAUUGGGUCUGGAACAAUCAUCGAUCCUGAUGGAACCAUUUUGACCUGUGCCCAUGUUGUGGUAGAUUUCCAAAGCACAAGAGGUGUUUCUAAGGGAAAGGUUGGGAUCUUGACAAAAAGUUUUCCUUUGAUAGAGCACUUUAAAUACGUAAUGAUAUAUUAUUGUUACUUUUCUUUACUUAUCCUUUUUGUGUCAUUUGUUAAUAACACCGAAAUAGGUUGGUGUGACUUUACAAGAUGGCCGUGAAUUUGAGGGCACUGUCGUCAAUGCUGAUCUCCACUCAGAUAUUGCUGUUGUGAAGAUCAAAUCCAAAACUCCUCUACCAGUCGCAAAACUUGGCUCAUCCUCGAAGCUUCAACCUGGUGACUGGGUUGUUGCUCUUGGCUGUCCUCUUUCCCUGCAAAAUACCAUUACUUCUGGUAUUGUGAGGUGAUUGGUUAUUAGAUAUACUACACUCAACCUGCUUUAUUGGCAUAAUUUCCUCGGUAAAUAGGCUUAGUCACGUAUGUUUGAUUGUUUUGUAAAGGGUUUUCAUAUUAUUGGCUUCAUAUUAAUAGUGACAUGUUGCUCUAGAAUAGUCUGCUUGCAAUAUUAUUGUCAUGCAACUGUAUUUAACAGACGAAGUCUAUUAACACCUGUUUGUAUUUUUAGCUUACUCUUUCUUUUUUGCUUCUGUGUGUAGCUGUGUUGACCGGAAAAGUAGCGAUCUGGGUCUUGGAGGAGUUCGAAGAGAGUAUCUACAGACUGAUUGUGCAAUCAACGAGGUAAGUUUUGUCUUUUGAGUUAUCUAACAGAUCCUUAUUACUGUUUAACUUUACGAUAUUAUGCUUUUAUAUGGCUUUCAAUUGUUAAUCAGUAUUACAUCAUAUUGGCGUGUUGUAAUCAACUCGAUUUUGUCGAGCCAUAUGGGUCCAAUAGUGUGUAUAAAAGCUUUUUUUAUAUAUAUAAAAAAGAAGACAAACUCUUUGUCAAAGUUGUUUCUCCAUUUUGGGGAGCACAAAGGUAUUCUUUCUCCUGAUCAAGGACUUUGCAGAGAGAAUGAUGAGCAUUUUACCCUGCAGAUAUUGCUAUACAAUUUGCCCUCUGAUUUAAUAUUAAGCUAAAAUGCAGAGACACAAGAUGUGCAGAAAAAGUAUGUUGUUGGCUUGAUCAUCAACCUAUUUGGAAAUGCCAAUGAUCUUACUUAACCUUAGAUACUUUAACACUACCUUAAGUUUUUUUUCCUUGUUUUUUUUUUUUUCUUUUGUUUUGCGCUUUAGGGAAACUCAGGUGGCCCUCUUGUGAAUCUGGAUGGUGAGGUUGUGGGAAUCAACGUUAUGAAAGUUGCAGCUGCUGAUGGUUUGAGCUUUGCUGUGCCGAUUGACUCGGUCGUCAAAAUUAUAGAGCACUUCAAGAAAAGAGGGUAAGUGCUAGAUUUUUAACGAUUAAUUUUGAUUGUUCUCUAUUCUUCUUACCUAUAAACUACUUUCUUAUUGUUCACAAACAGAUAGCAUGGCCUUUGUUUCUCUGUUUGCUUGAUCCAAGCAAUAUGAAAAAUCUAUUUUAGAAUAACUAAGGAUUAUACUUUAGCAAGCAGUACUUUCUUGAUACUUCUCAUUGAGAAGCAAAGAUGGUUUGCUUGGUUGUAUGUACAGUUAGAUGCUUUGAGCUUUGCUGGCCUUGAUUAGUCAUAUGGCCAAGAAAUAGAACAACAUACGAAGUCAUUACUCAUCUAAACAUCAUACGUUCUAGAUGUUACUUAUAUAAAUCUUAUUUUAAUUUGACCAAAGUUGAUGAUAUAAUUCUUGCUGAUUGUUGAUCUAAUUAAGAACCUACUUGUUGCGACACCCUUUCAAGCGUAGUGGACUUUGUUACACCAGAUUAUAUUGCAUAUUGAUUCUUUAUUCAUAGAUGUCCUCUUAAAAAUGCAGAAGAGUCGUGAGGCCGUGGCUUGGGCUAAAGAUGCUGGAUCUUAAUGAAAUGAUUGUUGCUCAGCUCAAAGAAAGAGAUGAUUCUUUUCCAGAUGUAAGCAGAGGCGUGCUUGUUUCCAUGGUAAGUUUUUCAGAUUCAACAUAUGCUUUCUUAGAAGACUAUCUUUCAUGCUUGAUCAGACUCCAGGGUCUGCUGGUAAGUUUGGGGUGAUAUUAGGAAUUGAACAACAGCGUGAUAUUAAAUGUGUUAUGCCUUCACUAUGACACCUAAUCUGCCCCAGUUUAAUAAUUAUAUGGUUUGGCCCUUAGAUUCUUGCAAUCCAAAGAAAGCCUUGCCGACAAAAGAAAAGUAAAAACAAAAAGAAAAUAAAGAAAGGGUCUCAAAAACUAAAUUUUUAAUUGGUUCCGAGUGUUGUCAUCACAGUUUGGCAUCUCCAGUGCCACGGCAUUGCCGUUCUUGAUUGAGAAUACAUUGAAUGUUGUGUUUGCAGAAUAUGUAAUUAUAUUAUCAUGUGUAUUGGAUUGUCGGCAAUUAAUUUUUAGUGCAUAUCGAACUAUAUCUGGCAUUUUCUUAACCGCGUCAAUUAGUUAAAUCUAAAUCUUGGCGUAUAUCCAUAUUCCUCUCUUUGUUCUUGUUGAAGCAACAAAUAUCUUUUCAUAUUAAUUUCUGGUAAUGCCUAACUUCACUUGAACUUUUCAUGGAAACUGGAGCUUCUUCCAUUUUUUGUGUGUAGUGCCUAAUAAAUAAUGUAUUUGGAUUGCCAACCAGGUUACUCCAGGAUCACCAGCUGAUCAUGCUGGAUUUCGCCCUGGUGAUGUAGUUGUGGAAUUUGAGGGUAAACGUGUUGAAGGCGUCAAAGAGGUAUUGCACUAGCUUCAAUUCAAGUACUAAGAGCACUAGUCAGAACAAAAAAAAAAAAAAAAAAAAAAAAAAAAAAACUAAAAUGGAAAACCUGUAAUUCGAAACAACAUGUCUUUUUUCAUCUAAACUAAUCUCUCAUCACAUAUCUUGAAAUUCAUUUUCAGAAUCACUUCUUUCCUUCAGUAAAAAAAAAUUCAUUUAUAUUUAUAAGAAUAUCGAUCUAUGUUAUGCAUUGGAACAUGCUAGUUUGUACCAAUGUUGGUGUAGCUUUUUGUCCCUAGAGUAUGCGUAUAACCACUUCUCAUGUUGUAGUAUGAGCAACAACAUUGUUGUUGUGUAAAGCACUAGUAAUAGUUUUUAGUUCAUAAUUGCGUGAACACCUUUUCCCUAAUCUCAUCUUGCCAUUAUGCGAUUGUUGUACCAUAAAAUCAGCUAAACAAUCGAACAUUGUGUUUGCUCUCUAUCCCAUAGCUUAAAUUUGAUGGCAAAAAAACAACUGAGAGUUUCGUUACUGAUCGAAGCCAUAUAAUUCCCCAAUUUUUCGGCAUUGCAGAUUAUAGACAUAAUGGGUGAUAAAGUUGGGCAGCCUUUAAAGGUGCUUGUCAAGCGCACGAAUAACAAAUCGGCAAUGUUGACUGUAAUACCAGAGGAAGCCGAUACCGGCCGGUGACGCCAUUCAUAUGCGAAAAGGCGGGAGAGAGAUUCUGCUAGAAUACACUUGGAAUUAAGCGGGUGGGGAGUGUUUAUUUUUUUCCUUUUAGAUUAAAUAUCUAAUGGGUAUUAUGGGAUUUUUUUUUUUAUUAGGCAGACGAUUUUGAUUAAACAACUUGGUGGACGAUUUUGGUUAAACAAAUUUCAGAUUUUUUUAUUUUUUAUUUUUUUGGGGGGCUUAGAUAACUGCAUAUGUGAAUCAGGCUUGAUUUGUAGCUAUGAACUACUGUGUUGACAGUGCGUACAUUCCUCUGUUGUUAGUCUUGAAUCUGUCAUCAAAUAGAUGCGACUCUCUAUGGAAAUAAUGAUACCCUGUCACAAUCUUGUAAAUAAAUCAAAUUUGGCUUUGGUCAGUUUCUUUCACUCCCUUUAGGCUUCAGCAUCUCCUGUGUUUCAGAUUUAUGUCCUUUUAAAUGUUAGGUAUGUUUGGUUUAGCUUCUAGAAUAUCUUCUCUGCUUAAUCUCGAUAGUCGAAAUUAUGACAUUUCGAUGGAAAUACUACUUCCAACAAAAUACUGAGCUCUUUUCUUUCUGGUGCCUUUUCGCUUAUUAACUCCUAAAUCACCAAAGAGGAGGGCCAUGGAGGGACAUAACAUCUGAAAAAGAUCUCAAUUCAAUAGUGAUUUCCCCUGCCCGCGCUCGACAUCCGCCUCGCUUUGUACUGCGAAGCACUAACCGAAAACCGCAAUAACGGUGUGGCUAAACGCCAUAACGGUGACGGACGGCCGCCGUGAACUUCUCUCUUAAUCUGUACCUGGAACGGACUCUCAACUUGCAAAUCCUUGCCCAUUUAAUGUUAUUGUACCAAAAUAACGUGUAUUUUAGGGGACAAAGGUGCAAUGCGUCCGCUACCGAGUCCAUCUCAAUUGGCUGUUCGAUGGCGACGCGUUACUUUUUUUGGUUUAGAAACCCAAUACCUAAGUCUCAAUUAUUGGAGAAUAUCAAAUUGAUGUUGAAACCUAUUCCCCACCACGUUGGGUCCAGGCUCGUUGCAAAGUCUAAACUGGAACUAUUAUUGAGUUCGAAUCCAUUCGAGAGAGAUGAGACGAUGAAAUAGAGAGGAGGUUGGAAAAGGACAUUUUCUUUUCCUUUUUUUUUGGAGAAAAAUGUAAUUGUUCAAUAUUUAAGGCAUUACUAACAAGGCUAAAGAACAAUUUUAGUAUGAGAACAAGUAGAAAUAAACAAGGUCCAAUUAUUUUUGCGUCGCAACGAAGCAUCAAGUAAUAAUGUGGGUCUGGAUGUUAGGAAAACAUAACUUCUGUCGAGUACGUGGAUCUACGCGCGCACAUUCAUGGCUACCCAACGGUAAAAAUGUAUUAAGACCCCUCAACAAUAGGUCAUUCUGAAAGAGACUCCUUAACUAUCUAUAUAUAAAUAUAACUUUUGAAAGUUUAGGGUCUAUUUCAGAAUGGCAUAUAGUUGAGGGCGCAAUCAUUCAUUUCUACCCUACAUAAAUUUGUCUUGAAGUUGAAUGGCAUGAGAGAGAGAGAGAGUCUACAUAUUCCAGCAAUGUAGCAUGCUGUUCGCUUUAUUCAUUUUUAGAAAUGAGCUUAUCUGAAAAUUAACAUAAAUUAACUAGAUUUUCUUCAAAUUUGUUAUUUAUGUUAAGAACGGCCGGUGAGAGAGAGAGUCUCAGUGUUGUUUCUAGAUCUUCAUCUGGUAGCAAUAGAUGAUGAAACUGGUCAUUUCUAGAGUAGGUGAUGAUCACGAGUCCUAAUAACUUAAGAAGUGUUUGUGGAGCUACUGGUACAUAUGUAGUAGUCCUCAAAAAUAAAAACGAAACAUAAAGAAUGGACACUGAAUAAGUGAAACAUAAAGAUGGCAACUUUUGACUGAAAUUAGGAAGUGGGGCUUCAUGUGGCAUCAUCUUCAACUCGCUUAUGGCACCAUUUAGUUGUCUUCUAAUGGUUUCACCGGUCAUUUCCUGAGAAAAAUCAAUUUAAGAGCAACACCACAAAUCUUACACUCUAGUCUUUAAAAUACUAAGAUUUUUUUCGCUUAUUUUAUCAGUUUUAUUUUUAGUAUUAAAAAUUCAAAAGAGAUGCAUGUUUAUUAUUUUAAGUCCGGUUCAUAGGCGACUCUCUGGCCAAGACCACGGAAGUGACAUCCCAAAGGCUUGAGAAUGGUCUCACAGCGAAUAAUUAUGACUUAGAUGUGGAGAUAUAAAAGUCUGAAUAGGCUAAAGAAAUAACUUAAUUAUAACAUUUUGAAUUAGUGGACCGAAUAAGUACUCAAUUAAUUGAGCCCUUGGCUUCCUCACUAGUGAAGGGUCCUUUUUGUGGAGAAAUUAUUGCUUGCACCCUCUGUAUGUGCAUCUCAUCUAAUAUUUUUAUUAACCAAAUGUCUUAAAAUCAAAAAUUCAAUUUGAUAAAUGCGAUUUAACAUAAUUUAAAAGCCCUCGAUAGAAAAAAAAAAUUUACUAGAUUUGAAGAGCUAUAACUAAGCAAUCAAAUAUAUAUACUAAGUAAUCAGAGCAAAAGGACUCCAAAUUCAUAAUUUUUAGCCUGUAGAGUUUUUACCUGUUCAAUAAAUUAAAUUUGAACUUUAAAAUUUUUAUUAUAGAGUCUUAUACAACCGAGGAAGGCAAUAGUUUCUUCUAUGUUGAAAAUACAGUUGCAGCGGCACCUUUGUUCUAAGUAAAAGAUCGGGGGUUCUAUCCCACUAUUGUGAUCAAAAAUUAAAAACAAAUAAAUAGCCUGGUUCACAGGUGACUCUGUGGACCAAGACCACAAAUAAUUCCCUAAAGUGUGGGGUCCUUUUAUUUUGUGAACUAUUGUUUGUCUCCACCUCAGGUUUAUUUUUGUCCAGGACCCACCCACGUGGCACGCUCAUCUCCUCAGGUGCACCAACGCAUGCACCCCACACGCGGGAAGGUGCAGGUGCACACCACGUGGCUACACGUGUGGCGGGGGCUGGUCAUGUCGUUUGGUAGCUCUAUAUAUUUUUGACAUAUAUAUUGUCAGACUCAUAUAACAUUACGAAUAAUAUACGGACAAAUUUAUUGUCGGAUCGUUGAUAUUAACUAUUAAUUUUUUAAAAUUUUUAAUUAUUAGAAAUAUGUAAUUAGUUUACUUAAAACGUUCAGAAAUAAGUAUUUUUAUACGGAUAUCGAUUGUGACUCGAUUCAACCAGCCACUUGCCACUUGGAACAUAACUCGAUCUAACCCAACCUGAUACUUUGAACGUGACUCGGUUCAAUCCAACGUCCCGCCACAAGACAAGAUGCUGGCUUACUUGGUCCAACCUAGUCUUACGUUAUUUCGAAUGUGACAAUCCGACCUAACCUCUCGAUACACGGUAGGAUACGCACCUGCACAAAUUCGCUGUAUGCGAGAAUCGAAUCUGUGACUUUUGAUUUUGAUAUCACUUGUUAAUCGUUGGUGCUAAUCAUUAAUUCCACAAAUGUACAGAAAUACAUAAUUCAAUCACUUAAAGCGUAUAGAUACAAUGUCUACGAAUCUUAAUUGUAAAUCAGCUGAACCAACAUCACUCCACUACGAACAUAAUUUAGUCUAAUCCAACCUCACGAUAUUUCGAACGUAAUUUAAUCCAAUCUAACCUCUCGUCGUAUAGCAGAAAGCUGGCUUUUUCAAGCCUACAUUAAUUAAUAACAUAAUAUGAUGAGGAGAAUUACAAGGGAAGACACCAAGCAUUUCUCUAUCUUUUUUUUCUUUUUCUUUUUCUUUUUUUUUUGGCUCUUUCUCAUUCCACGGAGACAAAUGCGUGGGGCCCACGUGUCCCGAUCGAGCUCGCGACUCAAAUCCAUCCACGUAUCGUAGAAAGAGAAAGAGAGAAGUCAAGUUCUGUGUGUCCUAUUAUGAAUUUGUAUACAUUAACUCCCUUUUUUUUUUUUAUUCUAUGUAAGGAUUUUGAUGCCACUAUUGAGGUUGCAUGCAGUGAAUUGAUGAGAAAGAGUACAGGUUAGAUAGAGUCGCAUUGAUUUAAACUCUUACGGUAUUUUAUAAACAGUAGUUGUGAUCAUUUGAUUAAUUAUAUGAUUUUUUUAAAGCUGAUGAGAAUUUUCAGAACAAAAGUUUACGAUGAUACUGUAUGACGAUUUAUCUGCUAAAAAAAAAUUAAAUGUAUAUACAAAGGAUGAACUGAAUAAUAAGGAUAUUUGUACGGUAAAGCAAAUAUUUUAUAUAUAUAUAUAAGCUCAUAUGAGGAAUUUGUGAUAACCAAAUAAUAUGAAUGAUCUUAGAUUAAGGGAGAGCGAAGAAGUAUUCAUGUAAUGCAUGAAAAAAGAGAUCAGAUUUGACUUAGAUGGACGUUGGUGCGUAAAGAGAUAAAUUGUUAGACAUUUAUGAAAAAAAGUUAUAGAUAUGUAAAAUAAUAAUCAAGAGAUUACCGAAAAUUUAAUAUAGAACCAAAUGUAUAGAUUUUUAGCUUAGUGGUUUCAAAUAGACAAGUUAUAUUCUCGGUUUUCUUGAGAAUUGGGCUUCUCCAUCUGAAUUUUUUCAUAUUAAUUUAAUAUUUUUUUUGCAACAAGCAAAUAUUAUUAUUAGGAACGUGUAUUGGUUUUGGAUAGAGGAGAAAUAUAAGGCAUAAAAAUGUCAAAAAAGGAAAAGUUGUUCUGGUUUUUUGGAGAUUUUAUUUAAUUAAUGAUCAUUUGUGAUACAUGAAAAUGACACAUGGAGUAUUUGAUCUAUAUAAGUUAUAGGAUUUAAAACUUAUGCAAAUAAACUAUUUGAAAAUUAUCAGUCAAAAAGGCUGCAUUAUUUCAAAAUUUUAUGUAUAUUGUUUGUUCAAUUAGGAGCUAGUAAACCAUCCAUAUAUAGAAUAUAAAUGAUAUUUAUAUUUUUCUUAAGCUUCUUUAUUAUUUUUCUUAAAAUAUUAAAAGAAAAUUGUUUCAUACAAUCUAUUUAAUAAAAUAAAAUAAAAUCAUUUAGCUAAGAAAGAGAUGGCUUUCGAAUCAGACAUUGACUUGGCGACUCAUCCGAGUCGAACGUAGCAUUCUGACUCGCGAGCCCAUGGAAAGCGAUAUUAAUAGUCUCUUUUUUAUAAUUUAAUUAAAUGAAUAGUAAUAAAUUUUAAUGAAUAUUCUGUUAAUAUUAAAGUUAUAUUUUUCAAUAAUAUUUUAUUCUUGGAAAUGAGCUCAGUAUGGAGGAACUACUCAACAAAUUUUUAUUGGAACAAUUUAGCGAUUCAUAUUAAUUUAUCUUAUAUUUAAAUGUUAAUAAUCUAUUCUAAUUUAGAAAAUAUUUUUGUGAGGCUCAAUACUAUAUUGGACAACAGUUCUAAAUACAGUGCUCAUUAUUUAUUUAUUUAUUUAUUUAUUAAAUAAAUAUAUGGCGAGUUGGUUUAUGAUCCAAACUAAGAUUUAAUUGAUUUAAACUGUUCAUUUGGAGCAUUUUUUAACUAGAAAUUUUGGUUUAAUUACAGGUAAUUACAGAGAGUGGGUUACUAAAUUUAAGCACAAUAAUCUAAAACAGGGAGAGUUGGGUGGUAUUAUGUGGUGUGGAAAAAUGGAUGGUAGUGAGUGAAAGAAAGGUCCCUUUUUUUAGAGAGAGAGAGAGAGAGAGAGAGUGUGUGUGUGUGUGAGAGAGAUAGAAAUGAAAUGAUUGAGGUGGGCCCCAGAGAACCUAAAGAAGGAACUAAAGAGUGGACCCCACCAAUGACAAGAAUGUGUGUGGGGUGGUGGGAUCUUGUGUUGCGGUGACUCUCACUUUCAUGAGAAUAAUAUAUAAAUUAUAUAUAUAUAUAUAAAAAAGUCAAUAUUUAUAAAAAUAUAGUAGCCGGACUAUAUAUAUAUAUAUAUAUAUAUAUAUAUAUAGUCGAGCUAGAAUACUAUCGAUAGUAAACGGACUUCGUUGCCACCCAUUUGUUUUUAAUGAUGGAGCGCCUAUAAAUUGACGAUCAUGACCGUUGAACAAGAUCUAUACCACUUUAAGUAUAUAGAAACCAAAUUUCAAAUCAUUUCGACAUCAUUGACCUAAUGAUCAAAGGGUUUCAAAAUUUAUAAUUUUAAUAGUAGAUAUGAGACAUUUUCUCGUUUAAUAAUGUAAAGCUAUUCAAAUCAAUUGAAUUUUGAUUAGAAAAUUUUUUAAACUAUUUAGAAUAAGGUCUAUAUUCUCGAUCUUGAUUACAAAAUUCCUAUCAUCACUUUUUAGAGGAUAUUCAUUUUCAGCCGUUCAUUUUUACGCCCACUUGAUGGAUAAGAGAAUAAUAUCGGAAAAGCAUGAAAUUUGAUUUUUAGAUACUUCAAAUGGUAUAGAUCAUAUUCAAUGGUGCCAACCGUCGAUUUGGAGGCUUCAUCAUCGAAAACAAAUUGGUGGCAACGGAAUCCGUUUGCUACCGAUAGUAUUCUAGCUCAACUCUCUCUCUCUCUAUAUAUAUAGAGAGAGAGAGAGAGUAAGCUGGUAUGCUUAUAGAAGUACGGAACAUUUCGUGCUUCUAAGUCGUUUUCGAUGUUGGGAUUUUCGAAUCGACGAUCGGCUUCGUUAGAAUUGAUCUAGAGUAUUUGAAGUACUUAGAAAAUAAAUUUUGUGAUUUUUCGAUAUCAUUUGCCUAGUUAUCGAAGGGGCUCAAAAUUAAUAAUUUUAAUGGCCGUGGUAAGCCGUUUGCAAGUCUAACGGUGUAGAAAUAUUUAAAUUACGUGAAAUUUUGAUAGAAAAUUUUUUAUACUAUAUAAAACAAGUUCAAGAACUUUGAUCUAAAAUUUUAAUGUCAUAUCACCAUAUUUUGUAAGAUUUUUAUUUUCAGCCGUUAUAUCAAAAAAUCACUUAUAUAUAUAUAUAAACGUGAUUUUAUAUAAAAUAAUUUCAUCAUAAUAUUCUCAUUCUGAAAAAAAAAUUAUUGUGUGGGUGCUGGGUACCCAUAACUCAAUUAUUAAUUAAUUUAGUGUCUUAAAAUCCAAUAUGAGACACUUUUAGAAGUACAAAAUUUUUGAUAAUUUUAUAUAUAAUAAGUAAGAACUUUUUGAUAGCAUUGAUUCCUAUGAUUGUAGCUGCUUAUAAAAUAGAACUUUAUAAAGCUUGUGAAAAUUUGUCAUAUAUUAUGGGAUUAGAAUCCAGAUUUUAUCAGUUCAUACUUAAAAACUGGCAAGCAUCCAGAUCCAGAUUUGAAAUUUUGUAGGUUGCAAUCUACAUGGACUCUUUUGUGUUUUCUUUUUAAGCAUUUCGUAAGAUUUUUAAACUUUAAAACACUUCAAAGUUUUAUUAUAGCAGAACUCAUAUUUCAAUCUAUACAAUCUACUGUAAGGGCUUGUUUGAUUCAAUGGUGGAAUUGGAAUGGAUAAUGGAAUGAGAAUGAAUUGGAAUGGUAAUUGGAAUGGCCCACUCCUCCAAGACGUUUGGUUUAUUUGUGGAUUUAGAAUUGGAAUGAGUUAUUCACAUUUCAUUAUUUGGUUCGUAUAAACUAAAAAAAUUAUAGAAUACUAUAAUACUAAUUUUACUCUCAAAUAUAAAUUUAUAUUAUUUAAAAUUUAUGAAAAAUAUAAUACUAUUCUCUAAUACGUUUUCCAAAAAAAAUAUCAAAUUUAUUUUUAAAAACUUUUAUUGAUGUGCAUUAGGGAUAGGGUUUUGAAAGAGGAUAGUUUUUUUUUUUUAAUGAGAAAUGGGUGAAGAGAAGGAGGGUGAGAUGGUCACAUGAGCUUCGAGAACUUAGUGGGCUUCCGAAAUGAAAUCUCAAUCCGGGCUAGAAGACUGGAAUCAAGUUGAAGGCUAAUGGGCCAUUUCCAUUCCAGUCCAGAAUAGAAAUCCCAAACCGAUUCAUGCUAACCAAACAAAAUUAACCGGAUUUGAUCAAACCGAUUUCCAUUCCAUACCCAAAAUGGAUGAACCAAACAAGCCAUAAAUUCAUGAUUUUAUUUCAAUUUAAUUUUAAGAAGAUAAAAACAGAAUAAAUCAUCAAAUACCUAUCUAUCAAUCUAUAUAUACCAAAAUUUUACUCUCUAUUUUUUUUUUGAGAGAUAGGUAGCAUGCUAUUCGUUUUGUUUAUUUUAUUUAAAAAUAAACUUAGCUGAAUAUAUGAAUCAACUAGAAUUCGAACUUUGCUCUUUGUCACUUGCUCUAAAAACGAUGGAUUAUAUAUACCAAAAUUUUACUAAUAAUUAUUAUUACUAGCGCAGCUGACUGAUAUUCCGAAUGGCACGAUCAAGAUAUCAAAGAUUUUAUCUUGAGCGUACCAACUUAUUAACUAUUAAGAUAUAUUGAAAAAUAUAAAAAUAGAAUAUCAUAUAUCAUAGUACAGUAAUAAAAAUAGCAUUUUUCCUCCAAUUAAGAGGCUCCUCAAUACCACAGGGGUUGAGAGGUUCUCCCCCUCCCACCCCUCUCUCUCUCUCUCUCUCUCUCUCUCUCUCUCUCUCUCUAUCUAUCCUUUUUCCCCUCCAUUAAUGCAAUCUCAAGGUUAAUUUCCAUUUCCAUUGUCUCCCCUUUUCUCUUUCCCCUUCUCUUUCCCCCUUAGAUUCCCCCACCACUCCUCCCUGUCCCCCUCUCGUUGUUUUCUCCUACGCCCUACACCACUCCCUUUCCCUUCACCCCACUGUAUAUAAAAAUCCCUUUUUUAUUUAUUGUUUCCUCUUGCCCGGUACGAUCGUGGUGUCUUUUUUUUUAAAACAAGCCCCAUUUUUUCUAGUUUAUUUCGACGUAUGGUGGUUCGACUCAGCUGGGUUUUUCUCAUUUUUUCUCCGUUUUAAUUUCAGGGUGCCCAUGGGGAUUUAGCUUGGUGGGUUUUGAUGUGUGUCUAGAGCUUCCGCUAUAUGAUUCACAGAUCAUUUUAGUUUUCAUCUCCAGUAGAGCUCUCUCCGAGCCCAUUUGGUUGCGAUUUGAUGAGAUAUUGGAGAAAUUUUUGUGUUUGAGUCAUCUACGAUGGAGGAGGGUGGAAGCAGCUGCUAAAGAUUGGAUUUUUUUUUUUUUUUUUUUCAACGUUUUCGGAGGUGGGUAUCGAUUUUUCCCCUUUUAUUUGUGAUUUUUUAGCCCAAAAAUGGGUGCAAAGUUCCUUUUUGAUUCAGCUUUUUCGGGCUUUUGUUUGGCUCUUUCUAUUUAAAAAGAAAAAAUAAUAAUUUCCCAUUUGUUGCAGAAAUUGGGUUUAAUCUAAGAUGGAGGGUGAGAGCAAGACCAUGGUGAUUAGAGAGAAGGAUUGCGUGAAUUGGGUGAAAGAGAAAGAAUCAGAGGUGGAAAAAGAUGGUAAUGGUGAGUUCUCAAAAGAAGCUCCCUUUACGAAGAAGCCGAGGUCAGGUGCUUCUGAUUUGAUCGAAGAAUCUGAUAUCAAAAGGAAAGAUAAGGAUAAGAACAGAGAAAACAGGAAGCUCAGUCGGCAGGACCGAAUCGAGCUCAGCCGGCUUUUUCAGGGCGCGGUGACGUCUCACGAUUGGGAGCUCGCGGAGAGCUUGGUUCCCUUGGCCGAUCUUCAGACUCUCAAUGAUGCAUUGUGUGUGGCGCUGGAUUCGAUAUGGUUCUUGAGCACCAAUGACGAAUUGCGCGGAAUCACGGGGCUGAUAAAGAAGAUCGUCGCGAAUGGCGCGAACGAUUUCACGAGGGCGGCCCUCCGGACCUCGUUUCUCGCUUCGUGCGUCUCUGCCUGUAAAAGCAAGACGUUGAGUUUGGCCGAGACAGUGAAUGUCAUGGCUCAAAGGUGAGCCUGCCUCCGUCGGUAUUCUUGUUAUGUAACUUUACAGAUUCUGCAAUGACUAAUUUGGCAUACUUCCUAUUGUUUACCGAAGAAACAUUUGUUACUUCUUUACUGAGAAGCAUGAAAAGAUGCCUAUAAAAUGAAGAACAAGAAAUAAUUAAUCCCAAUUUAUAUGAAUUUGAUAAAUUACCUCAAUAGGUGGAAUGCAUGGAAAACAUGAUUAAGACCUUGCAUCUAACGCUUAUGAACAGUAUUGACAAAGACAAACUCGUAUGUAGCGCAAAUAAUCCGUGUACAACUACUUCCGAUUUCCGACAUCCAUACAUUCACAUGGGGCGCUAGUACCGCAAUCGUACACCUUUUUAUUUUAUUUUUUUCCGUCACGAAGAUCGAUAGAACUUACGGUUCCACUUGAAUGUGGGAACAGGCUGUACUAUGAUAACCUCUGUUUGAUAGAGAUCAAAAAAAUUUUACCAUUGGAAUUAACUUGUCCUCAAUUGUACUCUCAGUAAAACUAAAUUUUCGACUCUGAGAGUUAUUGACUUAGCUCAUGAGGUGGUGAUUUAUUAGAAGUUCUACAAAAUUUUGAAUUUUUUUUCUUUAUUACUCUUUGCAGAUAUCAAUUAGGAUUUACUUUUCAUUACCAAAAGUAUAAUAUUCUCCUAAUUAAGAUGUAUUUCAAAUGCUCAUUGUAAGUUCUUCUUUUGGCUUCCUAAUCAGACUGCAAGAGCGUCUCCAAGAAUGCCACGGCGAUGAGGUUUUGAAGGCAGAAGCAGGUGCCAAAGUCCAGAAAUUCACGGAAUGGGCUUUGAAGUGCAUCGGCUUCCACUCGCGUUCCCGAGAGAAUAAUAUGGAUAGUAGAGGGAAUCAUGGCACGAUUCUCGAAGUGCAGCUACAGUUAUCGGCAUUUAAGGCUUUUCUGGAUCUCGCAGGCAAUCAUCUCACAGGGAAGGACUUCACCGAGGCCUUCGAUGCGGCCUGCUUUCCUCUUACCUUGUUUUCCAGCUCGUUUGAUCCCGGCUGGGCUUCUGGGAUUCAAGCAACUGCUAUUCAAGGUCUUUUGGGAAUGCUUGUAGAGGGGGGCGCGGAUAAUGUCAACCAGUGCUUUCUAGAAGCUUCACGAUUUGGGAGUACUGAACUUGUCCGCAUCUUGCUUCAGGUAAUCCAUGAAGAACUUGUUCAAUUUGAAUAUGUUCAGGAGUACUGCACAUUCUUAUAGUUGUAUGUGCCAUCCUUAAUGCUAUCUGAAUCCUUAGGAUGUAUUUACUGCUUCUUCAUAAUAUAAGGCCUUUCAAUUAUACAGGACAUUUUUCCUUUGAUGAUGUAUUUUAUUUGAUAUUUUCUACAGUUAUGUAGUCUUGUUGCUGCAUAAUAUACAGGUUUAAUUUGGCCAUGUUGUAAUGCAUUGAGCCAUUGAUUAAUUCUGAUAUUCCCUGUUAAGCAAUGUGUUAUAUUUAUUUCAGAAGUUUCUUGGAGCAUAUUUCCAUCUUUUACUAUUCAGUCUUUUAUGAUGCCAUUUAUUCAGUUUCUGGGAUAACAUAAGAUUAUGUUAUUUAUCGAUAAUAUGUCCUGUUCAGAAGAAAUUUCUCGAGUGUUUAACAACUCAUGGAUCAUGGUGGAGUGAAAUUCACAAUCUCAUCUGUCUAAUUGUAAAUAGUUAGGUGAAGUUUGGUGUUGCCUUUUUUUUAUCUCGCCUGCAUAUGCCAUCUGCGAUCGGCAAAUGGAUGUUCUGAGCAGAAUAUGUUUCGUUUUGUUAAUGCUAUGCUCUACCUAUUUGAAGUCCGUGCCCUGUUUAAAUGAAUAAGAAUGCUUGAUGGAAAUUUUUUUUCUUUUUCUCCCUCCUACAAUGUGUGAGCAACUGAUCGAAGAGCAUUUAAUGGUAAUAUUUCUCUUUAUCAAAAUAAGCAUAGCUGAACCCUGAUAGUUUCUUUUGUACAUUGUUUUCAUAUAUCCAUACAAUGAUGUUUUUAACCAUUUUGUUCUUUCUUUCUAAAAUUCAGAUUGCUCAGAGGAACAGCCUGGAUGUGGAUGUCGACCUUGCCCUUGGCUUUGCAUCCCACUACUGCAAGAUCGGGACCAUGGAGUGCCUUGUCGAGGAAGGGAACGCUGCCGCCUUUCUAGGCCCACUGAUGCGGGCGGCCGAGCGGGGGUGCAUGCCUGUUGUCCGGUGGUUUGUUGGCAGGGGCUGCCGCGACAUGGAGCUCUGCCUCGCCCUCACAGCUGCCACCUCCGCCAGCCAGGUCGACAUCGCUGCCUACCUCCUCCCCCAUGUCCCUCGUCAUGUCCUUGCGGCCCUCAGCGUCGAGAUUCUUAAGGCCGCUGGCGAGCGGAGUGGUGGCGGGUCCCUAGACGGUGUCGCCUUCCUCCUCCAAUCUGACUUCUUAGGUGACCCUGCUGCGACCUAUGCUGUGGCCGACAGCAUUGCACAGUCGGAAGAUGAGGCAGUUGCGCCAGAACUUAGGGCUUUUCUAAAAGAGCACUGGUCGGAGGCGGCGUUCGCAGAGGGUUUGAGGUCAGGGGAGGACCACUUCGUGAAUUUCAUGAGGGUUUUGAAGAAUGGGGGCUCGCCCAUGUGCCUCAGGUUCUAAUGAUUCCUUUCUUUUUGCAUGUAUAUACCCUUGCAAAUGCGUAGGAUUGCACAGAUGGCCUCACAAAGUCGGUAUUUGUGUGUCAGCUUCUGAAAACCAUAUUUAUUCACAUUUAUCCCACUGUUAGUGUAUAGCUAAAAAAAUUCAUUUUUGCGUAGAUACCCCGAAAGGGCACGCAGGCAGAUGAAUAAGGUUUGAGGGGCAUAACCAUUAUAUGAAUUUUUUAUAUAUAUAUAUUUGUAAGGGUAUAUGCGCAAAUGAACUCUUUCUUAUUCUGAAUCUUAAAUAUCUAAAUAUCUAAAUGCUGGUAAAAUCCAGGGACCUGCCACGGCCGCUAGUAAUAGCAAUGGCGUACCUGCCGCUCUAUAGGGAGUGUUUAGCGACUGGGGCCAUGUUGUUGCCGCAGAGGCUGAGAGGGCGGCUCGUGGAGGCAACGAGAAGGCUUGGUGGCAGCGGGGAGGUCGAUAAAAGUAACCAAGGGAGAGAGCUCCUGCCGAUAUUGGAGCAGCACCUGCCGACCUUCUUGACCAGACAUAUAUAAAAUCUUUAGCUGAAAACAAAGAGGAAAAAGAAAUUCCGGGCUUCGUUACUGCGGAUAACAUUGUUCUCCCUUUGUGUUGAGGGUAGCAGGGCUAGUUGGUGUAUGGGGAUGAACUUUUAGAAACUUGAGGGUUUAUAUUGAUCACUGCCUAGAGGAAGUGGUGAUGAGAGUGUAGUUUUGGGCUCUUAUAUGCUUUCAAUUAAUGUAAUUUCUCCGUGUACUUCGGAUCGUCGUCGCCCCGCCCUCUUUCAUCGAUGAGAUAUAAGAAUGUGCAGUAUCUUAUAAUGAGUCUUAUAGAUGGCUAUGAAAUUGCACAAAUUUUUCGGCCCAUCGGAAUUGCAUUUAUCAGGCCUGAGCAUUUCUGAUCAUUUGCUUUUCUUCUUAAAUUUCCUUUGAACUCUGGGACCUACUGGUUCCGUUUUUCUGUAAAAUUGUGAGCUAUCAUCCUGCUGAAACAAAAUAUUUUUGUGAUAGUUCCUGUUCUGAGUUAGAAAUGUACCGGAACCACGAAAGGUUAACAAGGUUAACUACUCCGCGUUCGAUUACUGUUUCUUCUUAUUUUGCCGGUUCACAGUGUAUGCUUCAGAUCCUUGAUGCUUUUGAUUCAGCAGAGCAUUUUGUACUCGGAUUUUUUUGAAAUAAAUCCUUUUCUUUGUUAGGUAUGUUUAUUGUCAUGGUAUAGUAGUGUGGGACCCUCAAUCUCGUGCACCUAUUUGCGCCGAAUCAUGCAAAGUUUGAGUUACUUGUCAAUGCAGAAAAUUAAUAUGGACUGUGUCAAUAUCAUGGUAGCUUUCUUUGAUAAAUACAUUCAAGUCCAACACUUUCAUCUUUAAAUAAUACCCUCAAUAUGUCACGUAAUUAUGUUCCAGCCACGUUCCACAAAUAUUACUAGAAACAGCAACUUCGAAUUAAAUUAAACAGUUAAUCUUGUUGUUCCCUAGUUCUACUAUGAGCAUAAGAAACACCAUUGAGAGAAAAUGAGAAAGCUUUCCAGGUUCUGCAUGUAUAAAAAAGAAAAAUGAUACAGAACCAUAAUAUUUCGAGCUUCUAAACAAGUGUUGUAGAGCUGUUCGAAAAAGCAUUAUCAAUUUUUGACCAAUUUCCUUUCACCGAAAGAAGUAAAAAAAUUGAGAUUGAAGCUUUUACUUCGUGUUUUGAUUUCAUAAAACAACAAAAUUAGCAAUGUAUUUUUUGUUUGUAGAAUAUCUUCGUCAGAAACUAGAAAACCAAUUAUCAUGUUACAAGAGUUACUCUGAUUAUCUCAUAUGAGCACACAGAUAAUGCAAAAGAACUGUAAGCCAUGCCUGUGGAUGAUACAAAUUCUGCAAGGUAUAACUGGAAAAUGAUGGUUACAUAUAAAGACUCCGCAUCAGUAAAGUAGUUAGAGAGUUGAUUCAAAAUAUGGAAAGAGAUAAUAACUUCUAAAAUGACUAGCUUGCCGAGCAUUUUUCGGUUAAGGAGAAAACACAUUGCAUGCCUUUUUAUGUCCUCUGCAAUAGCCAGCAAUCAUUAUACUAUUCAUUUAAAGUUGUUUGCAGUAGUUCAUCACCAUUAAUUCACACCCAUGGGUAGUUGUAUUACUUCAAAAGACAAUAUAAUAGAAAAUGAAUACACUGCAUGUGGAAACAUAACUGCACAGUAAUUUUUGUAUAGAUACUCCAGAUCAAACCAUUCAUUUUUACCAAGAACACCAAGACAGAAACUUGAACUGCAGAGCACGAAUUUCAAAUAGCAACAAAAGAAAAGUAGAUUUGCUUGCAAAGAAUACUGAAAUCUUAGGAAUGACUAAGUAGAGCACAAUAACAUUUCUGAGUCUAACGUCAUUCAAGAACAUCAAGACACAUAAAAUACAGAAAAAUGAUCGCCAUCUAUUAGGAAAGCAUCACAAUCCAAUCUUUAAUUCUUGUCCAGAUGCAUUGUGAAUACAUGACGACUCAGAGACGCUGCUGAAGAGAUGUACGCAUGCGAUAACAUACAUAGCUUAUCCGCACAACAGCAUCGAGAACAAAAGCAGUAAUUCCGCACACUAUUUCCACAAAUGCACCAAGAACAAAACCAACAACUGAAGCACCAAAGAUCUUCUUUAAUUAGUCUUCAGAUACUAAUGAAUCUAGCCUUCAAGUACUCCUUUUUCUUUUAUAAAGUCCAAGAGCACUGAAGCACCUCCAAGCAUUUUAAACCUGAUUAGUAGCUUCAAAAAGCUGAAACGACCGACAUCAAGCACAUGCUUCUGUAACUUGCUGCAAUAGUUUUAUUCAUAACUUGAUUCUUUUUCCGUGUUAGCAACAUGUACAAUAUAGGAUGGAAAUGUAAUCGGACCAGGAAAAUUGAUGAUCGAAAUCAACCAUAACAAAUUUAACUUCAAAUGUACUGAUUCUGCACGCUGUUUCAAAGGAAUGAAACUAUAUUGCAAAGCAACUUCUAUAUAAUGUAAAAUCGAUUAAUUGAUAAAAGUACAUUAUAAGCAACAACCAUCGACAACUCGGCAAAACAAUUCAUCUCGCUCAUCUCCUGAAAAGUGAAAAUUUUCACAGGCUUAUUUACAAGUAGGACGACGCAAUAUUCCGGACAUCGGAUGGCAUAAAAGCCAAGACCAUAAGCACGACAAGUAUGCCUAUCGGAAGUAGCAAUAGCAUCGAGGGCGGCGGCGGCAACGGGGGCAAAAUGAGCGGAAGUAUAAGCAAUGAGACAGUUAAGCAGAGAAGCAGAAGACAUGAUUCCAUGCCGAAAUAGUUCGGCAGAAGAGCUUUCUUUUCAGUUGCUACCAGUUCUCGUGUUCUCUUAACCGCGCUCGGACCGGCUGGUACAGAAUUCCUCCUCCCUCUGCCUUCCAUUUCACAAUUCUCGCAAGCCUCAGUUUCAAAUCUUCCUUUCCGUAAUUCGCUCUCUAAGCGAAGAAUCUCAAAAUACAUUUAAUAUGGUCCCCUUGUGUUUGUUGAUUUCGUAAUUCCGGUACCGGAAAGAAAGAUGCGCCGUGGUCGGUAUAGUUUUGAACUGUUAAACUGAUUAAGAAGUGUUCAGUGGCAAUGUGAAGCUUGAUUUGGAGAAACAAAACACAGUGAUUUUCAAAGCAAAUCUGAGUACAUUGAGUAGCAAUAUCUGUUGCAGAUCAAAUCACAGUUCACCCUGUCAAAAUUGUGGAGAGAUAUUGCCAUCAGCUUAAUGAUAUGUAUAAAAAUUGAAGCAAAAGAACUUCAAAGAGCUCUAAAAAAAAAGUUGAACUUACUCGAUUCAAACAAACAAAUAAUCAACAAAUAUAACCUUUUAUUAUGCUUUUUUUUUCUCUCUCUCUCUCUCUCUCUCUCCUAUGUACCAACUUGACCAAAAGGCAAAAUAUGUUCAAAGGAUUAUAAGGUAGCAGCUUCAUUUAUUAGAAUAAUGAACUACGCAACAAAGCUGAGCCUGUAGGGCCUUGAACUCAAAAAUAUUAUUUAUAUAUGUAGAACACAUUUGAAACCUUUUAGUAUAUGAAGUGAGUAUUAGACAAAAAGUGAAUUUUGCAUAAACAAAAUUUAGCAAACAUAUAUGUAUAUAUAUAAGAGAUAGAAAAAAAAAGAAAAAGAAAAAAAAAGAAGUAAUACCUUUGCUCCCACCUCAGCUGUAUUAAUGAAAAAUGACAAGUGAGAUCAAGAGCAAGAGCUCAUAUGCUUAAAUUGAUGAACAAGGAGGAGAUGUUGGGAUAGAUAGAUAGAUAGAUAGAUAGAUAGAGCAAAAAAAAAACAAAAGAGAGAGAGAGAGAGAGAAGGAAACAAAGGAGGGAGGAUGAAUAUAUGGUAAGUAAAGGGUUGUGCUUGUGCUUUGAUGGGUGGUAUGUAUGUUUCAGAGAUGAGAGAGCAAAAGAAAAAGGCAAAUACCUGUGAUGGUGAAAUGGGCUCUUUGUUGCUCUCUUUUUAAUAUGCUGGUAUAUAUGGGGAGGGGUAUGCUGUAAAAUUGUGUGUGUGUGUGUGUGUGUGUGUGUGUGUGUGUUGGAGGAGGAGGAGGAGGUGGUGGUGGGGGAAAGCAGUUUGAGAAUUUUUGGGUUAGAUACACUGCAUUCUAAUUCUAGGACCCCAAGUUGUUAAGCCACCCCAUGCAAAGUGGGGAACAUUUAUUUGGCCUUUUACCAAUUUUUCUUUUUGAAGUUUUGAUUUUUCUUUUGAAAGGGGAACAGGUUUGGUGACUAAGGUUCCUCCCCCUUGGCCACCCCAUGUCCCUCUCUCUCUAACUCUUUGGCUCUUUCUCUCUCAUCCCACCUCAUUGUCUCAUAGUUUUCACCCUAAUCUCAGUCAAAAGGGUCUACUAUUCUCCUCCUCUGCCAAUUUGCCAUGUGUUGAGCCAUUGUUCUACAACAGUGACUUUUCAUUAGGUAGUAAUAAGAAUAAUAAUAAUAAUAAUUCCGACCGACUCUAAAGCAAGUAACAAAUAAUUUGAUGGUUAAUAUCAGAGACCUAAGUUCAAAUCCUAGUUGAUUUAUAUUUCUAGCUAAAUUUAUUUCUAAAUGAAAUAAAUAAAGCGGGUAGCGUGCUAUCUAUCUCUCGAAAAAAAAAAUAGUAAUAAUAAUAAUAAUAAUAACACCAAUCCCUGUCAUUGUUCAAUGUUUUUUAUCCGGUCGCAAACCAACAUUGUCACCAAAAAAAAAAAGUGAAAAAAAAAGAAGAAAAUGUUCCCUUUUCUUUGUUUUUCUUUUUUUUUUUGGAGAGCAAAAUGGUCCCAUAUUGGUCAGGGAAAAUCUUGGGGGAUUUUAGAGAUGCUGUUUGCCCUUGUUAUGCCCCAACUAGAUAUUGAGUCAUUGAACCAACAUGUUGGGUUCAGGUUUUUGAAUUUUUCUAUAAGACUGAUCGAAAUUCAGUUUAAUUCGUAAUUUCAAAUCUAACAAAAACUGAAAUAAUUCGAUUUAGUUCGGUACAAAAGCUUUGAUCAACAAGCGACAGAAGAAAUUACUUGCUUGUAAAUAACAUUUUCUUUCUCUCCACAAUAACAUUUUUAUUUGUACCGCUAUCUGAGGAGUUUCAUAAGGCUUCACACUAAUAGUGCUACCGUAAAUUAAAUUUAAAUAAAUUUAUGAAUGUUAAAAGCAGAAGUUUGUGCUCAAGUUAAAAUAAACUUCUACACGAGUAAAAGUAACAGAAAAUUCAAUUUAAAAAUUCUGCUUCUAACUUUUACAAGAAGAUUCUUGGUAUAAAAUCUAGUUAAAAAAGCUACCCUUCUUUUAUUGAUAUCCAAUCUCCUCUCUCCCUCUCCAUUCAUUAUAUCACAUACUUUUUUCUUUUUUUUUUUUGUAUAAAAGUGUAAAUUUGAGGAAUUCGAUACAACAACAAUCACAAUAUUUUUUUUGGAAAAAAGGAAAAAGAAAAAGAAAAAGAGUAAAAGUGGGGGAAGGAAUAAUAAAAAAGAGGGGGAGGGGGGAUGCAUAUGCACAUAGCUGGAGAAUCAAUUGCCAAGUUGCAGCAUGGCAUCUCUUUUUCGUCUCAGAAAUCCUGCAGCCCCUCCGUAGUCGGUACUCCCAGUUGCCACUUUUUUUUUGAUAUUCAUAUCUUUAUCUUUAACAAUAUACAAAUUACGAAGGAAGCAUCUUUAUUAAUUGCGUAGUAGAGUAAUCCUCUCCCACCAAUUGGCUAAUCAUGUUAUUCAUGUGCCGCACGAGAAAGUGCUCUCGCUGUAUCAACUAUUUCCCCGUAAAAGUAAAAUCACGUGAUGUGUGAUCUUCCCUAAAAUGGUGAGCAAAAAUAUUUAAAACAUGUUUUUAUGCUUACCCCUCAGUGGGUUCGUACUUUUUCACUUUAAUACUCUAUGGUUUAAAGUUUAUCAAGUUAGUACUCUGUCGUUUCGCACUUUCUCACUUUAAUACUCUGUAAUUGAUUUAAAGUGUAUCAAGUUACUACCCUGUGAUUUCGCAUUUUUUCACUUUAGUAUCUUAUGGUUUAAUAUUUCGCUAAAUUAUAUACAAAAACUUUAAAUAUCCUACCUAGGUUUAUCGAAUAUUCAUUUUAGUAUCCUUUAGUUUUAACUUUGUCAUUGAUUUAACGAAAAAAAUGCCAAAAUGGAGAAUAAAAAUAGAAAAAUGAAAUCACAUAAUACUAAUUUGAUACAAAAAUAAAACCACAGAAUACUAACUUGAUACACUUUAAAUCAAAGGUACUAAAAUAAAAAAAGUGCGAAACCACAUGGUACUAACUUGAUACACUUUAAACCACAGAGUACUAAAGUGAAAAAAUGCGAAACUACAGGGAGGUUAUUUGAAAUUUUUCCUAAUUAUUAUAACUAUAAUGCAGUUGUAUUUAUAACAUAUCCAAAUAUGAUGCUGGCUUGAUUUAAUGCAUAUGGACCCAACUAUUGUAGUUAGAAAGGAGUAUUAAUUUAAAGAGCAAAAGGACAAAAAAAAUUGUGGAUCCCAUAAAUCCAUUACCAUAAAUAGUAAUUAUAAAUUCUAAAUUAUUACUAAAUAUAAAAGUUAUAUAUAUAUAUAUAAAAUAUAAAGGAUUAAUUAAAAUAUUGAAUAAAAAAUUAUGUUUACUGUUUAAGGAAGAUGUAUCAUAUGGGCUGCUGCUUGGAUAGGAACGUGGACAAGUUUUUAAUGAUUAUUUCACAUAAAAUUAAUAAUAUUUCAUUAUAAAAUUCUUUAAUUAAAUUAAAAUAUAAAAAUAAUAAUUUUUUUUCUUGAUAAUGUUUUUGGUUUGCUCUUUCUAUUUCGACCCACAGGAAGAGAUUGGUUGGUUGGUUUGGCUUGUUAGGCGGUGUUUGGAUAUAUCAUAUAUGAAAGAUUGAAAAUGAAUUUUGUAAAUAAUUUAUAUAAAAUAUUUUUCUAGUGAAAUACAGUUUGCCAUAAUCUAUGUCAAUUUUUUUUAUAAGGGAUUUGAUUGGGUGUAGUUAGAACUACAAAAUAAAAAAAAAAUAUAUGUAGUUAAAAAUACAUAAUUAUAAUUAUAAGCAUCUUGUUCUGUUCGAUGGAAUAAAAGAGACUGUAAGUAUAAAUAAUUUGUUUUGGUUGCACGUAAAUGAGAACCGUAUUUUUAAAAUUUUGUCAAUAUAUAUAUAUAUAUAUAAUAGUGAGAUUACCUAUACUAUAAAAUAUAUAUAUUUAUCUUAAUUUUGUUUAAAAAGUUAAUCUCUCUAAUUGCUACAGUUAGGUCUUCAUAGACAUGUCCAACUAGAUUAACGUACAAAUGUAUAGUUCAUUCUGAAAUAGAUCGCUCUACUUUUUUUUUAAAAAAAAAAUUGAACUUUCUUUAACUUCUAAAUUUUUAUCUGAUUUUUUAAAUUAAUUUAUUUUAUUCGCUAAAUUUUUUUUUAAAAUAUUAAAGGCAGUAGGAUUAUAAAUCAAUCUAGGAAAAUAUCUAGAAUUAUUUGCUAAAAUUAUUUUAUUUCAAAAGUUAGAAAAAAAAUAAAAAGUGGCUAAUUUCAAAAACCCUUGAUUUAACUUAGUUAUGUGGUAAGAUUUUUUUUAGCUUACUUGAUCAACCCACUCGUCAGAAGUAGAUUGGUUGGUCCGCUCCGUUGUGUUCGAUGCGACGAUGCUAAUAAUGUGAUUUGUGAGCACCCGUAAAUUUUAAAUAGUAAAAACAAUCUUUUUUAAUUUGUUAAUAACUUGUUGAAACUUAAACUUAAAAAAAUCCUUUUUUUUCUUUUUUCUUUUUUAACCAAACCAUGAGUCCAUGAGUAGGCAAUUCAAGUACGGAACGCAAGCAUAAAGGGGUAAAAACGGUUUGCUGUUUAGUUUUUUUUUUUUUCGUUUUUGGGUCAGUUUCGUAAAUUUCAAAAUUUUUGAUAACUCUGUUAUAGCCAAUUUCAAAUUGAAGUCUAAAAUCUCGAGCUUUAAAUUGAACAUCUUAUUCAUCUAUUCUGAGAUAAAUUUGUUGUGGUUCGAGCUAUAUAACAAGAUAGCUUGUCCGUCUGUCAUUUUGUAACUUAUUUUUGUGCUAAAAUAGUAUAAAGCAUGUUGCAGUUGCGGUGUGGUAAAAGAAUUGAGCUUCUAUGCUUUUAAAAGUACCAAGUCAUUGGUGCUUGUAAGUUUUCGGCCCUUGGAUUAAAGAAUGUACGGUUAGGAUGAUGUGGGCCCCCUAGGGUUGAGUGGGUGGUUGGUUGAAUAGUAUAAUUUAACGGAUAAAAAUGAUCAAAGGCAGGGAUCUAACGAUAAAAAAUUUACAAGCACCAAAUAUUUCAUAUUUUUAUAAGCACCAUAGCCGACUCGUGGUAAAACAUUAAUAGGAGUGAUAUACAAAAUUUGAAAUAUUGGUUCAUACGUAUCACACCAAAUAAUUUAUAGAUGCUUUUGCGGGGAAUCCAAAGCAUUUUGAUGUGAAUAGAGAACAUGAAAGAGGCCUUGAAUAAGUAUAAGUUGAUUAACAUUAAUUCCAAAGAAAAGCUCAAAGAAAUAAUCCUAGGGUGUGUUUGGUUCGCACUAUCUUUUAAAUAUUUCUAGUAAUCUAAUAGGAAUAAAAAAAAUAUGACAGUAUUUGGCUAAACGCACUAAGUAAUCUAGUUGGUAAUAUUGAAUUUACUUGGGAAUAAGAUUCAUUCCAAAGUACUAAUCUCAUUCCCUUGAGGAAGGGUGGGUAUCCUAUAAUAUGGAUUGCAGUAAUCAUAAUAUGUCUAAUAUCUUUCUUUCUCCCUACCCGUCAGCUAAUUGGUAUUAUUUUUCUUUACACUAUAACCUCAUAUCUUUCUCUAAACUUAUCUUUCUCUCUCAAAUUUAACACUUUUUCUCUCUCUAAACUAAGCUUUUUUUUUCCCUCUUUUUCUAAAAUCUCAACUCUCUCACUCCCUCUAAUUUCGACUAUAUUUUUCUUACUAUUUUUUUAAUUAUGCUCUCUCUUUCUAACCUAUGAUCUCUCUCUUUUUUCUAAAAAAAUAUUAAAAUUUUUGGUAGAUUAUCUAAAAUUAAUUUAAAAAAUAAAUAAAUUAAUUGUAUAUUUUUUGUAAUCUUAAAUAAUAUGGCUAAAUAAUAUGACCGUGCGAACCAAACACAGAAAUUUCACAUUCUUAGUAAUAAAAUAAAUAGAAAUAAAAUUCUCGGACAUCUUUUCAUUCCUAAUAAUCUUUCAUAAUGCGAACCAAACGCACCCUUAUUAUAAUCUUGUUUGUCUCAGCUUUUAGCAUUGAUUUCGAGGCGUACGGAACAUUCAAGCAUGUAAUUGGCGACGAUAAGCGCAUUUUCAUUUCAGGCAAAUUUGCAAUAUAAUCAGUUGUUUUUAAACCAACUUUUUUUAGUUUAAGUGAUCAAGCCAAACAGGCUCUGCAUGCGUUUAGUUAUUCAAAAUGUUAAAUUACGUGGAUAACGCUUAUUCCACCUAGGAUUUAAAAUAGUGGAAAAGGCAACGGAGCAUCUCACAAAAUUGUCCUUUCUCCUAUGCCGUGCAUCAUGGGGAAUUACAAAAAAUUGACUCCGAAUAAACUCAACGUAUAAACCAAUCAACUUGUCUUAAAGUUUGGACAAUUAUAUGCCAAAAAAAAAAAUGCUAAAAAUAAAAUUAAUCAAAGUCAACCAAUGAUAUAUACAUUUUUGGGGUCAAAAUUAGCUGAAUUAUAAAUAAAUUGCAUCCAAGGCUUGGAUUGUGCAUGAUUCUCCUUCUAAUAUAUAUAUACCUAAACAUUCCAAAUUAAGCAUGAUUAUAUAUACAAUUAACCUACGAAAUUCGGUAUUAAUACCGAAAAUUCAAAUAGAAACACUAAUUUCUCUUUUCAUGUACCAUACAUUGAACCUAAGAGGGUGCCCAAAGAAUAAAAACUUUGGCUAUGUAAUGGUCAAAAUGUUUAGCUGGAGAGUAGGAUUAAGAUGCAUUUUGGUAACCUUUGUUUGGGGACUACUUAAUUGCCAUUUGGAACUGACUAAUUAAGAAGGUGGCUGCCAUGUCUAGCUUGUGUCUUGAUACUAUGUAUUGAUGACUAGAGUAAUUUGAAUGUUGAGGCAACAUAAAUGCAUCAUUGACUUGAAUAUUUGAGUUAAUUAGGUAACUACCUUAGAUACUAAGGAGAAUUUGACGUCAUGCGAAAAGAUAGAAAAAUGAAAGAUCUAAUAAGAAAAACAACAGUGCCUAGUGCAGCAGUUCUUAUCCUAAAAAGAAUUUGAUUCUCUAGAAUUCUGGGGCAUUAGUCAUAGAUUAGUUUAAGAUGAGAUAAUAUUAUGUCCCCUACAGGUAAUGAUUGGAAAAAAAUAAAUCAAUUAGGAGGAAGAUGCUUGUCCGUCUCUCUUACUCUCUUGCUUAUCGAUUGUUUGCGGAAUUGGUUAAAUCCCCAUAGUGCACAAAUAGCCUAAUGUUUGGUACAUCAGUAAAAUCGGCUUUUGGCUUCUACAAGAAGUUGAAUUUUCCUUGUUUUGUUUUCAAAAUUUUAGAAGCAAAAACUACAAUUUUCAGCGAAAGCCAUAAUUCUAGAUUGUGAAGUAUCUAAAAAUCUAAGCACCUAAAGUUUAAACCUGAUUAUAUGCGUAAAAAAUCUUUUGUACUUAUAAUUAUUUAAAGGGGAAACUUCAAAUACCACUCCUGUGGUUUUACACUUUCUCACUUUAAUGUCCUGUGGUUUAAAGUGUAUUAAUUUAGUGCCAUGUGAUUUUCUUUUUAUCUUUUUACGUACUAUUGAUUCCACUAUUUUUUUUUCGUUAAAUUAGUGACAAAGUUAAAACUAAAGGAUACUAAAGUGAAUGUUCGAUAAAUCUAGGUGAGGUAUCUGAAGUUUUUUGUAUAUAAUUUAACGAAAUAUUAACGGAAAAGCUGGCGAAAAGAUAAAAAUAAAACCACAGGACGCUAACUUGAUACACUUUAAACCACAAGGCACUAAAGUGAGAAAGUGUGAAACCACAUGAAUGAUAUUUGAAGUUUACCCUUAUUUGAAUGCAGAACAAUUCUUAGCAAGCUGAGCAUGGUUUCAAUGAGAAAAAUUGUUUUGUAAGCUGUGUAGUAAGUAUAAAUAUACCAAUUGUAUACAUCAAUUAAUAUGGUUACAAACAAAGUUUCCAUCUUGGUUUGCUUUUUUUUUUUCUUUUUUUUUCUUUUUUUUUUUUUCAACUUUGAGCUUCGUGAAUCAACACAGUAUACAAAUUGAAAGGUUCACCUUAGCACUCAUCAAUAUUGAGGGCAAAUUAAUUGCACACAUAGGUUCAUGCACUAUGGUACAAAAAGUACCUUAAGUUGCGGUUUCACCAGCCAAAUUAAAAAUAUUAAAUAACAACAGGUGUAAUCGUGCAACUUAUGCUCCCACGAGGAAACUUAAUUUUGCAUACACUAGAUUUCAGGCAAUCACAUGUGGCAUUGCUGACAUUUUUGUCCUUCCUUUUUCACCGACCCAGCUGCAAGUUUUGUGCUCAGAUCUCUGAUUAUUAUUUUUUUAAAAUUUUUUUUAAACAUAAAUAUUAAAAAUUUAUAAAAUAUAAUGAAUCCUUAUAAAUUUCAAGUCCUCUCUGCAAUUCAUGAAAAAAGCGGAUUCCUUUCCUCUCUAAAUCUACAAUUAUUCUCUUAAUUAAUAGAGCCUAAUUCUCUCUCUUCUUAAUUAGGAUGGGACUAAUUUUCUUCUAAAUGUUUCUUAUGUUACUCCUCUCUAUUCAUCUGCCCCUUCAUCUUCUUUUUCUUAAUUUUUUUUUCUUCUGCCCCUUCAUCUCCUUUUUCUUAAUUUUUUUUUUCUUUUUUUUUUGUCCACAUAAUGAAUGGACAAUCAUGUCGUAUUUAAAAACUCCAUUGUGAAUAAUUGUAUAUAUAUUAGUAUAUUUCUAUAUACUCUUAAUAGGAUUUACUAAAAAUAAUAAAAAAUUUCAUUGUGAAUAAUUGUAUGUAUUAUUAUAUUUCUAUAUCUCUAAUUAGGAUUUACUAAUUACUUUACAUAUUACUGUAAAAUAUUUUUUUCCUGUUGCAUCGAUUAUUAUAUGAUUGUCUAUAUUAUAACUUUUAAUACUAGAAUACUAAUAUUUUAUUUACUUAUGUUGAUAUUUUAUUAUUUAUAAAUUUUUUACUUUAGCAGUAACUAUCCGCCGCAUCGCGCGAGUACCUACACUAGUAUUACUUUAUAAUAGUAUAAAUUAGGAGAUUCUUAAUUAAUAUAAUAUUAAAUUAGGAGAUUUUGAAUUUUGAAUGUGGCCAGAUUUCUAACAUUAUUAAUUUCUUCAUGAUCAGUGCUGCUAUAGGUACUUUAGAAAAUAUCCAACAAUAUUACGGAUUAUGUGACAUUGUUAUUAUUAAAUUCUUAUAUAAAUACUAAUCUCUCAAUAUGUGUUAGUUAACGUAUCAGUAGUAUUGUGGGAUAUCCCAAAGUGAGGUACCCAAUGUUUUUCUUUCUUUUUCUCUAUUUACUUCAAAUCUAUGGUAAAUUUGUACAAAAAUACUAUUUGGAUAUAUAGUGUUUCAAAAUUUGAUUAUUAAUACUCUUUUAGUAGUUUUUAUUUUAUAUCGUAAUCGAAUCAAAAGUUUUGAACUAAUACUUUGCUCUUUGGGCGCAAAAGAGUCAUCGAUCUCUUAGUCCUAUUGCAGCCAAAAAAGCAAAAAAAGUGUGAAUCUUAUGUUACAUAACACUUUCAUGUUAAUUAGAAUACGAAAAAUAUUUAAAAAAUUAAGAUGAGCUUGGAAUUUUGUACUGGUUGCAGGUUGGAAAAGUCAAAACCAACCUGUUUAGCCAAAAGAAUGUGUCUUUGACCUGAAAGGAAAAUAUUGAAAUGAGCUCUUGGAUUCAAAUAAUCAAAGAUCCAAUUUUAUUCCCUUUUACCUUUUUUUUCCUUUGUUUUUUUUUUGAAGAAAAUCUAACACCAUGGGGUGAUUUCAUAUCAGCUCUAGCAGGAUAUUAUUUGGAUGAUUUCUAUUCAAAACUUAUAUAACAUUUUAAAAUAACUCAAAUUACACUUUUGUACGUAGAAACGCUAUCAAACUUGAACAUAACUUUCACACUCCAACGUGCUAGCUUCAUCCUCUUUGUCCAAUCCUUUUUGCAAUGCUCAAAUUAACAUGCAAACAUGAUUCCACGCAAGUUGUAGUUGGAAAAGUUUUGCAAAAUAUAGGAAAAUCCUCUAAAUUAAUCAACUUUAUCUUGGUUCAAAUAGAAACCUAUAUCUAUCUUUUAUUUGAGCAGAAAAAAAGAAUCUAUAAGACCACUAGUAAUUUAGGUAUAAGGUGUCUGACAAUAUAUCCUUAAUAUUAAAGAUUAUUAUCUUUAUAUGUACAUGUACAUUUCGAUCUUUGAGCUCUAAGCUUCAUGUUUAUCAUAUCAUAUAUAGAUUUUUAAGAGAGGAUUUGGAGGAUUCGCAGUCUAUGGGCAUUUGUUAAAAAAAAAAAUGUAAAAAACUUUGGACCCUGAAAAAAGAAGGAAAAAAAAAUUUGCAGAUAUGAAGUCGGCAAUGGAACAAACUGUGUUGCCGACACUGGUAUAUCGAAGGCGAAAUAGUUAAACAAGUGGAUACGGCGACGAGACAUCAAACGACGCCGAAAUCAUUGAGAAACCAAAAGAGUCCACUCCAUUGGUCGAGCCCUUCGCCUCUUGGACCUAAGUUCGGCCCAAUCACCCCCCCUUUAGCCCAAACUUGGGCCUUCAAAAACCAGUCCAUUGAACUAAGUGGGCUGCGGCCCACACGGCGACGGCCCAAAUCCAAUUCCCUGUGGAAUCUCCCUCUCUGCGCUACACUCACCAGCUCGUAAAGAUAAGUGACCUCUCACCUCCACUAAACAUCACUGUUUAAUUAUUAGACAGCGCUAAUUAACGAAUAAUUCCCAUCUAAACUCGGGGUUAAUCAACAACCUGUGGGAAGCGUGACAAACGCGCGAAGUUUCCGAUCCCUCCCUCUCCCGACUACUCUCUUCCCUUUCGCCCUUUUCUCCCUCUCCCUCUCUCUCUCUCUCUCUCUUUCUCUCUCUCCGACGAGCCCUCGCCGUGGGAGACGAGGAAGGAGACGAAGAAGAGGAAGGAGACUCCUCUCUUUCCCUCUCGUCUUUUCUCUCUCUAGGGAGCUGAGGAUGAUCGAGAAUAACCCCGAAAGCGUCAAGCGAUACGCUCCUCCCGUACACAGGUAGGGUUUCUCUCUCUCUCUCUCUCUACUUUUUAAUCUCAUCGUAUCGCUUAAUAAUGCGUUUUUGAUGGAAUUAAAGCUUCGCGAUUCAUGUAUUUUUGGAGAAAUUACCAAUUUGAUCUGAGGCGUUUGCUAUAUACCCUCUUUGGAUUGUUGGAUUGUGUAAAGAUUGCUUUUUGGGGUUUUUUUUUUAAUUUUAACUGGAAUUGUUAUUUUUGUUUGCUCACUGCUUUGUUUACUGGUCAUUGCUUUAGGAAUCGGUCGCUCAACAGGCGCAAAUCGGGAGGUAAUUUCUAAUUCGACUCAUUCUGUUGCAGUGGAGAGUGAAUUGUUGUGAGAUGUGUUGAUUUGUUUGAUGCUUUAUCGUGGCAUUUACUUCUGCGUCUCAAAUUGGUAGAAACAUGUGGUAUUGUUUCCUUGGACCUUUUCGAUUUCCAACUUUAUUAUCUACUGUCUUAUCAUCCCCAUGAUUCAUCUUAAGAGGAUCCCGUCCCUUUUAUUCAGCUUUCUAAUUAUGUUAGAGCAUGAAGUUGAAGGGAGAUGGUUUGAACUGGUUGGUAUUUUCAGUUUUUAGAGUUUUAGGUGGUUUGAGUAUAUUCAUUUUGCCUAGCUUAUAGCCGAUUGGGAGGAACUAGAUGUUGUAGUUGAGGUUGUUCAUGUGUUGUCGUUAAAUCAUGAUUGAUUGCGGUAAGCAGGGAGAGCUUAAUGUAAGAUUUCCUCUUAAAGGAUUGUUGAUGUGUCUCAAUACGAUAUUAUUUUAAUUUUGCUAUUUUAUCCAAUUAUAAUUUUCUAAUUCAUUUGUAAUAAUAAAUACCAUUUAUAACUAUAUUGUGGCGUUUGUAAUGUAAUGAAUAGCAGUUGGACUAGAAAUAUUUAAUUUUUGUCCUUGAUAGCAUAUAUUGAAACUUUUCCACUACCUACUGUGUUCCUAUUGUUUGAAAUUCCUGGCUCUGCGUUUGUGUAAAGGGGAAGGGGCAAGACAGAAUGUGGUAGGUUGGUGUAGGGAAUAGAUGGUUGCUUUUGGAUUGUGUGUGCAUUCCAUGUACUGCGAAUUGAUGACUAGCUACGAAAUCAGGUAUUUAUGUUGUUGUUACAUUCCAAUGUAAAAUGUUGUAUGGUAAGAAAAGGAUAGUUUUUUCAGCCAUGAUACACAUCCAAGAUGACAUGUGUGCUGCCUUCAAUUUCGAUUAUCUUUAUGUAACUCUUACAUUUUUCAAAAGAUGGAGAGGAUGAUGAAAAUUAAUUUUUUGAAAUUACAUUUGCACAUUAUCACAGUGAUUACAUUUCUACUUCGCAUACAUAUGUUUUGUAAAAGUAAAAUUUCUAAAGUUUUCCCAUUUGUCCAUGCAAAUGAGUCACAACUUUCUAUCACAAAGUGCUGGUUGCAUGCAGCAAAAAUCUGCAGUUGGUUAUAUUUCUAUAAAGAUCUCUAAUUAUUGACAAUGAAAAGCUGUCUGAUCCACUCGCUGUUAAUGGGGUUAGUAUUCCACCGUGUUUUCUACAUAUCUCAAACUAGGAUGCUUCAUGUUAGAAAGUCAAACUUUCUAUACCUAUCUAACGGUCGGGCUUACAGUGUUGGUUAAUGAAAUGAUCAAUUGAUAUUUAAUAGCAUGCCCUCGUGGAUGGAUGUGCUUGAGUUUAUUAGUGGUCAUUACUAAUGAUUCAUAUAAUUUCCUUUUUUAUGUGUGUUACAAUGUGGUAUCUUGUUUUGAGAGCACAUAAACUGCAAAUUAAGAUACUUGUGAAAUGCUUGCAUGCAUAAAGGUGGCAAUAAUGUUAAACAUUUUUGUGACAUACUUAGACAAGGUAUCAAAUACCAGUAUAUUUCUGGUUCUUGUGAUAUCUUCUUUGGACUCCGUGUUUGGUUCCAGUGCUUUGACAAAUUCUAAAUCCUCAGACUUGAGUUAUAUUAUUGGUUUCACUCAAGGUUUUAAGUGCCCGUCGGCACAAGCCGUAUCCACCGUGCCGUACCGUGCCAACAAGAUAUCGGCACAAUACAGGCCCCGUGUCGAUGGCACAGCUCAAAACCCUCUAUUUUUUAAAUUAGUAAGUAAUUUCCUCAAUAAAGUUUAAAAGAUGUGAUAAAAAGAUAUAAUAAAUAAUUAGAAUAUUUUGUUGCUAAAGAAAAUAAAUAUUUCAUGCUAU
rnacentral:lncRNA from 1 species